rnacentral:lncRNA from 1 species
CUUUUUCUUUUUUUUUCUUUUGAAAAGAUCACCGAACCCGAGAAGGGCGCCUACAUAUCUCACCCCUGAGAGGGGAUAAUCAGGUGUGCAUAGUUCGUGAAGUCUUGCCGAAAUGGCCAUUAAACUCUUUUUCCUUUCCCCUUUUUUCUUGAAACUUUAAAAAGAAAAGAAAGUAACAAAUUGUCAAAAGAACUAACGAAAAUCUUUUUGCAUUUUUUCAUGUUUAAAUCCCUGUACAAAAUGGAACCUAUGAUUACCAAAGGAAAAAAAAUUUCUGUUUUCAAUUCUGAAUUUCAUACAAAAAUAAAACUUGAAACUAUUAAAGAAAAAUCAUUUUGUAGUUUUCUUUUAAAGAUGUAUAUGAAACACCUACUCUAAAUGAAGAGUGAAGAAAAUAUUUUUUGAAUUUUUCAUAUUCCUAUACAAGAUGCAACCUAUGAUUACCAAAAAAAAUCUUUUUUGGAUUUUUGAUUUUGAAUUUCAUAUGAUGAUAAAACUUGAAACUAUUAAAGAAAAUCCUUUUGUAGUUUUCUUUUAAAGAUGUUUAUGAAAUACUUAAUCAAAUAAAGAGUGAAGAAAAUCUUUUUCAAUUUUUUAAAUAAGAUCCCCGAACCAACAAUAGGCUGCCUACGUAUCUCACUUCCGAGAGAGGAGAAUCAGGGGUGUGUAGUUCGUCCAGAUUGGACAAUUAAAGAUUAACUGACAAAAUGACCCUAACUUAAGAGACACGACCAAAGGUAGAUGAAUAAAAUAUUUUUUGAGUUUUCAAUGCGACACAUAAAACUGACACCAACAACUAUGAAAGAAAAUCUUUUUGAUAUUUUCAUUAUAUGAAAUGUACAAAACUUCUAUCAUUUUUUAAUUUUCUUUUAUAAAAACUCCGAAAAAGAAAAAUUUUGAAAUUUUUGAAUUAUGAAUGCUUGCUAAAGAAGACAAAGGAAAAUCUUUUUGACGUUUUUGAUUUAUUUUUUUUUUUUGGAAAAUGAAUGCAAAAAGUAAAAAAUCUUUUUGGAUUUUUGAAUUGUGAAAAACGAAAGCCAUAAAGAACUCUAAAAAAAACUACGAAACACUCUUUUUUGACUCACCUUUUCUUUUUCUCUUUUUUCAACACUUUCUUGUCUACACACUUUACUUCUAACACAUGCUUUCCACAAAUUGAUCCAUCAAAUGACCAUGUUACCCUCAGAGAUUCAACAUUUAGCACGUAGGGAUGCUUUAGAGGUGAGUCUCCUACAAAGGGUCUCGCGGGUCCUGCUAGGUCUUAAUAUGAUGCAAAUAAGCAUGUCCUAAAGGAUGACCUAUGCUGGGGCUCACUAAUGAGGUUAUUCGGGAGAGCAUAUGAUUGAUAGUGGCUGCAAGAGCUUUUUACCCACUCCAUGACACCGACGGCUCCCCCUCCUAAAAUAAGGGUGACUCAGCUAGAGUUCGUGUACAACACGUGUACUACAGACUUGUUGUAGAAAGAAUAACUCGGGCUAUGCACAUGAUGCCAGAUAUAAAGAGGUAACACAUAAGAAGAAAGACUGUAAACACGUAGCACGUAGGCACUCAAUAAUGAUAAAAUAAAUACAAACAAUGUCUAUACACCCAUAAUGUCAAACUAAGCUGAUAAAACUCCAAAAAAUAAGCUCAAAUUCUAAAAAUCUCCAGCAGAGUCGCCAGAGCUGUCACACCCCUUUUUUAACCAAAAAGAUUAUUCAUUUUAAGUUCAAAAGGGUUUUUAUUAUUAAAAUGACAAAAUGAAGAUUGGUUCCAAAAAAAAAUUAUUUUUACAUUCAAAACUCAGAGUCACCACUUGGCAUAAUCCGGUGUGCCAAGUCACCUUUGGAAAACCCUUUUUAAAAUGAUUUGACUCUUUAAAACUGGUUUACGAACAGAGAUUCCGCUAAGGAAUUCUGUUGACCGAGGGAAAGAUGUUAGGCGCCCCUCAAUACCGAGGUUCGACCACGGUCACUUGGUUAAGCAUAUCGGCUAAUUUAACACUAUGAAUGUAUAAACCACACAAAACACAUAAAACAAUCAAUCAAACACAUAAAAUAAAAUAAAUUCAAAAUAUAGUGUUCAGUCCAAUUAUACAGUCCAAAAUAAAAAAAUACAGAAAUAUAAACCUACGCUAACCUACACUAAUCCUAAACUAUGCCCCAAUGCUUACCCAGUGCCUUGGGUCUUUGUCACGACUGUCCUCCGGAUACAAAAUACUUUGGGGCAUUCCCCGAUGAAUAAACAAAAAUACCUCGGGGCAUUCCCCGGUCAAAUGAAUACAUCUUCAAAUCUUGUGUGAUAAAGUAGAAAGAAACAUUGACAUGCACAUUCAAUCAUUCAACAAAACACCACCUAAAAUUUGCCGCAUUUGCCUACCCAACUCGACCUAAAACAUGAUACUAUCACGUUUAACAAUAUUCAUGCUCAUUCCGAGUUAAACAAAAAUAAUAAUAAAUAAAAGUUAAUCUAAAUUCACUCUUUAAUCAACUUCUCAAUUUCACCCCGAAUUAUCUUUUAACAUCGAAUUUCCACAAUUUACAAUCACCAUUUCAAUAAUCCUUGAUCAUUUUUUAUUACCGAAUUUAAACAACAAAUCAACAUCACUCAAAUUUUGUGAUCAAAUGCAUGAACAUCAACGAAAUCAAACAAUCAUAAUCAACCAACACAUAAUCAUAGCCAAUUCAACCAAUUCAAAAAUAAAGAAAAGAGAACGGGUUGGGGGUUGAAGAAAUGGACCUUAAUAGAACUUGUUUUCGUCGAUAAUAAAGAAAAUCCAAAAAUCAAAAUCCUCGAACAAAGAACCCCACGACGAAUAGAGCUCCAACUCAUGAAUUAAACCUUUUGGACUGCAAAAAAUCCCCCCACAACACGAUAACGAGGACAAGUCACUGAAACAGAAGCACUAAAGCCCCUCAAAUCUGACAAAGAACCAAAAAUCGAUAGAAACUAAGCUCCGGUGAGCUGACAAUGACCCAAAACAACUGAAACAGCCAAAUUUCAUCUAGAUAUCAUUUAGCAAUCGAAGAGAAAUAAAGGGAUUUUGGCAAUUUUGAGACUGGUUCAACCAAAACUGACGACAGAUAUUGAUUUCAGUGCAGAUUCAGUUGGAAAAUGUGAAAGGGAAUCGGGUUUUUCACUUUUUUUUUAUCUCUUCGUUGGAUGUCCAUCAAUCACCCUCUAUUUUUAUUUUUCCCUUACUGAGUGCAAACAGUGGGUGUUUUUGUAGCUAUGUGCGUAUGUGCGAUUUACUGUGUAGAUAUGUGUGUGCAUUGCUAGGAAGAAAAAAAGAAGAGAAAAGAAUGAAGUCCCCCUGGGUGUAUUGUGUGGUCCUCUAUUUGUGUGUGGUGUAUCAGAAUCUGUUAGUGUGGUAUAUCCUUAGUUGAAGGGAAAAAAUAUAACCAAGAGGGAGGUGCAUGGAUAGGGUAACGUGGGUUAGGGGUAAAGUGGGGUAGGGGUGGGGUGGGGUGGGGUGAGUUGGUUGAGAUAAAUUUUGUUAGAAUAAGGGAAUAUUAGGGAUUUAAUUUGUUAGGAAUUUAUUGAAAUUUUGUUAUUUUUUGUCUUUUUGUGAGGUAUAAUUAUAUGGGUGAGGGUGUAUGAUAACGUGAGGUAAAAAUGGAUGAAUUGGGUUUUCUAGAGGGACAAAAUUAGGUGUCUACAGUGUGAAUUAGUUGCAUCUUUUGUGAAGCUCUCCAAGUUGAUUUUGGUAAAGGUUUUCUGUGUUGCUUACUGAAUUGGCAGGCAAGACAUUCAGAAGCGUUAACAUCCAAAUUGGAUAAGCUCUUCACCAUAUUCAAUUUUUGCAUUUUUAAAAGCCCUUGAUAAUGAUAGUGCCCGAGUUUCCUCUGCCAUAACUCAGCAAUGUUUUUUUUUUUGCUGAAUACACCAUCUGUCUUCUUCCAAUUGAUUUAUGAGAAAUUUCUGCCUCUCAUUUUGACUUAAAAUAGGUCUUGUCCAGAUGCUUCCUUGAUCAAGCAGUAUUUAUCUUCAAAAUAUAAUUUGAAACCUUUUUAUAAUAACUGACCAACACUUAACAAGUUCUAGUCCAAAUCUGGUAUAUAAAGAACAUCAGAAAUUAUUUUAGUGUCCGAUUGUGUUUCAACUGUAAUGGUUCCCAUUCCUUUUGCUGAAAUAUAACCCCCAUGGAUGAUUCUAACUUUUAUAACUUUAGUAGACCUCAAAUAUUUGAAAAUAUCAUUAUCGCAAGUCAUAUGGUUUGUGCAUCAGCUAUUGAUCAGCCACGACUCAGCUAUUCAUCUUUUGAAGCUCAAAUUCACAUACCAGAUUCAACACUUGUAUCCCUCGAAUCCUUUCAUCUCCUUCAUACUCAGUCUUGAGAUAAUCUCAUACCUUUUUUGGUGAUUGCAGAGAUAUGAUAUGAGUUAAGAUAUUAGAUAAAACUGCAGUAAAUAAGUAUGCCAUUGCCUUUGAUUUCCUAGUAUUCCUUUCCUUAUGAGUUUUAAUCUGCGCCACCGUGGGAUUGUCCGGCAAGGGAGCUAUCUCAUAUUCAUCUUCAACAGCUUACUAGAGAUCCAAAGCUUGUAGAUAUAUCCACAUUCUAACUGCCCAGAUUUGAUAACUUUCUCCAUCGAAAGUUGGUGGUGCCAUUGAAGAAAAAUUUGCUUCUCCGUUCAUGAUAUCCACUGGAUCAUAUUAAUGUACACACUCAUAGGUCCCUUAAGAUUAAAGCUUCGAUACCAAUUGUGGUUUAAAAUAUUUAAAAGGAAAUAAUGCAAGAAUUCAGUUCAAAAGCUAGCCGCUGAAACAGAGAUGGAGUUCAAAGAAGAGAAUAGGCAGAGAGGUUGAUUAUUUUCUUAUAAAAGCCGUGUCUUAUUGAUCAUCAGCUGGUUAACUUAAAUAGUUGCUAUUACAACUAAAAAUAGGACAAAAUAAAACCUAUUUCUACCAAAAAUAUGUUGGGUUCAAAGUGUGUAUGAAGUGUGAAUGGAAAAUGGAAAAUGGUGGAGGAAAGGAGACACCCAAUUUAGAAAGUGUACUCCAAAUUGGAAAAUUCACUAAUUCUCGCACAUUGGUGGGAGAAGGGAACUUUGGAGUGUUUAUAAUAAGAACACUUAAUCCACAUGGUAAGUGAGGCAAGAAAUAAGAGAUGCCUCACAUCGUCGUCGUCGUCGUCGUCGUCGUCGCUCGGUUCGGCUUCAAAUUUGGAUUUGGCAAAUAAUCGAUCGAUGAGAUCUAUCUCUUUGGAUAAAGUUUAUUUGAUGAAAAUAAAGAAAUCCAGACAGAAAUCUAAUUCAAAAAUACAAAAAGCACAGUAAAAUAUUUUCUGAUUUUGGUACUCUAUUUAUACAUGCAUACAGAAGUUUGAACUGAUGCACUGUUUCAGUAAACUGAUGCACUAUUUCAGUAAACUGAUGCAUUUUUUUGACAAACUGACACACUUAUUCACGAAAUGGCAUGCCUGUUCAGAACAGUCACACUGUUUGGAUGAAUGGACAUGAAUUUUUAGAAAAGGUUACACCUUUUAGAGGAACCUUUGCCACUUUUUAGAAGAGGCAUCUUGUGGCUAUAUAAACCUGUUUUCACCCACAGGUUUACAUACAAAAAUUUUCAGAAUACAAAACACUUCUUGUCUUACAAAUUACUCUGUGUGAUCAAUCAAGACAUUCUUUGCGUUCGAAGCUAUUCCAAUUGUUUGAGGUACCGCUACAAUUGGUCUGUUUGGCCAUUUUAUCCUGGGAGAAAGAAUUCCACAACCUUAGGUACAGUGAGGGGAAUUAUUUCCUUAAGGAAGCUCCGUGAAUUCAGACGACUUGGCUUAUUCAUUUCUGUUUUAUCUACUUUCUAAAAGAAUAAAAUACACCUCUUGAAAAGGUUAUUUUGAUCUUGUGUUGAGGGUAUUUGAUAUACUUUAUUGUGUUCUUGUUUAUACUUGAAUUCUAGUUGAAGUUAUUGUUCUGCAUAUACAGAUUUUUUGUACCCGAAGUACAGAUAAAAUAACAAUCUUAAGGAAAUAAAUUUACAGAAUCUGUACAACUUAUUUUUAGAGAUUAAAGCUUUAAGCUUUCUACUCUGCUUGAAUUUAACUAGUGAUUAGAAGACAAAAUCUUCAUCACAAGUUAAAGUUCACUCGGUUGACGAUUUGAAGUUAUAAAAACUUCAUCAUUAAUUAGAAACAAAAAGAAAAGUUGAAAAGUUAUUUAACUUUAUAAGUAGUAUUCUAAAAAUACUAAAUUUUUUUGUCUUCUAUUGACAGGAAAGAUAAAUAACGAAAGUCAAAUGAUGGAUGCGACAACAUCUAUGGGGGCAACUAAUAUUGCCACAUCAAGUCGCACAAAUGCUCCGCCAACAAUGGCACCGGCGAAGAAGCCCGGGAAAUUUUUGGGCAUUGACUUCAAGCGGUGUCAGGAAAAGAUGUUCUUUGACCUCACCACUUUAUGUAUGCAAUGGUUCACUAGCGAAGAAACUCCUGAGGUACCCGACGGAACCUCGGACAAAGACCGCUUCAUUAUUGUAGAAGCUUAGAAACUUCGGACUUCCUUUGCAGGAAUUAUAUUCUGAGUGGUCUCCAAGACAACCUUUAUAAAGUUUAUAGUGGAACCAAGACAUCAAAGGAACUAUGGGGGGGCACUUGAACAAAAAUAUAAGACUGAGGAUGCGGGAAUUAAGAAAUUCCUUGUUGCACGGUUCCUGGACUUCAAAAUGAUAGAUAGCAAAUCUGUUGUCUCUCAAGUACAGGAGUUCCAAGUCAUCAUACAUGAUCUCCUAGCAGGAGGUAUAUCUUUGAAAAAUAUCUUAGUUGAACAAAUUAAAAAUGUUCUUAAUACUCACAUAAACUAUUUUGUAGGUUUAAUUGUGAAUGAUGCUUUCCAAGUAGCAGCGAUAGUUGAGAAGCUACCACCUUUGUGGAAAGACUUCAAAAACUACUUAAAGAGUAAACGCAAGGAGAUGACUGUUGAAGAUCUUAUUGUCUAACUUCAUAUUGAAGAGGAUAAUAAAGCUGCCGAAAGAAGGUCAAAGGAAAAUUCUACAAUUAAUGGAGCACAUAUUGUAAAAGAUGAUCAAAACAAUUCCAAGAAAAGGAAGAAAGUUGAACAAGGAAGCAAUCAAACCAAGAAAAAUUUUAAGGGAAAAUGCUUCAACUGUGGCAAUAUUGGCCACAAGUCCACAGAUUGUCGUGCCCCAAAGAAAGGAAAAAAGAAGGAUCAAGCAACUAUGAUUGAAUCCCAACAAAACUCAUUGGAUGGCAAUGAAAAGAGUUUUGGGGUAUCUUAAAUACACUCAAAACUAUGCUUUGGAUUAUAAUAAAUAUCCUGCGGUACUUGACGGAUAUAGUGAUGCAAAUUAGAUCACCGGAUCGAAUGAAGUAAAAUCCACAAGUGAAUAUGUAUUUACUAUCGGUGGAGGAGCAGUUUCUUGGAAAUCAUCUAAACAGACUUGUGUCGCUCACUCUACAAUAGAACCUGAAUUUAUCACAUUAGAUAAAGCCGGUGAAGAAGCAGAAUGGCUCUGGAAUUUCUUAGAAGAUAUUCCGUAUUGGCCCAAGCUAGUGGCACCAAUAUGUAUACACUGUGAUAGCUAAGCGGCAAUAGGUAGGGCAGGGAGCAUGAUGUAUAACGGUAAAUCUCAUCAUAUAAGACAAAGAUAUAAUACUGUUAGAGAACUUUUCUCUAGUGGAAUUAUCACUGUAGUCUAUGUAAAGUCAAAGGAUAAUAUGUCGGAUCCACUUACAAAAGUCCUAUCUAGAGAAAUAGUAGAAAGAACAUCUAAGGGAAUGGGUUUAAGGCCUAGGGCAAGUCAGCAUGACGGUAACUCUACCUAGCAGACUGGAAAUCCCAAGAGCUAGGUUCAAGGAGAUCAAAUAAAUUUGUGUCUGUUAGGUUCAACAUUGUCAAUUACCCAACUCAUUCUCAUAAUGUAGACAAUGUACAGUAAACUAGGAUAAGACUUAAAGUGAAAAGUCUUUUAACGAUUAUCUAAAUUUGGCAGAUUUGACCAAAUAGUUUAAUUUACAAGAUUGAAUGUUUAGAAAUCACCUAUGCGAAGGCGAAGUGGAAGCCGCUUUAAGGAGAAUAUUAGUAAAGGUCUAUUCUCUAAGCUCUCAUGAAACCGAGAUGUGUUCAUGGCUGAAAAGAAUAAAACCGUGAGAACCAUAAAUGUUAAAAGGCUGGUUGUGUGACAUGUAUUGUCUAGGUGUACAUUAAAUCUCGAUGUUUCAAAGAUAUUAAAUCUACUAAUUGACCAAGUGCAUCCGAUGCAUGUUCACUAUGGAAAGUUCAAAGGGAAACCUACUUAUCCAGAUGCAAUCAGUCUUUGCUUGAUGAUCACAUACUUUUCCGUACAACUUUUAUGAAAAAUAGUCAUUCCCCAUUCAUGUGGGGGAUUUUUGAGUUCAAAGUGUGUAUGAAGUGUGAAUGGAAAAUGGAAAAUAGAAAAUGGUGGAGGAAAGGAGACACCCAGUUUAGAAAGUGUACUCCAAAUUGGAAAGUUUACUAAUUCUCCCACAUUGGUGGUUGAAGGAAACUUUGGAGUGUUUAUAAUAAGAACACUUACUCCACAUGGUAAGUGAGGCAAGAAAUAAGAGAUGCCUUGCGCCGUCGUCGUCGUCGCUCGCUCGGCUCGUCUUCGGAUUUGGAUUUAGCAAAGGAUCGAUCAAUGAGAUCUAUCUUUUUGGAAAAAGUUUAUUUGACGGAAAUAAAAAAAUCUAGACAGAAAUCUAAUCCGAAAAUACAAAAAACGCAGUAAAAUAUUUUCUAGUUUUGGUACUCCAUUUAUACAUGCAUACAGAAGUUUGAACGGAUGCACUAUUUCAGUAAACUGAUGCACUGUUUUAGUAAACCGAUGCAUUGUUUCGACGAACUGACACACUUAUUCACGAAAUGGCAUGCCUGUUCAGAAUAGUCACACUGUUUGGAUGAAUGGACAUGAAUUUUUAGAAAAGGUUACACCUUUUAGAUGUACCUUUGCCACUUUUCAGAAGAGGCAUCUUGUGGCUAUAUAAACCUGCUUUCAUCCACGGGUUUACAUACGAAAAUUUUCAGAAUACAAAAUACUUCAUGUCUUACAAAUUACUCUAUGUGAUCAAUCAAAACAUUCUGUGCGUUCGAAGAUAUUCCAAUUAUUUGAGGUACCACUACAAUUGGUCUGUUUGGCCAUUUUAUCCUGGGAGGAAAAAUUCCACAGCCUCGGGUACAGUGAGGGCAAUUAUUUUCUUAAGGAAACUCCGUGAAUUCGGACGACUUGGCCUUAUUUAUUUCUGUUUCAUCUACAUUCUAAAAGAAUAAAAUACACCUCUUGAAGAGGUCAUUUUGAUCUUGUGUUGAGGGUAUUUGAUAUACUUCAUUGUGUUCUUGUUUAUACUUGAACUCUAGUUGAAGUUAUUUUUCUGUAUAUACAGAUUAUGUGUACCCGAAGUACAGAUAAAAUAACAAUAUAUAAGUAACUAAUUAGUUUCCUACCAAAGAUAGAAAUCCUAAUUUAACUAGGAUUCGUAGGUAAAAAAAAAGCUGGAGAAAAAAGAAAAAACAGACUCAACAGAUCUUAGUUAACAUCUUGGGCUAGCAGAAGAUUUACCCGAUUAUACUUUCUUAUGUUAUUUCUCUACACUGAAUGGUCCUCAUACUUCCAUUAUGUUGUCCCUUUGUUGUGGAUAUUGCUUAUUUUUAUAGCUGAAGUUUAGUUUUUUGGUACUCUUGUUGUUUGUACGUUUUUCACCUGGAUAUAAUAAGGAACUUUCAUUUCUAGUAGAAGUCCUCGAGCAGCUUUACUAAUAGUAAUAAAUUAAAUAAGUGGAAGGCCUAACAUUUUAUAUUAGUAUAAGGAAGGCGCUAGCUAGAGCCCAACCUAUACAAGGGUUUUCCACCUCCGUCUGGUUGUUCUGCUAUGAUGUAAUGUGCAGCAAGAUGUAUGGUAUAGGGUCCCCUAUUUUCUGUCCUGUAAAGUCCUUUAUGGAUUUCGAGUUGGGAAUAGAGUUGUCGCAUAGGGAGGAGUGCCUUGUUUGUAGUUUUUCUAUAGUUACAGUGUUUUGCAUGUGUCUUGUAGUUACUUGGUUGUAGUGUUUUGGUAAUGUUUGUGAUUUCGGAUAGAUAGAUUAUUGUAUUAUUCUAUGGGUUGCAUGUUUCUUUUAUUUUUUAGUGGUGCGUUAUCCCAUUUUGUUGUUUGUUUUUAUGUUUUUUAUUUGUUAUACUAUUAUUUGUCAUGAGCUGAGUAUCUAUCAGAAACAGCCUAUCUAUUCUAUCUGAGGUAGUGUUACGGACAACGUAUACUUUACCCUCCCCAGUCCCCAUACUUCCGUUACCCUAUCCCUUUGUUGUGGCUAUUACUCAUACUUCCAUUACCCUGUCCCUUUGUUAUGGCUAUUACUCAUCUGCAACGUUCAACUUGAGUCAAUUAUACUCAAUCCUAUAACACUAUCAAUGCAUUCCGUAAUAUAACGUAGGUACCUCUAACUGUUUAGGUAAACAUUGAUUUCUUUGCUCACCUUGAGACUAGGGAAAAGUUCUUAAUGUAAAUAUAGUAACCAUGUUACUUGAGAGUUGUAAAAUUUUAGACUAGUAAGAGUAUAGUUCUUGGUCUAUAGUAUUAUGUCGGUAAUUAUAAACAAGUAUAUUAUCUUUAAGGAUUUGUUUCAUAGAAUAUUAACUACAUAUAUCAUUAAGUCUAAAAGAACACACGGAAACACAUGUCUGUACCUAGUUGUGAUAAAGACGUGAACAUAUACCUGAGGUUUGUUCGAAUACUUUAGCCGUAAUUGAAACCUCGCGAUUUGCAUUGCCUAAAGAAUCAAUAUUUGAACAUUAGUUGUUUGCUUUGGUCCAUGCUAAUUAGGGGAGUAAAUAAAGCAAUGUAGAUUAUUUUUAAACAUUUGAUUUUACACUUGUACGGUGUGUUGUGCUAGUAAUCAGUAAGAGCAUUUUUUUCUUAAUAGCUGAAGUUUUGUUUCCGGUACCCUUGCUGUUUGCGUAUUUUCGACCUGGUGUUAUAUACCAAUUUUCCCACAUUGGAAAAAUAGAGAAAUACUGAUGGGUUUACAGGCUAAAUGGGGUCUCCCAUCUAUCACCCAAGAAGGGUACCAGCCGUGACCAACUGGACUCAGCCAUAACCAACGAGGUCGUACAGAUUAGUCUUUCGGAUUGGACUCUCCUGUUUGGUUUAUAUCAUUGGGUGAAAAGAUCAAAGUGUUAAUCCUCAUACUUCCAUUAUCCUGUCCCGUUGUAAAGGCCAAAGGGUGCAGAGUCUUCUGUGAACAGAAUUAUCUACUUAUUACUCGACUUUUUCCCCCACUCUAACAAAAGUAUCAGUAGUGUUCAUCUUACCACUUAGAACCUUCAUGAUUAAAUGUUGUUUUUAUAAUUAUUAGUUUUAAAAUUAUGAGUUUCUUGUUUAAUGUCAUUUGAGAAAUAUAUUAGGAAAAAUUUGAUAUAGAUGGCAUAAAUGGUCAUAGGGAUCAUGUUUGAAACAUAUGAGAAGGUGUGGUACAAUAGGAGAGGAUACUACACAUGAAUGUGAAGUCUAAGCCAUUGCAAGAGGUACUAAAAAAAUUUGCCUAAGGUAACAUAUAACAUACCCAUUAUAUUCCCACGGAGUGGGAUCUGGAGAGGGUAAUGUAUGCAGUACAUACCAUGAUACAAGAAUGAUCACAGAGAUGGACUUAUGAGAGUGCGUGUUGGACCCGAGACUUGGAGUGUGCAAAUAAAGUGCAACGGAGCACCAAAAUACACACCAAAACCGUCCAUACACCACACUUGAACUAAACUUGAUGGGCGUCUCUCACUUAAGGGACCUUUUGGUCAUUUUAAAUUAUAUUUUGUAAUAACUAUAUAAGGAACAUUUUAGGGUUUUAUUAGUUAGUUUUUGGAUAUUGUAAGACAUAACAUUUUGAGAUACAAAGUCCUCUCUCCUUUGAGGCAAAUCGAAACUAGGUUCACAAGUGAGGAUUUCACUUAUGUUGUUUGUUCAAGCUUGGAAACAUUGGGUGCUUGAAGGAUUGAGGUCCCUCUUGUGUCCAUGUAAGAGAGUAGAUGUUCCUAUUAUCAUUGUAUUAAGGGUCUAUGUGUUUGAAUCACACUUAGGUUCUUAGUUCAUGAGAUAGUGUAUGUCACUCUACCUAUCCCUUUGUUUUGUUAUAUUCGUGAAGUUUGUGUUCUUGUAAUCUUAAUCACAUGUUGUUGUUCUCAUCUUGUUGUUGUUAAUCUAGUUUAGGUCUAGCUAAAAAUAGGUGUUAAACACCUUGUUAUCUUAUUAUUCUCUUGUAGUUGUCUUAGCCGAGAUUUGGUUCCAUUGUGGUCUCGGUUUCACCUUGUGGUUGUGGACUAUUUUGGCUUAUUUCGGUGCAUUCUUUGUUUGAUUUGUAUCAUUUAAUAUUAGAGCUUGUGGUUGAUUUUUUUUCAACAAAAUCAAUCUUGGCCUUGGCACUUGAAAAUUUCAAAAAAAAAAAAAAAGUGUUCUUGUUGUAUCCUUGGCCGAGAACUUGAGGUUCUUGUUGUUGUUGUCUUGGCUGAAAAACUUAAGUCUAGGUAUAGGAUUUAUUUUGUUUGUUUUGUUGUUUCUAGUGUUACCCUUGUUCUUUACUAGCACUUUGAGUCUAGAUCUAGAUUUGAGCUUAAAUUGUUGAGGUUGUUAUUGUGAACAAGGUAGUGGCCGUGUGUUGAUGUUGUUGUUCUUGGCCGUGUGGUGAUCUUGCUGUGGAUUUGGUUGGACGUUGGUCGAUAUUGUUGUUUUUCUUCAAAGGUUGUUGUUGUGUUCUUGUUGUUCUUCACUCCUUUAAUCUCUUGUUAAAACAAAAAGUGAACAUUAGAUUUACAAAGGUGAAAAACCAAGUUGUAGUACUUGUUGGUAAAAGAACAUGAUCACAUCACUCAAAAGACUUGACAACCACUUUUCACCUGCUUUCCAUGAUUUAAGGACCUUGUUUCAAGAACAAAGUACAAAGAAGGUCAAAUCUUUCUUUUGAAUUUGAAAAAGAAGCUCCAAGACCAUAUUUCCCUCCAUUAAUCAAAUCCACCAAUUCCAAAUUAUAAACUUGGUCAAGACUUGAAAUCGAAAGGUAAAAUUUGACAAAACCGUGGCCAAUAGUGGACUGCCAUGUCACUAAUUUACUGUUCAUACAACAUUUUUAAGCUCAAAUUUUUAGAUUCUUUAGUUUCAUUUUAUUAUUCCUUAUUUGCGUUUGUUGGUUCGAACACUAAUUGACAAGCUAGUAAACUCCUACUAGAUUGUAAGUUAGUUUUGUGUCCAUUUGUUCAUGGUAAGCCUUAUUUGUGUGCUUUUUGCCUUUUCUAAAUCGUUGAUUAGUUUUUGAAUCACGUCCUACAAGAUUCGUUUGAGUUUUAAAACAAAAUUCUAAUCCGGACAAGAGUAGACUCAAUCCUCAACUCCUCGUGGAUUCCUUAGCUGACUUACAACACUUGUGAAGCUACGAGUAAGGUAAUCAAAGUAUGAGAGUGUGGCGAGGUUAUUUUUGAGCUAACUUGUUAUUGUUUGGUAGGUGCUUUCUUAGGUACAUUGCGAUGGAGGGAGCGACUUCCCAAACCAUGGGCAACAAUAAUACCAAUAUCCUCAUGGCUUCUAUUGAGGGCCUCAACCGCACUUUGGAAAGAAUACAAGUGAGUCUUGGGAAGUUAGAAAUGGAUAUGUCUUCGGUGAAAGGGGAAGUAACAUCAAUAAAAGGAGAUAUGACCACUAUGAGUGGGACUUUGGUACGGGUAGAAAGCCAAAGAAGUUCCCGACCUUCUACUCCUCAAAAUACUUCUAAAACCAAUACCCCCAAAAUAUUACACCAAAUGAUCCAUCCUUCAAGACAACCACCAAAUGCUCCCUAAGGUCAAGAGUAUGAAAGAACAAUCCACCCUCCACUUCACUAAGUCCAACAAGAAGGAUUUGGAACCCGAAUUCCACCACCAAACCCAAGCCCUCUUCUUAACCAAAGCCUCUCUAUUAAACCAAAGGCCUUACUUUCCACCAAAUCCAAAUCCACUUAAUCCAAACCAACCUAACCGUGUAGAGGGAUAUAGUAGGGAGGAACAAUAUGGGGGUUAUGGAUAUUAUGGUAAUGUUUACUUGAGAGAAAAAAAGGUGAAGGGUAGGCAAGGUGAUUUAGGCUGAGAGGUGAGGGGCGUCCACUAAACCCGACAGCUAGGCAUCAAUACCGUCAAAGUUAGUCUUCCAAUCUUCAAGGGUGAGAGUGAUUCCGAGGCGUAUCUUUCUUGGGACUCAUCUUGUGACAAGAUAUUCCAUGUAAAUAAUCUAACCAAAGAGAAGAAGAGUUGUUAUGCUAUUCCUCACUUUGAGGAUUAUGCAAACACUUAGUAGGAGUAUGUGAAGAGGUUUGUUGAUGUGUUGAUUGUCGGGAAGACACCUCUAUAGUUUAGAUUGAGGUACCUUAUGCGUCAAAGGUACUUACCCGAGGGAUACAAACAUGAGCUUUUUGCCAAGUUGUACAACUUAAGGCAAGGAAACAAAAGUGUCAUGGCAUACUAUGACGAGUUUCAACAAUUGAUGUUAAAGUUUGAUCAUCGAGGGGAAUAUGUGAGCCAUGACAUUAUACGAUUCAAGAUCGGGUUGAAUAGAGACAUAGCUUCUCGCAUGACCCUCCACAAGUUUGACACCAUCGAUGGUAUCUUCCAAGCGACAUUGGAAGUUGAAAAGGAACUCUCGGUUUCCAAGUCCAAGAGUAAUCAACAACCUUUCUCGAAUUGGCACCAACAUAAAGAGCACUCAUUCAUGCCAACCAAAACAAGAACAAAGUUGUCCAAACCAAAACCAAGGCUGCCCAAAGGUAUCCUCCAAGAAACGAAGGUAAGCCAAAUCCUACUUCUCAUCCUAAGGGAUUUCAAUGUUUCAAUAUCAAGGAUGGGGGAACAAGGCUAGUGAAUGCCCAAACCAGAGAAAUGUAAUCCUUAGGGAGGUAAAAUUGUAUUACCUUGGUGAGGAGGUGGGACUUAAAUAGGAUAAGGGUGAUGAAAAGUUCAAGAUGAGAGCAAGAAGCUAAAGUGAAAAUUGAUGAAGGCGAGAAAGGUGUGUGACCGUGUGAUUGUGAGGUUGAAGUGCCUAGUUAUAUGACAAGGAGAUUCAUGAUUAGUGAGGUCUUAGAAGAAGAAGCCGAGAGUGAGGAGGGUGGAUAAAAAGAGAAGUCGAGAAUCAUGAUGGUGGGAUUUUCCCACAAGAGCUCUUUGUUAUUCAUUAACCUAGAUACUAGCCCUUUGGCUAGUAUCAAAUCUUCUUAUGUACAGGUUGUAGAACAUGUAAGUCCAAAGAGAAUGCUUGAUGAUUCCAUGGAUUCCUUGGUAGAACAUCCUAGCCUCGGGAAAGGACAUGAAGAGUUGACUCCAAGAGGAGAGCUUGCGGGUGAUGAAGUCUUGAAUUUGUGGGCAAAUUCCUUUCAAGAUGAAUAGACUGAUACAAGAAUGACCACGGAGAUGGACUUAUGAGAGUACGUGUUGGACUCAAGACUUGGAGUGUACAAAUAAAGUGCAAAGUAUCAUCAAAAUACACACCAAAAUCGUCCAUACACUAGACUUGAACUACACUUGAUGGGCGCCUCUCACUUAAGGGUUCUUUUGGUUAUUUUAACUUAUAUUUUGUAAUAACUACAUAAGGAAUAUUUUAAGGUUUUAGUAGUUAGUUUUUGGAUAUUGUAAGACAAAACAUUUUGAGACACAAAGUCCUCUCUCCUUUGAGGCAAACCAAAACUAGGUUCACAAGCGAGGAUUUCACUUAUGUUGUUUGUUCAAGCUUGGAAACGUUGGGCGUUUGAAGGAUUGAGGUCCCUCUUAUGUCCACGUAAGAGAGUAGGUGUUCCUAUCCCUUUGUUUUGUUGUAAUCGUGUAGUUUGUGUUCUAGUAAUCUUAACCGUGUGUCGUUGUUGUUCUCAUCUUGUUUUCUUCAUCUUGUUGUUGUUAAUCUAGUUUGGGGCUGGCUGGAAAUGGGUGUUAAACACCUUGUUAUCUUGUUAUUCUCUUGUAGUUGUGUUGGCCGAGAUUUGGUUCCAUUGUGGUCUCGGUUUCACCUUGUGUUUAUGGACUAUUUUGGCCUGUUUUGGUGCAUUCCUUGUUUGGUUUGUAUCAUACCAGUACCUCAGAGGUGAGGUAGAGCGGUUGCUACUAAUAGACCCCUGGCUUAGACCAAUGUUCCCUAACAUUUAAUCUCUCAAUUUCAUCCUAAACAAAUAUGAUUUAUCUUAUGUUGGUGCAGAAGCUCACCACCAUCCUGUUAUGGAAUGAAAGAGACAAGAAAGAAAAUUAAACAGAAAUUGAAUGAUAACUCUUGAUAUUGAUUCUUUUCAUUGAUUCAAAUAUAAGAGUGCAUCUCUAUUUAUAAGAAACUAAAUAAAAUAAAUUAGGAAAAUAUGAUAUUUUCCUUAUAGCUAAUAGACUAAAUAUUCUAUAAUUAAUAAAUCCUAGACUUAAAAGGAAGUAAAUAAUAUAAAAUAUUCUUACACUAAAAUAUAUAUACAAACUCAAGUUGAUGUAUCCAACUUGAGUUUGAACACUUAAUUAUUCUUGAAAACCCACUUUUCUUUGAAUUUGUUGCAACAAUCUAAAAAAGUUGGUCUUCCUCAUGUUCAUGCUUCUCUUUCAUAAGUAGUGCUUUUGAAUUAUCUUGAGUGUAUUUGAACUUGCAUACUUUUGUGACAUGACCUUUUUGUUUGCAACUUUCACAUAAUGCAUCGGAUCACCACCAACAAAAUUUUUCUAAGUGUGUUUUCUUUUUGCAAUAUUUUCAAGGUGGAUAAUCAACCUUUCUUUUUUUAUGGUUCACAUAAAAAUACCUUCAACAACUUUUUCUUUCCUGUGAGCUCUUCUUUGCUCUUGUGCUUGAAGAACGUUUGUUGACACCCAAUUUUAAUUUUUCAUGCCUAAAAUUAACGCAUUCAGACUUUCUGACCGUUAAAGGGCACAAAGUACAUUUAUUUUUUUACAUAUUUUUAUAAUUUUUAACAAACUAUUGAUAAUCAUCAUUAUUUUAGGAUUUUUAUUAAUUUAUUGUCAUAUUUUAAAUUUACAUAAUUUAUUAAUAAUUAUUCUUAAUUUCAUAAAUUUUACAAUUUUUAUCAAUUUAUUAUUAUUUUAAUAUUCUUUGUGCAGACAUCUACCUACGUACAUAACGUAACACUACAACUUUUCUUUUACAUAUUAUAAUUUCAAUUGUUUAUAACGUAAUGCAUUUUUAAAUUUAAUUAUAUUAUAUUUGUUGUUUGCAUUUUUCUGUAACUAUACAUCGACAUUCAUAUUUUAUACAUUAUUUAAUACAGUCUGCAACAGUAAUAUCUACUCAAUUAUUUUAAUACAUAAAGUAACAACUCAGUUAAGUCAAGGUCUUGUCACUUUUUAAAAAGUGAUAUUUGAAUUGACGGGUUGAGGUUUCAUCCAUUGAAUAAAUAUUUUUAUUUAUUAGUUAAAAGGAUGCAAAAUCCUUUGGUUAAAAUUCGUGGGAGAAGCAGGCAAGACUCGUCAACAUGCCUGCUUCUCCUGACUACUUCUCUUGCCUGGUUUAUCAGCUGCUUUUUUCGUAAUUUUAUUAUGUCAUCUCUAAUUAAUUAUUAAAAAAUUAUCACAAAGUCAUUUAAGUAUUAAAACAUUUAUAAUAAUUAAUGUUAAAUUUACUUAACAUUUUAUAUGAGACCCAUUUAAUUUUUUUUGCAAGUAUUUUUGUUUAGUAAUUUUGUUAUAUCACUUCUAAUUAGACAUGUCUGCUUCGUUGUUUCAACCGUAAUUUUACUAUGUCACUCCUAAUUAAUUAUUAUGACCAUUUAAGCAUUGUGUCAAUUAAUAAUAUUUGAUAAAAAAAAGGUAAAAUAGAUAUAAAAUAAUAAGUUAAUCAAAAAAAUUUCACAAGUAUGUUUUAUUUUAAUUUUGUUAUAUCACUUCUAAUUAGUUGCCGUGAGUUAUUAAGAUACGUAACUUUACUAUAUCACUCAUAAUUAAUUAUUAUGUUUAUCUAAACAUUAUGACACUUAAAUUGAAAUAGAAGAAAAAAUAUUAUAUAUCACAAUAAUUUAAAAACUUAAAUUAUUUAAAAAAUAUAAUUGACUAUCAGUGUCAUAAAAGUUUGAACAAUGAGAGCGAUAUAUAUUAUUAAAAAUGAUUGGUAAUAUAACUUUAUCAUUUUGCCUCUCUUAAUUGGGUCUUGUUGUUAGUUUCGAUAUUAAUGGAUGACUAAUAUCAAAACAUUAUUUAUAUUUUUAAUGGUACUCCUCUUUAUAACAUUUUUCAAGAAUACUAACAACAAGCAAUAAUCAAUUAGACUAAGAGUAUAAUGAAAAAAAAAUUAUUUUAUCUUGAUAAGUAAAAUAUGACAAAUAAAAUAAGACAUCAAAUUAAAAAAUUUAAAUGGAAUAAAAUGAGACGGAAGAAGUAGUUUAUAAAUAAGGGAAGAAAGUUUUAAUAAUUUACACUAAAAAAAUACACAUACACACAAAACACACACCAACAGACGUACAUAUCACUUUCCCUCUCCUUUCUCUCUUUCUCUCUCCCAAACUCACCGCCGCCGGUACCAAUGGCUCGCCGGAGGUAGUGACCGGCGAGUUCCAAUCAGCCGAGUUCCCUUUCCCUUCUCCCUUUUACCCUACUGCUGCUCGACGCCGGUAAAAUAUAAGCGACGCACAAAUCAGCCGGUGAACUCCAUCACUGCUCCGGCCAGAUCUGGACGAAAUGAUCCAAGAUCCGAGCUCCGACACACCACACCGAUGCUGUCCACCAAAAAUAGCCCAGAUCUGGUCGUGUUUUAUUUUUCCGGCGAUUGCCGUUGAAGCAACGCCGGUGACCCAUUCCCUAUUGGUCUCUAUUUUUAUUUGAUUUCAUAUUUGGCAGCAGCCAUGGCCAUGAUACCAAAAAAAGAGCUCAAAUUUGGGUGAGUCCCCACUAACGCCGGCGACCCCUCGACUCGUUAAUGUCUUUUUCAUAUAAGUUUGGACAUAUUUUUGUGUUCUCAUAUGUUUUUUUUUUAUGAUUUGCUAGACUGUUUUGAUUCUGAUGAUUUGGUAUAAUUUUGCCGGAUAAUAUUACUCACUGGAUUGCUGCUUGCUUAUGUUGCUCUGGUAUUGGUUUUGCUCUGUUAUGUCCUUGUGACAACUUUAGUUUUCAUUUGUUUAGAUUGCUGAUUUUUUAAUAUUAUUGGAUGAUUAUCCUUGUAAAAUACUGAUAACAAAUCAAUACUAUAUUACUUUGACCGAUGGAGAAAUUAUUCAUUGAUUUUCGAGGCCUUCACCAAUAAAAAGAUAGAAUUUUACCUAUACGAAUAAGUGGCGAAAUUCUUAUAAUAUUUUUAAAAUUUUAUUUGAGUACAUUAUGAGAGUGUUUUGUACAGACUAUUGAGAUUACUCAUCAAGAAUGAUUUUCAAAGAAACUUUAAAUUUGCAUUAUAUUUUUUAUAUUUUUAUACUUGUACAAAUAUUAUCAUAGUGAAAUUUUAUUUUUUUAGUGUUGGAAGGAAUAUUCUUUAUUUACCCAAUUAUCAUCACGCGUUAGAAAAAUUUAGGUCGUUACUAUUUAUAUAAAAGGAUUAAAUUGAUUUAGAUAUUUAAUCGAAUAAUUCAUAUUUUUUAACCUAAAAACAUUACGUAAUCUUUUUUUUUGAACAAAUUUUUCUUUAUUUAAUCUUUUUAUUUUUCAUAUAUAUUCUCAUGUACUUUUGUUUAUUUUCAUACACUUUUUAUAUAUAUAUUUUACGAUAACAUAUGUAAUUUACACAUUCAUUAUAUAUAAAUUGUUUAUAUUGUUUUAAUACUUAUUUUGUAUUUGUAUUUACAAACAUCAAUUUUUUCUCUUUUUUUUAAUAAACCUAAGUUUAGUCGGAAACCACAUUUGUGGAUUCUGAAGGGUGUCUAAUACCUUUUCUUUGGAAUAAUUUGAACACUUAUCUAGAAUCUAAAUUGAUUAGUAAAGUAAACCACAAGUCAUACAUAUUAAUACAUAAAUAGCUUUCCUUAUUUUUCUUAAAUAUUAGGUGGCGACUCUGUACGUAAUUUAUUCUUUUAGAGUCGAUAAUGUCGUGUUUGUUUUGAUCUUAGAUAAAAAAAUCAGGUAUGACAAUGCUUAUCAAUUCAGCAAGAGAGAUGACAGAGAGAUCUUUAGACUCUUCUAAAGUGGAGAUUUUGGACUCAAAUCUUUCAGGAAAAGUCACCAAAAUUUUUCAACUAUUUUAUUGUCUUUAAAAUCUUUGCCAAACAAUCUGAUUAUAUUGACAAUAAAAGAAAUUCUAUCAGAAUACUUAAUAAUUGUCUCACCUUCUUGCAUCCUAAGAGAUUCAAAAUCUUUUUUUUAAAUUCAGAGUUUGAUUUUGUCUACCUCGUUUACUUCCUUGGUGCUCCUUUUCAAACUUUUCUUAAGCUUCUUUUGUUGUUUCGCAUGCAAUGAUUUUUGAAAAAAUUGAAUCAACAACUGAAUUUUGAAUUACAAUUUUUUCUUUAUAUUUUUUUUUAUUUCUCUUUUGAGUAAAGUUUGAUUUCGGCAGCAGAAGAUUUAGCUGUGAGUGGUUGUAUAGGUUUCUCUUUCUUUACAACUUCCGACAAAUCAUAAGCUUCAAAUUAAAAUUUUAUCUUAACUGCCCAAAUUUGAUAAUUUUCACCAGUGAAGUUUGUGGAGAAAAUUGAAGGAGAGAUGUCUUUUAAGUCUUGAAUGAAGGAUUGGUGACAUUGACCAACUUAAAGGGUCAAACAUUAUUAGAAAACUUGAUUAAGUUAAUUGUGAACUUGAUUAAUAUUUUCAAAACUUUCUAAUCUUUUAAAAAAUACAAAUCAACCUAACCCACACCCCUUUUCAAUCCAAAUCAACCAGUCUCUCUUCUCUUUCUCGAUAGUUUCUCUCAACUCUCUCUCAACCAACAGUUUUGCAAAUUUCUCCUUUCAAUCCUCCGCAACUUCAACAUCUGACAACAAAUAGUUGGGAUUCGAGUUCCUUUUCGACUUCAACCUUCAAUCGAUGUGACAGCCUUACUCUCUGGCCACAACAGCUUCGAAUUCUUCAACCUUCAAUCGACGUGACAGCCUUGCUCUCCGGCCACAACAGCUUCGAAUUCAUCAUCGUUCCUUUUCUUCUUUCACAGGUAAAAAUUUAUGGUCUUUUUAGUUUUGAAGAAAACGAGGAACUUGAGUCAACUUCUCUUAUAGUAUUGUUAAUAAUUUCAAUAUUUAUUAUUUUAAUUUGAAAUGCGGUCUCAAUAAAACCUUAAUUUCUGGUAUUUCUUCUCUUCUCUUUUCGAAGUGAAUAAUUAUUUUUUGUUGUUUGUUGCGUUUUUUUUAAGUUUGAUUUUCUUUGUUUGUGUUUAUAAAAACAAAACAACAAUUUGGGUUGAUUUGUUCUUUUCUUGUUCUUGGUAAAAAUGGUGAUAUUGUUGUUUUUCUGUUGAACAAAAUCGUGCUACUGUUUUUUUUAUCGAACAGAUUAUCCUUCUGGUGCAACAUAUAACCAUCCGAUGCAACAGAUUUGUCAGAUGAUGCAAUAGAUCAACCAUCUGAUGCACUAGAGGAACCAUCAGAUUAUAAUUUUGAUGCAACAGAUUUAACAUAUGAUGCAAUAGUUAAACUAUUUGAUUCAACAUAUUAACCAUAUGUUGCAACAGAUUAAGAAUUGGAUAAAAAAUCUGAUGCAACUAAUUAACCAUCUGAUGCAACGGAAGAACCAUCAAAUUAAUGUUCUGAUGCAACAGAUGCACCUCUUGUUGGAUAAAAUCAUAUCAACUCUUCCAACAGGACAUGUCCAAGACAUGAUUUUUUCAACUGAUCAUUCAUCUGCCGCGAUAGACGACCCUAUGUUGGAAGAAAUCUAAACAAUAUUGACCGUUGAUAAUUGUUCCAACAGAUCACUCAUGUGUUGCAACAGAAGUAUGACCUAUUACACUGACUAUUCAUCUUUCUCAAUGGAUGAGUGAUAUGUUUUGUAUUGUCACAACAGAUUACUUAGUCGUUGUUGGAGGUUAGUUAACUGUUCCAACUUAUCACUCAUAUGUUGCAAUAGAUGUGUGAUCUGCUGCAUAAACCAUUCAUUUUUCUCAACAGAUGAGUGAUAUAUUUUGUAUUAUUGCAACAGAUUACUCAUCCGUUGCAAUAUGUUAUUUAACUGUUCCAACUGAUCACUCAUGUUGCAAUAAUGUGUGAUCUGUUGCACAGACCAUUCAUCUAUCUUAAAAGAUGAGUGAUACAUUUUGUAUUGUUGCAACAGAUUGCUCACCUGCUGCAACAGGUUUGUUAUAUACUGCAACAGAUAUACUACCUGUGCAACAGAUAAGUAACUUGUUGGAACUGUUAUUUUACUGUUUUGCUUGUUAGAUUUACUAUUAUUCUUUUUUAACGAUACAUUAAUCAACUAUAAUAUAUUUUUUUAUGUUCCUAUUAAUUUUAGAUAAUAUGGCUCCCAAAAGAACAGAAAUUGAGUCAAGUCCAAGUAAAGGAACAAGUGAAGCAGUUAGGAUACAUCCACCAUCUAUGAGCUUGCUUUACAAAUGUUAUCUCAAUCACGAGCAGAAUAUGAUGAACACAGAGAGGAGAAAUAUUUCAGAAGAGAUGAUCCAAAUGCUAAUAGCCCUUCCGCCGAAGAGUUGGUCAAAACCUUCAGCAUUGAUUAUUAUCUUGUGAGAAUGCAGUGCGAUGGUGCCACAAAUUUAAAGGGUGAUUUCGUGGUUAAGUCAGUCAUGGGAAAAUCUUUCGACACCUUCAAAAAAAUACUUCGAGAAUAAAAAUUGGAUGCUUAUUUCAGGGACAGCUACUUUGAAAAAUAUCUUGAUUUGCCAGAGGAUAAAAAUGCUCGUUUCCAAAUGAAAAUGGUAUAUGAACUUCUCAAGCAUAGGUUUAUGUACAAAAACAAAGAUAAGAUGGAUGAGGUGUGGAUAAAUUACUGUGGCAUACCUGUUUGUUUUGGUUGGAAGGAGUUUGCCAUAGUUAUUGGACUAAAAUGUUAUCCUCCUUGUCAAGUUAUACCUAUUCUAACCCAAAAAAAAAUACCCUGCACACCCAAAAUAGGCAAAGGCAAGUCAUUUGAUCGUGAUGACCUGAUGUCCAUUGUUGGUCCACGCUUCAAAAAUAAAAAGUUGAUAGAAGCGUUGAAAGGUAAAGAACUUUCAAAGAAGCAUAAGCAGUCAUUGUGCUUGAUUUUGUUUGUACAUAAUAUUCUUUGGGCGAGAGACGUUAACAACAUAAACAUUGAUUUAAUAAAGCUAUCAUAGGAUCUUAAGGCGUUUAACAGUUAUCCUUGGGGUUAUAAAAGCUUCAAAAUGACUGUCCAAUAUUUGUUGACUCUGUUAGCGCCAAAGACAGUCAACUUAUAUGGCUUUCCAUGUGCUUUUAUGGUAAAUAUUUCUUUCUUUUAUUAUGAUAUCAUUCAUUUUUUUUACUAAAUAAUGAUUUUGAUUUAUUGGCGUUAUUUUUUAGGCUUGGACGUUUGAAGUCAUUCCUCAUUUGAGACAACAAGUGAACUACCAGGAAGAAGUUUCUUGUCCAAGAAUCUUGAGGUGGUUGUCGGCUAAACCUGAUAAAAAUGUAAAAUUUCUUGAUCUCUUCAAUCCCCCGAAGGAUACAGUAAGUAUAAUUAUAAUUAAGUUUUUAUUUUAAUUAAAGAUUUCUUUGAAUGAUCUAAUCAUCAUUCUAAUAUAUGUAAUGAUUUAUUUUAGAUUGUGCAUCCGUCGCUAGUUCCGACCAAUUGAGAGUUGAAGAUGCCAUUUUUUCUUACUGUAUGGUCUGUACAACUUUAUCGGAUCCUAAGAUCAUCGACGGAAUAAAAAUAGAAUUGUUUGGAGCAACAACCAUUACAAGAAAAAUAAUUUUGGAGGGUGGACUUGUUGUUGUUGAUGGUCUCAGUGGUGAUAGAGCUAUUGGUGGUGGUAGUGGUGCUGUUGUUGGUGCUAAUGAUGCUCCUCUUACAGUAUUUAAAACAAACCAUUAUGAGUAUGAUCAUACUGGUUAUACAGAUUUUGCCUUCCAUAAUGAAUGUUGUGCAUACAAAUAUCAAGACUGUAGGGCGAAACAUGAUGAAAUGAUUAAUGCUAUUAAUGCAUUAACUGCUUCUGUAAAGAAAUUGACAUCUAAGAGGGGUGUCAUUCCAUCAAAAAGGAUUUUAUUUUCAUCCACUCCAUUAGAGAUUAAGGCUAAGAGGAGAAGAAAAGUGAUUUCUAAGGCAUUAUCAAGCAUCCAAAAAAGCGAAAAUUACAACUCCUCUGUCCGUGUGUUGCACUGAGCAAUGUACAAUGUCCAAAGAAGAGUAACACGAGCUGAACAAAGUGAAUAUAUAUGUCUUCCAACUAACAAAUAGACACAUUUCUGUUUUAACAGAUGACACAUCUGCUGAAAAUUAUCAAACAAAUAUAUGCAUUUGUUACAACAGUUAACUAACUUAUUGCACCAGAUAAAGUACCUGUUGCGACAUAUGUAUCAUCUAUUUUAGUAAAUCAAACAGCUCUUCAUACCACUUUUAUUUUUACCAACAGAUGACCUAUCUACUGCAACAUAUGAGUCAUAUGUUGCAACAGAUGGUUCAUCCGUUGGAAAUUAUCAUACGGGUCUUCCUCAUGUAGAAAUUUGACCCAACAGUUGAUUCAUUGUUGCAACAAAAAUAUAAUCUGUUUGGGACAAUUUAAAACAGGAGAAAGACCUGUUUGAUUUGCUAGAACAGAUGAGUUAUCCUUUUCCGUUUUGUUGUAUCUCCAUGAUUAGCAUUGACCAAUUUUGACUUUUCAGGUGGAUGUAAAAGAUAUUUCUAAGCGGUAUUGACGAUAUGCUACUAUACUCUUUUUAUGAAAAUAGGAAGAACAGAAAGCGCAGAAACCAUACGUAAGCGACAAUAAAGAUUCACGCCAAGAAAAUCCAAAUUCCAUAGCACUGAAUGAAGAACAAUUUGUCCAUAUUGAGUAGAUCUUUAUAGCUUGAGUCUAUCAAAGUAAUAACCUCACCCCUCCUUCGAAAUCCUUGGCAUCAAUACUUAAAUUAUUGGUGUAUUUGAUGAGAUUUGUACCCAUAAUAAUUUUUUUACAUUUCAUUAUUCGUUGAUUUUAUUUUAGCUAAUUUCUUAAGGCUUCGAUUUAUUUUAUUUUGUCUAUGAAUUUUAUUUUUUUCUUAGAUUUGAACUUAUUAAUUGAAAUGGAAUAACUAGAUUUAAAUAUUACAACUGAUAAUGUAUCUGUCGCAACAGAUGGCACAUCUGUUGAAAAAUAUCGAACAGAUUUAACAUAUGUUGCAAUAGGUAUAUAAUCUAUUGAAAUUUAUCAAACAUGUCUUCCCACUGCUGCAACAGAUAGACUUAGGUAGAAACACCGACAUAAUGCAAUAGAUGACCAAACUAUUACAACAAAUAAAUUAUAUGUCAGAAUAGGUAGAAUAUUUGUUACAAUGGAUGGAGAAUCUGUUGUAUUAUAAAAAUUCAACUUUCAUUGGACAUAAAAAAAAAUUAUCACUACAUGUAAAAAAGUGAAAGUAAAUUAAAAUAAAAAAGGUAGAACCCAUCGACAGUGUUCAAUUCUAACACAUAAAAUAAAAUAGGCAUCAAGUAGACAAUGUUCAUUCUAAAUACGUAAAAUAAAAUAAGCACAAAUGUAUCAGGUUGGCACUUUUUGCUGACUUGGCAUCUAAUUUGGCCCCCAACGGUCAUUUUUCCUCCAUUGUCCUAUAUAUUCAUCUUUUUCCUAAAAUUUAACCCUAAAUUCCUAAAUCUUCUUCUUCGUCGUUAAUUUUUUUAUCUAUCCAAAUUCUUCAAAUUAUUUGCAUUUGGUCUUUCUUUUCUUCAUUUUUUUUUAUUUUUUUCAACUGAGUUUGACAAUGUCGAGCGCAUUUUUCACUGUUUUUGUGAUAACGAUUUUCGAUAUUGUAAGUGCGGUCAUAAAGCUCUAUAGAAGACUUAUUGAACUCAAUAAAAUCCAGGUCGUAGUUUUUUUACUUGUAAGAUUUCAAAGAUAAUUUUUUUUAUUUAAUUAGUUGAUUAAUUACUGACCUGUAAUUAUUUUGUAAUUGUAUUUUUGUUUUUAUAGAAAUUGGGUGGAUGCGAUUACUUUGAUUGGUAUGAAGAAUGACACCCUUCACAAGUAAAUCGUGUAAUCUGAAAGUCAAGGCUUCUAAGAGAAACAAAAUCGAGCAAGAAGAUACUACAUUAUUGUUGUUAUUGCUACUAGUUUGGUGGUGUUGGGUACAUGAAUUUUCAAGCCUAAUUGCUGAAAUUUUCAUAGUGGUGUAUUUGCUACUGGUUUGGGGUUGUCGAGCACAAGGAUAUUCAAGCGUAAUUAUUACAAAAUAUCAAACAGAUUUAGGCAUAUAUUCUAAAAUUUAGGUCAUCUGUUGGAAAUUAUCAAACAGGUCUUUCCAUUGUUGCAAUAGAUUAGACUUAGAUUAGAAAGAAAUAACAUCGACAUAAUGCAACAGAUGACCAACCUAUUACAACAGAUAAACUAUCUGCUAGACCAGAUAGAAUAUAUUUUACAACAGAUUGACAAUCUAUUGCAUUAUAAAAAACUCAACUUUUAUUCAUCAGAAUAAAGUUAUUGCCACUACAUCUACAUGUAAUUUAAAGUAAAGUGAAGUGUGACUAGAAAUAAAAAAUUAUUAUUUCACAGACUCUUCUAUAUACACAGGAUCCAAGCGUCCAAUUAGUACCCCAUAAGCCCAGACCUCUUGCAGGUUUACCACAGCGUUGUCAUACAAAAAGUUUGUUGGCUCGGCCAUUUCUGUUUUGAUCAACAAACAUUCAGUGUGUGCAAGAGCGUGCGAGCCGUUCGCAUAACCUGUAUCAUUUUUUGGAAGGGUCAUGCCCUUGUUUCGACUUUCUAAAUCCCAUGAUUUCUUCAUCAACACUUCCUUUGGUAAAUGAUUUAUUAGUUUACUCUCCCUCAAUAAGAUGGGCAACAACUCCAUCAGUGGCUGCACGAGGAGAAAAAGAUCGACAUCGUCGACGACAGGAUCAUUACAGUCAUAAACUUUGAUCUUUCCCUCAUCGAGUAGUAUCUCAAAAGCCCUAUAAUGUAUGUCGUUCACGCUAAUGACUGCAAUAAUCCUCUUUUCAUCGGUCUAGCUCUUGCCGUGUGAAUUUGGCCUCUCUCCUCUAAUAUAUUUUAUCAUUUUUUCUUCCUCUAAGUCCAAUGUAGAAUUAAGAAAUCAAGUCCCGCGCCACAGGAUGACGUUUCAGAAUUGAGUUGAUCGUACUUAUCCUUGAGCUUCUUGCAGAAGUUGAGGUCCAUUAUCCUAUCGACAGCAUCAUAAUCUUCCGGGUAGCGUCAUAAGCUUCCGAAUAAGUUAAUUGCCUUUUUCUCACGAGGCAGAGAAUUUUGUCAACAUGUUAUAUAAGAAGACAAUUUUUAAAUAGGUUAGUUGUAAAGUUGGUUUAUCUGUAGCAUAGGGUUCUCUGAAUCAAUAAUCCAACGCAACUUAUACAACAGAUGGAUAGUAAGUUGCAACAGAACCACUACCAGUUGCACUAGAAUACCCAGGUGUUGCAACAGAUUUCACAUCUGUUGUAUAGCUUUUUUUUCAUGGGGUAGAUUAGAUUAAAAGGCUAGGUUAGAAAAAGCAAACUUGUCUUGUCCUCAUUCAACAUACGCAUAUCUAUCAUAAUUUGGAAGUCUUGGGGGGGAAAGGGAGGCGUGGGGUAAUCUGGUGCGCCUGGCUUGGCAUUCUUGGCCUGUCGCAGAUCCCUCUUCUCUUUGGGGCCAAGUUCCGUGUAUAUGUCCACUUUCUUGAAUGGCCCAUGAACUUCAACAACUUUUUGAGUGGUAGAAGUUGCAAUUAUUUUUUAUUUUCGAUAGGAGAGUACGUCGAUUAUUGCUCUUUUCUUUCUCCUAACCAACACUGUAGGAGUGUAUGGCUCCCUUACCUUCUUGGAUGGUAUUAUACCCCUCUUGGAUUUGAAUUCCUCAACAGCUUUAGAAAUAGCCUCUACUUUUUCAAAGAGUUUAUCUUAUUGUCCUUGCACUCUUCGCAUUCGUAAUGAGAACACGAGGGUGAAGAGGGGUGAGAGGACCUGUGUAAGGGUGAAAAUGGGUGUUUUCAAACAUAUUUAUUUUUUCUUGAGCAUCAACAUGCUUAUCAUCAUGAAUGGUAGCAGCAUCAGCAUGCCUGCCUCCAACACCAACAAAUCCACCAGAAGAAGCACCCAAAUCUUCCUUAGUAGAUUGGUCAUGAAGAUCCUCAACAUUGGGCUAACCUUGCCUAACUGCUCUUCUUAUGGCUGUUGCUCCAGCCAAUUCCUUUCUUAUUAACUCCACCAUUAAGUCUGCUAUAGUAUCAACAUGACCUAGAGUAAUAUAAAAAGUCAUCAACGACUCCGCCUCAGUAGGCACGAUCCAUGGAUGCACAACCUAGAAAAAAAUGACGGAUAUAUUUAAACCAUAUAAUAUACUAAUUUUCAUAGUUGGGUUAACAUUUUAACGGUCAACUUCUGCAACAGAUUAAUAAUAUGUUGUAUCAGAUUACCCUUCUAUUGCAUAGUUUGUAGUAUUUGGUUAAAAUCUAUUUGAGUCGGGUUCAGAGAAUCAGAGAAACACAAGGAUAAUCUAAUACAAAAUAUCAAUCGUCUGUCACAACAGAUUACUAAUCUGUUGCACUAGUUAAACAAGAUGGGAAAUCUGUUGGGUUACAUGUUAUGCAACAGAUGAUCUGUAUAUGUAUUAAUAAUAUGUUACAUUAGAUUACACAUCUGUUGCAUAAUUUGUAGUAGAUGGUUAAUAUUUUAGGAGUCGAGUUCAGACAACUAAAGCAACAGAUGGGUAAUCUGAUGUAAGAUAUCAAUCUCUGUUGCAACAGAUUAUCCAUCUAUUGCACCGAUUGGCACAGGACGAGUAAUCAAUUGCAAUAGAUGUCCCAUCUAGUGCAUCAGAUAUAACAUCUAUUGCAGCAGAUAUAACAUCUGAUCAAUAUCUUUCAUUGAGUAAAAUUAUUUUACUUGAAGAAGACGUACUGCAUCAUCCGGGGGGUUAAAGAGAUCAACCUCCUUAAUUUUUGUGUUGCUCUUUGCAGCCAACCAUCUAAACAUCCUUGGAUGAGAAACCUCAUCCGGGUAAUCCAUUACCUGCUUUUGGAGAGGAGGAAUGGCUUCAAAUGCUUAAGCCUAAAAAAUAUAAACAGGAAGCGAGCAAAAAAAAGUCAUAAUAACUAUAUUCAAUAUAACUUAAUGGAUAAGUUAAAAUAGUGAUUAAUUUUACCAUGAAAGCCUAAGGAAAGCCGUAUAAUGUGGUCGUCCUUGAGGAUUAUUUUUUAGUAAUUAUUGGACAGUUAAGUAGAAGUUGUCAUAUCCCCAGAUAUAAUUGUUGAAUUUAUCAAAAUCCUCAACACGCGCCAACAAAUCAUCUUCUAUGACCUUGUUGACAUCUCUUGCGAAUAUAACCAAAUGGGAAAACCAAACUAAGCAUAAUUGUUACCUGUACUGCUUUGGUAUGGUUUUAUCCAUGAGAUCAGUCAACAAAUCCGAUGCUUUGUAGCCACGUCGAGCAAUGUCAAAUAACCCAUCUAUUUUUUUCUUGCGUUUUCUUGCCUUGGAUCUUUUGCAGGGUGUUCUCUUGGCAAUAGGUGGUUCUUCUGGAUGAUGGCAUCUCAAGCCCGUCACUAUGGUAAACUCUUGCAAGCCAAAACAAACUGGUAUGCCACAGUAGUUGAUCCAUAUUUCAUCCAUCAUUUUGUUGCCCCCGUCCUUCAGAUCUUCAUCAUCCCCCACGUACUUGAUCUUGUGCUUGAGAAGACCAUAUAACAUCCUCAUAUGGAAAUGGGCAAGGGACUCAAACAGCUCAAUAAAACAUCCAAAGAAGCUCUUCUUAAAAAGUCUAUCUAUGUUUUUGUACUUCAUAAUUUUCCUAAAAUAAAUAAAUUUACUCCCCAUCUUACAUUUAAGUAUAAUUUCACCAGUUAGUUCUUAUUCUGCUUUUUUGUCAUUUAUCGGCAUCGCAACUUAAAACCUGUCAAUUCUAAAAGUUUUGAUAGGAUCAUGCUGGGAUGUCGAUAUUAAUUCACGCCCCAUUGGUGAUCCAUUAUCAUCAUGUUUAUAAUCAUCCUCUUUCUUUUUCUCUUUCUCACUCUCUAAUUUCUCCUCUUUCUCACUUUGAUUUUCUUCAUCACCGUCAAAAUACCCUUGUCCACCUCCCUCAAUGUUAUUUUUAUAUCUCUCCUCAACUUUACUUUUUUUCCCUGACUGAGAAUGUUCAAGAAGCUCCUCCGAAUCCCUCUGUACUGUAGCCUUUUUUGGGGGUGGUCAGACAUUGAUCCACUUUCACUUUCUUUUCUUUUGGGAGACAUAUUUUACCUACAAACAACAGAAAAAAUAAAAAUUACAUUACAAUUGAUGUAUGCAUAAAUUUUAAAAAAUACAUUACAAACACCACCAACAAAUGCCACAAAUACCACGAAUACUGACACCAUCGAUAGCCACCACAAACAUCCCCAACCAAUACCACCACAAACACCACCAACCAAUGCCACCAACAGCCACCACCAGUUCCACCAUGAUGACGACGACGAUGACCAUCACCAUAAUUACCACAAAUACCAACCAACAAUACCACGAUCGUCAAUGAAACAUUGCGAUAGAAACUAGGAUUUUCUCAAGUUCUUUCUAUGAUUUUACCAUCAAAACUAAAAAUUGUAAACCCAUUCUCGAAGAUAAUACAACUAAAAGUUUUCUUUUUCAUCAUUAACUUAAAAGUCCUAUUUUUUUAGAAAAAAAUAACAAAUAUAGAACUCUUCUCAAACUCUGUUACCUAUGAAGACAGAGAAAAUUACUGAUACAAGCAAGAAUGGAGUCAAAAAUAACAUCUAUGUGAUCGAAAAUGAGAAGAAAAUCAAUCUGUUGUGAAGGGUAGAGCAAUUUGUUAAGUAGUUGUAGUGGUUGUUUGUACUGUAUAAUUGAGUGAGAAAGAGAAAAGAGCGAGAACUCGAGAUUUAAAAUCAUGAAAUAUUUUUCUCUCAAAUAGAUGAUUUGUAAGGGUUGAUUUGUAUUUUGGAAAAGAAUGACAAGCUUUGAAAAUGUUAAUAUGGUCCGAAGUGACCUAAAUUAUUUUUUUAAAAUUAUAAAAGAUAUGCGUAAUUUUUAACACUCUUAUCAUGCAAUUGCCAAAAGACUCAAUUGAAGUUGUAGUUGACCCUAUGACAUAACUCACCCACCCCUGGUCCUAGAUUAAUCAAUUUAGGUAUAUGAACUCAAUUGAAAUUGUAUAAAAAUAAAUGUUCAACCUGUUACAUCAGAUAAUCAUCUAUUGUAAAUUAUCAAACAGAUUAAGUAAUCUGUUACGACAAAUUACCCAUCUGUUGUAAAUCAUCAAAUAGGGGCUUCCAUCUGUUGUAGUUUACCCUAUGAAAACUUACCCCUGGUCCUAGAUUAAUCAAUUAAGGUAUUAGUCUAACAUAUGAGGUAGUAAGAAUUGGUUUAGUUCAUAGUGAUCGAUCGACGACUCUGGUCGGGAGGAACGCAAUACCAUCUCACCAUUCAAUUGCCAAAAGACUCAAUUGAAGUAGUAGUUGACCCUAUGAGAACUGAACCUUGGUCCUAGAUUAAUCAAAUUAGGUAUUAGUCUAAAAUAUGAGGUUGUAAGAAUUGGUUCAUCUCAGAGUAAUCGAUCAACGAUUCUGGUCGGGAGGAAUGCAAUACCAUCUCAUUAUUCAAUUGCCAAAAAACUCAAUUGAAGUUGUACUUUACCCUAUGAGAACUUACCCCUGGUCCUAGAUUAAUCAAUUAAGGUAUUAGUCUAACAUAUGAGGUGCUAAGAAUUAGUUCAGCUUAGAGUGAUCGAUCGGUGACUCUGGUCGGGAGGAACGCAAUACCGUCUCAUCAUUCAAUGGCCAAAAAACUCAAUUAAAGUUAUAGUUGACCCUAUGAGAACUCACCCCUGAUCCUAGAUUAAUCAAUUAAGGUAUUAGUCUAACAUAUGAGGUAGUAAGAAUCAGUUAAGCUCAGAGUGAUCGAUCGACGACUCUGGUUGGGAGAAACGCAAUACCAUCUGAUCACUUAACUGCCAAAAUACUUAAUUAAAAUUGUAGUUGACCCUAUGAGAACUCACCCCUAGUCCUAGAUUAAUCAAUUAAGGUAUUUGUCUAACAUAUGAGGUAGUAAGAAUCGAUUAAUCUCAGAGUGACUGAUCGACGAAUAUAGUCAGGAGAAAUCCAAUACCGUCUUAUUAUUCAAUUGCCAAAAGAGUCAAUAGAAGUUGUAGUUGACCCUAUGAGAAAUCACCCAUGGUCCUAGAUUAAUCAAUUAAGGUAUUAGUCUAAAAUAUGAGGUAGUAAGAAUUGGUUCAGCUUAGAGUGAUCGAUCGAUAACUCUGGUCGGGAGAAACGCUAUACCAUUUUAUCAUUCAAUUUCCAAAAGACUCAAUUGAAAUUAUAGUUGACCCUAUGAGCCUGGUCCUAGAUUAAUCAAUUAAGGUAUUAGUCUAACAUAUGAGGUAGUAAGAAUCGGUUCAUCUCAAAAUGAUCGAUCGAUGACUCUGGUCGGGAGGAAAGCAAUACCAUCUGAUCAUUUAAUUGCCAAAAUACUAAAUUGAAGUUGCCGUUGACCCUAUGAGAACUCACCCUUGGUCCUAGAUUAAUCAAUUAAGGUAUUAUUCAAACAUAUGAGGUAGUACGUAUUGGUUCAUCUCAGAGUAAUCAAUCUACGACUCUGGUCUGGAGGAACGCAAUACCAUCUUAUCAUUCAAUUUCCAAAAAACUCAAUUGAAGUUGUAGUUAAUCCUAUGAGAACUUACCCCUGGUCCUAGAUUAAUCAAUUAAGGUAUUAGUCUAACAUAUAAGGUAGUAAGAAUUGGUUCAGCUCAGAAUGAACGAUCGACAACUCUGGUUGGGAGAAGAGCAAUACCGUCUUAUCAUUCAAUUGCCAAAAGACUCAACUGAAGUUGUAGUUGACCCUAUGAGAACUCACCCCUAGUCCUAGAUUAAUCAAUUAAGGUAUUAGCCCAAUAUAUGAGGUAGUAAAAAUCCGUUCAGCUCAGAGUGAUCGAUCGACAACUCUGGUCGGGAGAAACGCAAUACCGUCUCAUCAUUUAAUUGCCAAAAAAGUCAAUAAAAGUUGUAGCUGACCCUAUGAGAACUCAGCCCUGGUCCUAGAUUUAUCAAUUAAGAUAUUAGUCUAACAUAUAAAGUAGUAAGAAUCAGUUUAGCUCAGUGUGAUCGAUCGAUGACUCUGGUUGGGAGAAACGCAAUACCGUCUCAUCAUUAAUUCCCAAAAGACUCAAUUGAAGUUGUAGUUGACCCUAUGAGAACUUACCCCUAGUCCUUCAUUAAUCUAUUAAGGUAUUAGUCUAAUAUAUGAGGUAGUAAGAAUCGGUUCAGGUCAGAGUGAUCGAUCGACGACUUUGGUCGAGAGGAAUGCAAUACUGUCUCAUCAUUCGAUUGCCAAAAGACUCAAUUAAAGUUGUAGUUGACCCUAUGAGAACUCACCCCUGGUCCUAGAUUAAUUAAUUAAGGUAUUAGUCUAACAUAUGAGGUAGUAAGAAUUGGUUCAUCUCAGAGUGAUCAAUCGCGACUUUGGUAGGGAGGAAUGUAAUACUGUCUCAUCAUUCAAUUGCCAAAAGACUCAAUUAAAGUUGUAAUUGACCUUAUGAGUACUCACCCCUAGUCCUAGAUUAAUCAAUUAAGGUAUUAGUCUAAUAUAUGAUGUAGUAAGAAUCGGUUCAGCUAAGAUUGAUCGAUUAACGACUGUGGUCUGGAGGAACACAAUACCAUCUCAUUAUUCAAUUGCCAAAAGACUCAAUUAAAGUUGUAGUUUACUCUAUGAGAACUCUCCCCUGGUCCUAGAUUGAUAAAUUAAAGUAUUAGUCUAACAUAUGAGGUAGUAAGAAUUGGUUCAACUUAGAGUGAUCGAUCGACGACUUUGGUCGAGAGGAAUGGAAUACUGUCUCAUCAUUCGAUUGCCAAAAGACUCAAUUAAAGUUGUAGUUGACCCUAUGAGAACUCACCCCUGGUCCUAGAUUAAUCCAUUAAGGUAUUAGUCUAACAUAUGAGGUAGUAAGAAUUGGUUCAACUCAGAGUGAUCGAUCGACGACUCUGGUCGGGAGAAAUACAAUGUCGUCUCAUCAUUUAAUUACUAAAAGACUCAAUUAAAGUUGUAGUUGACCCUAUGAGAACUCACCCCUGGUCCUAGAUUAAUCCAUUAAGGUAUUAGUCUAACAUAUGAGGUAGGAAGAAUUGGUUCAGCUUAGAGUGAUCGAUCGAUGACUCUGGUUGGGAGGAACGCAAUAUCAUCUCAUCAUUCAAUUGACAAAAGACGCAGUUGAAGUUGUAGUUGACCCUAUGAUAACUCACCUCUGGUCCUAGAUUAAUCAAUUAAGGUAUUAGUCUAACAUAUGAGGUAGUAAGAAUUGGUUCAGCUUAUAGUGAUCUAUCGAUAACUCUGGUCGAUGACUCUUAUCGAAAGAAACGCAAUACCGUCUCAUCAUUCAAUUGCCAAAAGACUCAAUUGAAGUUGUAGUUGACCCUAUGAGAACUCACCUCUGGUGCUAGAUUAAUCAAUUAAGGUUUUAGUCUAAUAUAUGAGGUAGUAAGAAUCAGUUCAGCUCAAAGUGAUCGAUCAACAACUCUGGUAAAGAGAAAUGCAAUACCGUCUCAUUAUUCAAUUACCAAAAGACUCAAUUGAAGUUGUAGUUGACCCUAUGAGAACUCACCCCUGGUCCUAUAUUAAUCAAUUAAGCUAUUUGUCUAACAUGUGAAAUCAAUUAAAAUUGUAUUAAAACAAAUGUUCAACCUAUUGCAACAAAUGUCUUUUCUGUUGGAUUUAAUCAAAUAGAUUAAGUCAUCUAUUGCAACAUAUUACGCAUCUGUUACGACGGAUGACCGAGCUUUGGUAAUUUUCAAAUAGAAAUUUUUAUCUAUUGCACUUAGAUAUUUAAAGACCCUUUUUUUUCUAAAGCAAUUUAGGUAAUUCCUGUCCGAGAUAAAAAAAAAAGGUAAAAUACUAAGGCAGUAAAAAAUAUUACUUGGAUAACUCAAAAAUCUCCUGAGUGAGUAGUCUAAUCUGGUCUUUUCAAUGUCACCGUCUCCUUGUGCCCCUUAAAAGAUAAAAGUUAUUAAUGAAUAUUUACAACCUAUAUCUAGAAGAAUACUCUUUCCUUCAGUCAUAACAUAAGUAAGACUCAAGACUCAACUCAACUCAUCUAUCACUCUUUCUUUCUUUCCUUUUUGCCUCUUUUUUCUCUCUUCUUUCGAAUGAGGAUGCUUUCGGAUCUCAACCGAUCAAUAUCUUUUCUCGACUAAAUUGGAUGUUCUGAUCCCUUUACUUUUUUGACAUUGCAGGUAUGGUUCACUAUUGCUAUUUCCAUCUCGUCUUCUUUUUGGUAUGUCAUUUGAAUUAGAUAUUUACAUUUGUUGCUAUUGAUGAUUUACCCAUUACCUGUUUUUUAUUUAUUGAGAAAAUUGAACGAAAGGUGAUUUUUAAGUCUUGAAAGAACGAACCUUUGUUUUUAUAUCUGUUACAAAAUGCCUUAUCAAUUGAACAGAUGGGUAAUAUGUUCCAUCAGAUUGGUCAUCUGUUGAUUAACUUAAUUUUGUAUUACCCUUUGGUACAAAUAGAGCAAGUGUUUUUAGAAAUCAAACCAGUAGCAAGGCUGAUUUGAUUUAUUCAAAUAGAUGAUCCAUCUAUUGUAACAUGUCAUCCAUCUGUUGCAACAGAUGCCUCAUCAGUUGAGUAGAUGGGUAAUCUAUUAUAUCAGAUUGGUCAUCUAUUGAUUCUCUCAAUUUUGUGUUACUUUUGUAAUGUUCUUUUUCUUCUUCUUUUGUUUGACAUCAAAUGUAUUUCUCUUAUUUGUAGAUAAAAGAAAGUGAAACUAGAUCAUUUUUUGCCUGACCAGUAUCAAAGACUAGUGUAAAAAUGGGUUCAGAGGAAUAAGCUGCUUGCAGAUGGAACCACUUUAUAGGUGGGAGGUAUGUAUUACUGAUCAACUUAUCGUGAAAACACACAUCCAGUACAAUGAUUUUGUGAAUAUUUGUUCUUUACCUAUUACGCAUUAAUUCUUCAAACAAUAUAUGACAUUUUACAGUUAAGAUUGUUAGGUUCAAAAUAGUAAGGUUGAGGGACCAAGUAGGUGGUGUCGAUACCCUGUUACAAUUUAAUGACUAUUUAUGCUCAUGUUUUUAUGUCAAGUUUAGGGAAGGGUUCAAGUUUUUAGCGGCAGUGUAAAUAUUCAAUAGUGAUUGGACCGGUUUUAAUGGCUUAAUGGACUUCUUGAAAGACCUCCAAAGCCUCGCACUGCAGCAAACACUAAUGGAACUAAUAGAAAUUCCCCUGGUCCAAAUUUAUAUGGAUGGCUUAUUAGAGAAGACUAUUAUACAGCAGUAUGUGCUUGGGAGAAUACUUGUAUGGGAAGGGGGAGGUUGAGAAGGUCAUAUAUCAUCUCAGACCUUGUUUAAGAGAAAACACAAGUUAGGAAGGAAAGUGUAGCAAAAUUGGCUGAUGAAAUUGACAUGAAAAAUAAAAAAAUAGGAUGAGCUGCGAAUGUGAAAGCGUAUCCAAAAAUGAAAAUCCAUCAGUCGUUAAAGUAAAAGAAGAAUGCUCAAGAGGACUGAAGCUGGUCACUUUUCUAGAGACUACAACUAGUGAGCGUGGCCUCAAUGAAGACCCACAAAAUAUAGGACCAGAACUCUAAGGAAGUAGCUUCGCGAGCAUGGAAGGUUGUAAGAUUGUUGGUCAAAAUUGAAACCUGAACCAACUACUCCUGAAUUAAAAAUACGGGAUCAAGACAAGGUGGUAAUUUCUCAAGUUAAACUUGCAUCCCAUGCCUCCUGUUUAUGGCUCUGUUCAGGUCAAAGGCAGUGGAAACAACAAGGCAUGAGAUUUUUGUCUAACUUCAGACCUUUUUGUUUACUGCCAUCAACCUGAUCAUAGCCACAAACAGAAGGCAUGGUAUGCAAUUUUAACUUAAGAAAUUGCCACCUUGGCUUGAUCCCGUAUUUUUAAUUUAGGAGUAGUUGGUUCAGGUUUCAAUUCUAACCGACAAUGGUAUCAAUUUCCUUUACUCGUGAAACUUCUAUCUUAGAGCUCUGAUCCUGCACUUUGUGAGAGUCUUCAUGGAGGCCAUGCUCGCUUGUUACAUUCUUUAGCAAAGUGUCCAGCUCCAGUCCUGUUGACCAUUCUUUUUUUCAACGACUGACGGAUUUUUAUAUUUGGAUACAUUUCCACAUCUGAAGCUCAUCUAGUUUUCCAUUUCUCAUGUCAAUUUCAUUGGCCAGAUUCGCUAGAAUUUCCUUUCUUGCUCCCCUGUGUUUCCAUCCUCUUAAACAAGGUCUGAGAUGAUAUAUGGAUUUCCCUACCACCACCCCUUCCCGCACAGGUAUUCUCCCAAGCACCUUUUGUUGUAUAAAAGUCUCCUCCAGCAAUCCGUCUAUAUAAUUUUGGAAUAGGGGAAUUUCUAUUGGUUUCAUUAUUUUUUGCUGCAGUGCGAGGCUUUGAAGGCCUUUUAAGAAGUCCAUUGUACCAUUAAAACUAGUCCAAUCACUAUUGGAUAUUUACACUGUUGCCAAAAACUUGAACCUCUCCCCAAAAUUGACAAAAAAACAUAAGCAUAGACCGUUUUUAAAUUAUAAUAGGGUAUCGACACCACUGUAUUGGAACCCUUCAAUCUUAUCAGUUUGCACCUAUCAAAUUAAACUGUACAAUACAGGAUCUUAUUUGAAGGACUAGUGUCUAAUCUGUAAAAAAACUACAUUCACAAAAUCAUUGCACUUUAUGUGUGUUUGUCGCGGUAGACUGAUCAUAAUACAUAACUCCCAUGCAUGAAAGUAGAUCCAUUGCACGUACCUUAUUCUUCCUGCCCCAUCAAAGACACUACAGUAUUGUUUAUUCAUCUGCACACAUGUGAUGACUAUUAAAAAAGAGCUGUGAAGAGUCGUGACUUUUUAUCUUAACACAUUCAAAACUAUUGAUGAAUCAAAAUCUCUAUCUAUUGCAAUUGAUGAAUCAACUGUUGGAAGAAGUCAAAAUAUCUCCUCUAAUAUAUGGUCUAUCUGUCACAACAGAUAAUCCAUAUGUUGCAACAGAUUGUAAAUCUAUUGCGAUAGACCAAACAUUGUUUAUUCAUCUGCACGUAUGUGAUGACUACUAAAAAAGAGGUGAAGAGUCAUGACUUUUUGUUUAACACAUUUAAAAUAGCUGAUGAACCGAAUUCUCCAUCUAUUGUAACUGAUGAAUCAGCUGUUACAAGAAAUCAAAAUAUCUCCAACAUAUGAUCCAUCUGUCCCAACAGAUAAUCUAUAUAUUGCAAUAGAUGGUAAAUCUGUUGCGACAGACCGGACAAGGUUUAUUCAUCUACACGUAUGUGGUGACUAUUAAAAAAGAGGCAUUGGUGACUUUUUAUCUAACACAUUCAAAACAGCUGAUGAAUCAAAUUCUCUAUCUGUUGUAACUGAUGAAUCAAAUGUUAGAAGAAAUCAAAACAUCUCCAAUAUAUGGUCCAUCUGUCACAAAAGAUAAUUUAUAUGUUGCAACAAAUGGUAAAUCUAUUGUGGCAGAUAGACGAUCUAUUGCAACAGCUCAAUAAUAACGAUUGUUAUUAAUUCUCAAAACCAUUUUGAAAAGGUGAAAAGUAUUAAUGUAAACGAAAAAGUCACGACUUUUCACAGAAACAAAAUGUUACCAGUUUGAAUGUAAUUAAUACAAUGGAGCUUGACAGACGUGCCUUUUGUCCUUACACAUCCAGAUUCAAUCCUUUAUAAAUAGGUCCCUCAUUAAUCUUCAUUCUGCUAAACUUUAUUUAUUUUCUGCAUUUUUUCUUUUCAUGUGACAUCUUCAACAAUUUCUUCAAAGAGCAUAUUCCUUUGUCGUUGAGGUAAGUUUUUUCUGGUGUAAAUCUACCAGUUUGUAGUAUACGUUGUAUUACAUUUGGACUCUUUUGUUUACAUUUGUGAAUUCAUAAGUGUUCUAGAUAAGGCUGAUCCUGUUUGGGACAUUGCUAUUCUGCACAACACCAUAUGGGAACUACAGGUUAGUGACUUGUAGAUGGAGUUGGUCGCCAUGAGAGCGACGAUGUUCAGAGAGAUGCAAAGGUUGAUGAGGACCUUGCUGCUAUGAGUUGAUUGGCCGGCUGUCAUUAAUGAUGAUGAUGAUGAUGAUGAUAAUGAUAAUAAUAAUUACAAUGUGCUUUUUCUUUUAGCAUAUGUAUUUUAAUUUUUCUAUAUCGGAUCUAUACCUAAUGUAUUUUAGUUUUUGUUUAAUGAAAAAUUUAUUUUUACUUGACUUUGACUUUUAAUUUUUAUUCAAUUUUUAUUCUAUCUAUUUCUUCUUCUAAAAAUUUUACAUGUUAACAUGUCGACGGUUGGAGGUAAGGAGCAAUUUUGAAUCUAGUAGAAAUAGCAAUUUUGGCUUUUGAGUUCUUUCAACAGAUGGACCAUGUGUUAGAACAGAUUGGUCAUUGGUUGGGUUUUUGUCAAUAGAUUAUCCAUUUGUUGUGACAGAUUUAUCAUCUGUUGGAUGAAAACAUUCCAUUUUUACGGAAAUGUAUUAUUUUCUUCCAGCUAAUGUUCAUUUGUUGCCACAGAUGGGUAAUCUGUUGAAAAUACUUGUGGUCUGUUGUAUUAUUUAGUUUAUGUUUUGCCUUUAUUUAUUGAUGCACAAGUUAUUAAAAAAGAUAUCUUAUAUAUAUAAUAAAUGAUAACUUUACGUUCACAACAAUGAUUUAAAUAUAUAAAAGUACACCACAAACAACAACACAAGUUUUUGCAAUUACAACGAUCAUGGCAGAUUACGAUUCAGGCAUGUAGUUCUUUUGUGGCCAGCGAGCUUACAUAUGGAGCACUUGUUUCUUCUUGAUGAAAAUGAUUCUCCAACUCCACGCCUCCUCUUAUUUGGGUUUCUUCCCGGUUUGAUAGUGCUUGGGUCAAUAUAUGGAGGAGGUAUUAAUCUUCCCAUAAGCUCUGUAGGUCAAUAUAAGAAUGUACCUAUUCGAUGGACAGAAUACCCGGGACCAUCUCCCAAAACCGACACAUACAAGAAAUAAUGCUACCUUGGGAUUCACAUCUGUUAUUUGAUUGAAAUGGUAUAAAAACUCCUCUCUACUAUAUGCUUUAGUUGCUCUAUAAAAGAGGGUCACGAUCCUUUCAUUGUGAUAGUUGGUCCGAAUGGUCUCUCCAAGAUGCCUGAUGCAACAACCAAAGUAAGCUGAAGUAAAGAAACGUGAAAUCAUCUUUGAAAUACUUGGAUAAAUAUCCGAUACAAAACAUAACCCUUCGGUAUAUUCGACGCAGCUUCGCAGCUGUUUAAGAAAAAAUCUAUUAGAGGCAUCACAUUCCUUGUCCGCUACAUAAAAAGCGACAGGAAAGAUGUGAUUCUCUGCAUCCUGUGCCACCAUCGCUAGCAGAACUCCAUUAUACCUGCUCCUCAAGAAGGUACCGUCGACGGCUGUGCCUUUUCUCAAAUGUCAAAAAUCUUGAAUCCAAGCACCAUAGGAUACAAAAAAGUAAUUGAACCUUCCGUUUUCAUCAAGAUGCAAUGCCGUCUUACUUUCGGAAUUUGUGGACUCAAUCAUGUAACGGUAGGCAUCCAGGACUGCAUACCCAUGCUCGAGUGUCCCCCUAACCAAGUCCUUGGCAAUCCCCAUGGCUACAUAUAUCUUCCAAUAACUGACCAGGAUACCCAAUUCCACAAGGAUUUGAUUGGCCAUAACCCUUGUUGAAGGGCCUUUGCCAUUAGGGAAACUACUCCUGAAAUAUUCAUCGAGGACCUUUGUCGUGGCGUGAGUAUUUUGGCCCGAGAUGUGAUCCGAACCACAUGUGUGAUGCUUUUCAUGUUUAUGAAUGUCAAAUCUAUCAAAACCUAUGUACUUCGCCGCUCUCAACCACCACUUGCAUUUUGAAUUAGCACAUUUGAAGCUAAAGACACUGCUCAAAUUAAUCACCUUCUUUAUUCUGAAAUCUUUUUUCAAGCAAAAAAUAAACAAAGUUGUAGAUAGUUUAUUCUUGUCCUUGAAUGACAUUCUAAUAAAAAAUCCGUUCCCAUCGUCUUGAAGACUUUCAGACUGUGUCAAUUGAGAAGAACUGCACAUCGUAUUGGUCGCAUCAACGGGCGUAGGUGUUUGAUCUUCAUCUGGAAUAUUCAUGUCUAGAUCAUCCAACCUAUCAUCAAAUAUAUCUUGUUGUUGUUUUUCUUAUACGUUAUGAUUCUCAUUCUCUGUAGUCUUUUCAACCACGCACACCCUUAACACCGGCCUAGAUGAAUCACUAAGAUAAGCACACAAUCAAACCUGAUCGGUUAUCUUAAAAGGCAGUACCCUCUGAUUUUCAAAGGAGCUGUGCAUGUAGCUGUUGAUAAGUUCUUCCGAUUGAUAAUUCAGUCCACAAUAACUGAUGAUUAAGUUCACAAAAUCAUCAUACAAACAACACUUUGGACAGUCAUAGCUAUUAUCUUUAGCAUUUCACCCUCGUUCCAACGCCAUACAUAUCGAUUGCUCUUCGCGAUCCAUUGACCAUGACAAUCCACCCCUAUUAUUAUUGAUCCCUCCAUUAGUGGUACCUAAAUAAAGUCAUUUGUUAAAAAAAGUUAAUGGUGAUUUCAUAGUGCCGUGAAUGAAUCCCAACAGAUGUGUAAUCAGUUGCAACAGAUUACUUACCUGUUGGGAUUCAUGUUACGCUCCUAAAGCUUAUUUCAACAGAUGAGUCAUUUGUUGUAACAUGUGAAUCAUAUAUUGCAAAAGAUUAUAUAGUUGUUGGGAUUGAUAUUAUAGUACCGAGGCACCUUUGAAGCUGAUUCCAAUAAAUGAGUGACAUGUUCCAACAGACAAUUAACCUAUUGCGACAGAUGAUUUACCUAUUGCAACAAACUAUGAUCUGUUGGAAUCGAGGUCAGGUUCUAUCACAACAGGUUAUUAAUAUAUUGAAAUAGAUAUUUACCAUCUGUUGGAAUAGAGCUUGAGUUCUGUUGCAACAGGUUAAUAAUCUGUUGCAAUAGAUACUUACCUUGUUGCAACAGACAACACGUCUGUUGGAAUCGAGUUCAGGUUUUGUUGCAACAAGUUUAUAAUAUGUUGUAACAGAUAUUUAUCAUCUUGCACCAGAUAACUAAUCUGUUUAAAUAGAUAAAUCAUCUGUUGCAACAGAUAACCCAUCUGUUUGAUUCAUGUUACGGUAUAUAGAACCAUAAACAUGAAUCCAACAUAUCAGUCUUCCGUUGAAACAGAUGUCUUAUCUGUCAUAACAGAUGAUUUAUUUGUUUAAACAGAUGGGUCUUAUGUUGGAUUCAUGAUCAGGUUCUAUCCAUUAUUGGAAAAACAGCACAAUAGCAAUUACCCAGAUGAAAAAUUCAACUAAACAUCAUAAUUUUACUUACCAAAGUCUCCUAUGAAGUAAUGCCAAAGUGGAAAGUGAUAUACGAAACAAGAUUUGACCUAAGAAAUUGAUCAAAUAGCAACAGUAGCGAUAACAACAACAACAACAACGAAAAUGGUCAACAAGAAGAAGAUGAAGAUGAUAAUGAAGUAGAAGAUGAUGAUAAUGAAGCAGAAAAUAAUGAAUAAAGCAGCAGCAACAAUGAACAACAAAAAUUGCUAAGAGAGAGAAAACAAUCAUGGAUGAGAAGAGAGAGAAAGAUGCCUUUUUUCCCUCCUUUCCCGUUAUAUUAGGUAAAUAUUUGGAUCAAAGUAUAAAUUUUAAAACUCCUGGGCUAUUCUCAAACUUACCAAAUUUUCUUAAUCUAUAAUAAAGAAAUUGUCACCUCCACUUAAUAAUUAAGACUUAUGUUACCUACACCUCAUUUUAAAACUCUUUUGUCACUUACAGCCCAAAGCCCCUAGUUUGUGGGGCAUUGAAAGAGAGAGUAUUGGUUUUCAUGGUUUGAAAAAUAAGAUUUAAAUAAUAUAUGUUAAAAAUCGAUUAAAAAUAGCCUACGUUAAAAAUAAAAGUAAGAGUUAAAAAUAGUCCAAAGUUAAAAAUAAAUGUAAAGAUUAAAAGUAGGUUUAAAAUAGGUAUGGAUUAGAAAAUGGCUGACAGUUUUUCUUCAAUAAAUUCACAGAUCCAUGAGGAUCGAUGAAGGCUCUUGAUACCACUAUUAUGGAAUGAAAAAGAUAAGAAAGAAAAUUAAAUAGAAACUGAAUGACAACUCUUGAUAUUGAUUCUUUUCAUUGAUUCAAAUAGAAGAGUACAUCUCUAUUUAUAAGAAACUAAAUAAAACAAAGAGAAAAUACUCAAUUACCCCCUGAACUAUACCUAAAAAGGCUAUGACAUACCUCAACUUAAAGGGGGUCCUAUUACCCCCUGAACUAAUUAAAAGUGUAAUUUUGACACCCUUAGUGCCUACCUGGCACAUAUGUGGCACACACGUGUGCCUACGUGGACAUUUCAAUGUCUUGUGCCACGUAUGUGCUACAUAGGCUUGUUGAUAUCCCUAUAUAUAUUUUUCUAUUUCCCUUUUUAUACAAAAUUAUAAAGGGUUAAAAUCUUUUUACCUUCCUUAAUUUUACUUUAAAAAUCAAACUUCCUCCUCAAUUGUAACAAUAAAUAUUCUCCCUCCUUUUUUCUAUUUGUCUUUUUAAAUACCUAUUUUACACUUACUCUAUUAAUCUUUAUUUUUCUUUACCUAUUUAAAAUCAUGAUUUUUUUUUAAUUUUGUAAUAUGUUUAGCAAAUUUCUUUAAACAAAAGUUAAGUAUUAUUUUCUAGACGAAAAAAGAAAGUUAGAAUCCUUAAUUUAAUUUAUUAUAUAAGUAAUUAUGUUCUAAAUGAAAUAAAAAAAAUAAUUUAUUCAUAAUAAUCAAAACUGUAAUAUCUAUUUAUACAAGUGAAAAUAAAAAAUAAAAAUAAUGUAAUAAAAAUAUUUCAAUGCAUUUAAUAUAAUAAUAUUUAUAAAGAGGAGAUGUAUUUUAUAACAAAUUAGUUCCUAAAGUUUCCUUAUAUUGUAAAUAAAUUUUAAUUUAUUAUUUAGAAUAUUUCAUUAAUGACAAUCAAAACUUAUUUAUCUACAUAAACAAUAGAAAAUAAGAGAAGCGAAACUUAAAUAUGCACACAAUACAUGUGCAUACAUAUGUAUAUAUACAUACUUAAUGCAUGUAAUAAAAUAGCAAUCAUAAAAAAUAGUAUUAGCUUUUCUGACAAGUUCAUAAAAAUAUUAUUUUUACUUAUAAUACUAAAGAAUUUUAAAUAAAAAAUAUAUAAAUACUUAAGUAAAAUAAAUAUGUAGAGUAUAAAAAGAUAUUAUAUAGGUGAAAAAUUAUAAAUGUCAAGGUCAAAAUAGACAUUGUCAAGGUAAAAGGGAAAGGAUACUUAUUAUUCAGAGUUGAAGUGAGAAUUUGAUUUUUAAAAUAAUGUUGAGAGAAAAAAAACGUUUUUCACCCAAUUAAAGAUGUAGCAAUGAUUAUGGGCAAAAAGGUGCAUAUAUUAAUAAAGAAUUAUAUUUUUUGGUAAAUUAUAAAGAUAUAAGAUAUACAUUUAAUGGAAUAGAAUAAAUUAAUUCGUUUCAUGAAAAAAUUAUAUAUAUAUAUAUAUAUAUAUAUAUGCAUGUAUGUAGGGGGUUUGGGCCACAGGUGACAAAAGAGUUUUAAAAUGAAGUGUAGGUGACACAAGUCUUAAUAAUUGAGUAGAGAUGACAAUUAGUUAAUUAUGGUAUAAGAAAGUUUUGGAAAUUUCAAAAUAACCUACAAGUUUUUAAAUUAACACCUUGAUCUAAAUGUUAGUUAAUAUAUAACGGGGAACGAAGGGAUAAAAGACGCCUUUUUCUCUUUCCUCAUCUAUUGUUAUUUUCUCUCUCUUCGCGAUAUUUGUUGUUCAUUGUUGUUGUUGCUUUAUUCAUCAUCUUCUGAUUCAUUAUCAUCAUCUUAUACUUCAUUAGCAUCUUCAUAUUCUUCUUAUUGACCAUUGUUGUUGUUGCUACCCCAACUGCUGCUCUUUGACCAAAUUCUUAUGUCAAAUUUUAUUUCGUAAAUCACUUUCAACUUUGAAAUUUACUUGAGAGGAGACUUUGGUAAGUCAGAUUAUGCUUUUUAGUUGAAUCUAGGUAACUGCUAGUGUGUUGUUUUUUCAACAAUAGCUUGCACGCGAACAUGAAUGCAAUACAAGAGCAAUCAGUUUAAACUGAUCCAUUAUCUGCGGCAACAGAUAAAUGUUCUGUUGUAACAGUAGACUCAUGUUGGAUGGAUACAUGUUUAAGGGUUUUAGGUGCCCGUAAUAUGAAUCGAAUAGAUCGGUAUUUUGUUGCACCAAAUUAGUAAUCUGUUUUAACAGAUAAAUAAUCUGUUUUAUCAUAUUACUAAUAUGUUUCGAACAAAAAAAUUCAGAUACAGCUCCUGUCACACACAAAGCCUAACAGAUAACUCAUAUGUUCUUGCUAUUGAUACUAGAAUCAAAUUAUUUCUUAAUUUUAGACAUGUCAUUCGUUAAGAAAUAAAAAUAGAUAGCACGAAAAUUAAAUAAGAAAUAAAAAGUCAAGUGCAUCAAACAUAAUUUUUUAUAAGACAAACAAAAAAAGUACAUAGAUAAUAGAAAAAAAAAAAAGCUUAAUUAUUAUUAUCAUCAUUAUUAACAUCAUUAUUAUUUGUAUGGCAAGCCAGCCAAUCUUCAAAAGAAAGCAGCAGCGCCCUCCGCAGCCUGCAGAUCUCCCACAGUAUCCUUACUGUGACGACGGCCAACUCCCAAUGCAAGUCAUGAACCUCCUUCUGCAGUUCCCUCAUGGUGUCUCGUAAAAUAGCGACAUACCACAAAGGAUCAAUCAUAUCUAUAAAAUGCAUAAGUUGACAAAACACACAGGUAAACACAAAAGUAAAGAAAAGAAAGAAUUCGAAUGUAAUAUAAUACAAAAUAUAUUUACACAAAAAUCAAGAAAAAAACUUACCAGAGACAGAAAAAAGCUAUCAAGUCCUUGAAGAGAAAGUAGUUGAAGGUGUAACAAGAGCGAGGAAUAAAUAGUGUGUAGUAGAACGAACGAUUGAGUAAGGAGGGACCUAUUUAUAAAGGAUUGAACUUGAAUAAGUUAGGCAAAAAAUCACAAAUUUUCACCUCCAUUUAUUAAUGACAUUCUUGAUUACUGUAAAAAGUUAUGACUUAAUUAAAUUAAUCAAUAUUAUGAUAAGUCAUGACUUUUCAGCUUUAUUAUUAUUAAUAAUUAUUUCUUUCCAGGAACCAUUUUAAUUACACUGUUUUGGACAAUAUAUAAUAUAUCUGUUACAUCAGAUAAAUCAUCUGUUACAACAGAUAUAUCAUGAUUUGCAACAAAUAGAUAACCUGUUGUAUCAGAUAAUAUAUCUGUUGCAACAUAUAAUAUAUAUUUUAAAAAAAAAAUUAUCUUCAUGACAUUCAAAUUUUCUGACUUUUUAAUUAUAUAAAUUAAUAAAGCAGAUUUAAAGGCACAACUGUUCAUCUCCAUUUAUUAAUGAUAUUCUUGAUUACUGUAAAAAUUUAUGAGUUAAUUAAAUUAAAUAAUAUUGUGAUAAGUCAUGACUUUUCAGAUUUUUUAUUAAAAUAAUUAAUUCUUUACAGGAACCAUUUUUUAUUUACAAUGAGUUGGACAACAGAUUAUAUAUCUGUUGCAUCAGAUAAAUCAUCUAUUACAACAAAUAUAUCAUCCGUUGCAACAAAUAGAUAACCUGUUAUAUAAGAUAAUAUAUCUGUUGCAACGUAUAAUUUAUAUAUUUUUUUAAAAAAAUAUAUUAUCUUCAUGACAUCCAAAUUUUUUUACUUUUUAAUUAUAUAAAUUAAUAAAGCAGAUUUAAAGGCACAGCUGUUCACCUUGAUUUAUUAAUGACAUUCCUGAUUAUUGUAAAAAGUUAUGACUUAAUUAAAUUAAUCAAUAUUAUGAUAAGUCAUGACUUUUCAGCUUUAUUAUUAUUAAUAAUUAAUUCUUUUCAGGAAUCAUUUUUUUACACUGAGUUGGACAACAUAUAAUAUAUCUGUUGCAUCAAAUAAAUCAUCUGUUACAACAGAUAUAUCAUGAUUUACAACAAAUAAAUGAUCUUCAUGACAUCCAAAUUUUUUGACUUUUUAAUUAUAUAAAUUAAUAAAGCAAAUUUAAAGGCACAACUGUUUACCUCUAUUUAUUAAUGACAUUCUUGAUUACUGUUAGAAGUUAUGACUUAAUUAAAUUAAACAAUAUUGUGAUAAGUAUUAACUUUUCAGCUUUAUUAUUAUUAAUAAUUGGUUCUUUUCAGGAACCGAUUUUUUUUACGCUGAGUUGGAUAGAUAAUAUAUCUGUUGCAUUAGAUAAAUCAUCUGUUAUAACAGUUAUAUCAUCAUUUGCAUCAAAUAGAUAACUUGUUACAUCAGAUAAUAUUACUGUUGCAACAUAUAAUAUAUAUAUUUUUUUAAAAAAAAUAAAUUAUCUUCAUAAUAUCCAAAUUUUAUGACUUUUUAAUUAUAUAAAUUAAUAAAGAAGAUUUAAAGGCACAACUGUUCACCUCCAUUUAUUAAUGACAUUCUUGAUUACUGUAAAAAAAUUUGACUUAAUUAAAUUAAGCAAUAUUGUGAUAAGUCGUGACUUUCAGCUUGAAGCUUAGCUUUAUAAUUAUUAAAAUAACUAGCUCUUUCCAGCAACCAUUUAUUUUUUACACUGAGUUGCACAACAUAUUAUAUAUUUGUUGCCUCAGAUAAAUCAUCUGUUAUAACAAAUAUAUCAUCCAUUUCAACAAAUAGUUAACCUGUUGCAUCAGAUAAUAUAUCUGUUGCAACAUAUAAUACAUAUAUCUUUUUUAAAAAAAAUUAUCUUAAUGACAUUCAAAUUUUCUGACUUUUUAAUUAUAUAAAUUAAUAAAGAAGAUUUAAAAACAAGAAUAUUUCUGGUGAGUUUUUUACGGUUUAAAUUGUGUUUAUCAUUUAUUUCCUUAUUCUUUUCUGUGAAAAGAAAUGACUUAAUUAAAUCAAGCUAGUGGUGAUUUCUUAUUAUUGUGACAAGUCAUGACUUUUCAUAUUAUUAAAUUUUGAAUAACCUUUUUCUCAAUUUAAAAAUCGAAUACACCUGAUUUUCAAUAACCGUUCUAUUUCUUUAAUAACCAUUUUUAUUAAUUGAGUUAUGGCAACAGAUUGUCUAUCUGUUGUAUCAGAUAACCCAUCUAUUGCUAUAAAUCGACCAUCUGUUUAAGGAGCUUUUUUUAUUUCUUCUAACUGAUUCAUAAGUCGCGAUAGAUGAGGAAUUUGAUGCAUCAAAAACGUUUUUUGUUUUUGUUUGUUUAUUGAAUGUGUUUAGACAAAAGUCACAGUCACGACUGUUCAUUAAAUUUUUUCUUAAAAUCAUAUCAUCAUAUAUAUAUUUUAAUUAAAUUAAUCCAAUGUUGUAACUUUUUUUAAAUUAAAUAAUCUUUUUUUUACGAUUAUAAUAUCAUUUAGUUCCUUAUUAUUUAUUAAUGAACCAUUUUUAGGAGAAUUUCCCAUCAUGACCGUAUCCCUAACUCCAACCGCCGACAUGUUGAUAAUAGGGAAUAAAUAGAAUGAUAAUUAAAUAUUGAAUAAGAAUCAAAAAUUCAAAAUCAACCAAACCAAACCAAACCAAACCAAACCAAACAUAUACAUGGAUUUUUUUGAAUCCCUUAUAGGUAGAUCGUAUAUAAAAAGGGGAAAUACAUAUGGUAAAAGAAAGAAAAAACAUAACCUAAUUAUUAUUAUUAUUAUUNNNNNNNNNNNNNNNNNNNNNNNNNNNNNNNNNNNNNNNNNNNNNGCCGGAGGGACCUAUUUAUAAAAUGAUUGAAUUGGAAGGGACUGGACUUAGUCAAACAAAAAGCCACGACUGUUCAUAUCCCUUAAAAGGAAAAAUUACACAAAUCUCAUAUUUAAGACACCAUAUUACAUAAUAUCCCUUAAUGUUUUAAAAAAUUACAUAAAAUCUCGGAUUUAUAUUUACUAGCAAUACAUAUGCUAUAUGUAUCACUACUGUAUACAUAUGUAUAAACUAGUGAUAUAUAUACAUAUGUAUCGCUAGUCCAUAUAUGUAUCACUGCUUAACAUAUGUAUCACAAUUCAAAAUUUCGGGAUAAGAUGUAAUUAGCAAACUAUCCGGGAGUUAAUGUAAUAUUGCUGAAACUAUCCGGGAUUUAUGUGUUGUGUGUGUUAGUGUUACUUAAAUAAAACUAGUGACUUUAUCAAUAAGUAAAUUAGAAAAAAACGGAUCUGAAUACAACAUUUUAUCUUUUUGUUGUAUUUCCGAAAGAGAAAGAUUGGUAAUCUGCUGCAAAAUAUAUUCCACCUGUCAGAUAACUUACAACAUAUGGACAAUCUGUUGCAACAGAUAGAUAUAUCAGUUUGCUUUUCCAUCAGUUGUGGCGUCUGUUGCAACUUGCUAGUCAUCUGUUUAUUCAAUUUCAUCGAGAGCAAUCGAUUUUUCUAAACACUUCUUGGCCACAUUCAAUUUUUGCUAUUGGAUUGCUUCUCUUUUUUUCUUUGCAUCCUUCAACCAAACUAAAUUUUUGCUAUUGGGUUGAGCGAAAAAUUGAAUUUGGAGGCCAUCUUGAAGGAUGCAAAGAAAAAAAAAGAAGCAAUUCAAGAGCAAAAACUGAGUUUGGCCAAGAAGUGUUUAGAAAAAUCUAUUGCUCUCGAUGAAAUUAAAUAAGCAGAUGACUAGCAAGUUCCAACAGAUGCCACAGCUGAUGGAAAAGCAAAUUGAUAUAUCCAUCUGUUGCAACAUAAUGUCCAUAUGUUGUAAGUUAUCUGACAGGUGGAAUAUAUUUUGCAAUAGAUUAUCAAUCUGUCUCUUUCGAAAAUACAACAAAAGGAUAAAAUGUUGUAUUUAGAUCCUUUUUUUUAAUUUACAUAUUAAUAAAGUCACCUGUUUUAUUUAAGUAACACACACAAUACAUAAAUCUCGAAUAGUUUCAGCAAUAUUACAUUAAAUCUCGGAUAAUUUGCGUCAGAUAUGGAGUCUGUUGCAUCAGAUAUGGAGUUUAUUGGAAUACAUAGAAGCCUUCCUGAUGGUUUGAUUUGUUCCAUUAGUUGCUCCAUCUGUUGUAAUAUCAACAACAGUAUAAACGACAAACAACAAAUAAAAAAUAUCAACAACAAAGAAAACAACAACAUUUGUUCCAACAACAUCAUCAACAACAAAGAAGCAUACAUCCUAUGUUCCAACACCAUCAACAAUAAGGGACGGACCCACAUGGGGUCCUCCGGGUGCGCGAACACAGACUGAACUCAUAUCAAACUUUAUAUAUGUAUGUGGAAAUAAAUAAAAAAAUGUAUAUAAACUAAUCAGUGAGAACCCAUAGUAAGAGUUGUUUGGUUAGCCUAGUUGUUUAUGGGUGCUUAAGGCUAUUUAUUUCCUUUGGUCUUGAGUUCAAUUCCCACUCAGCACAUAUUUUUUUAAUUUUGGUAAUCAACUCUCCUAUCGUUAUUCACUUUAAACUUUUUAUUUUUUUCUCCCUUACUCCUUAUGUUGAUUGUUCGGACUCUACUAUUUUUAAGCUAAGAAGCAUCCACCGUCUAAAUCACACCACACCACAAGUUCCAACAAUUCCAACCCCACGAACAACAUCAAUAACAGUAUCAACAACAAAGAAACAAACAAAAUACAUAAAAAAAAAUGAUACUGCCAACAAGGCUUUUAAACUUCUCCCAACAGAUGACUUUUUUUUGCAUUUUAUAAUAAAAAUUCUCGGUAUGUUUAACCAACAAUUAAAAGUUCCUUCAAAUUUUUUAAAUAAAUAUGAUAUGGGAAAAUAGUAAUUAAAUAAACAAAAAAAUGUAAAUAAAGUUACAAGAAGAAGACGAGAAUGAAAGAGCAAUAGUGAAUCAUAUCAUACCUUAAUGUCAAAAAGGGGUCAAAACAAUAAUUUCAGUCGAGGAAUCUAAGAUAUGGAUAUCAAUCAGUUUAGAUUCAAAUAAAACUUUUUUAGAAAGAUAAGAGAAAAAAAAGGUUGUGAUAACCCUAAAGAGGAUAGAAAGAAAAAAAUGAGAGAUUUAGGACUGAAGGAGGGGAGAGGAGCGAUGAGAUAAUUCUAAUUUCUAGAUGUACUACCCUUAAUAUUAAAUGACUAAACAAAGUGUAUUUAUUCAAAUUUGUAUUUUCAAAGCAUAAUUAAUAAGACUAAUUUGGUAGUAAAAUAAACCCCCUAAUUAAAAUUUUCUUGAUGGGAGUGCCAAGUCAAUAUGAAACGAAAAAAGUAUUAGAGGUUUCAAUAUUCAUUAAUUAAUAUUCACUAAUAAUUUGAGGGGCACGAGGGGGAAAACGGGUGACAUUGAAAAAAUAGGACAAGACUUCUCAAUGAAAUUUUUGAGUUAUCCAAGAAAUAUUUUUUACUGCCUUUAGUAGUACUAAUACUUUAUCUACUCAGACAGUAGCUUGCUUUAAAAUUAAAAGAAAACAAAAAGAUUUUCAAACAGAUAUGUCGUCUGUUGCAACAGAUUUAGAUAUCUGUUUGAGAAAUUCCAACAGGUGAGUCAUCUGUGACAACAGAUGGAAAUGUCAUUUGAUAACUAAAUCAGAAACGUCAUCUGUUGUAACAGAUAUAUAUAUAUGUUUGAAAAUUUCCAACAGCACAGUCAUCCGUCAUAACAGAUGCAAAUGUCUAUUUGAUAAUUAAAUAAGAAAUGUUAUCUAUUGCAACAGAUAUUAUUAUCUGUUUGAAAUUCUCCAAUAGCUCAGUUUUUUGUUGCAACAGAUUUCAUUACAAAUGAUUUAGGAUGAACUAGGGAUGAAAGAAUGAGCUCCUCAUUAACUUAAUAUUAAGAUUAAUAAUAGUAUCUACAUCGAUCUAGAUGGAAUGAGGAAUGAAUGAAUGAGAUCACAGGGUCAACUACAAAUCCAAUUAAGUCGCUGCAUUUGCAUGGUGUUAGUAUUGCGUUCAUGACGACCUGAGUCAUCGAUCGAUCACUCUGAGUUGAAAUGUGUUCUCAUUAACUUAAUGCUAAGAUUAAUAAUAGUACCCACAUUGAUCUAGGUGGAAUUGGGGAUGAAUGAAUUAGCACAAAGGGUCAACUACAACUUCAAUUGAGUUUUUUGGCAAUUGCAUGAUGAGACGGUACUGCAUUCCUCCUGACAAGAGUCAUCGAUUGAUCUCUCUGAGAUGAACUGAUUCUUACUACCUCAUAUAUUUAACUAAUACCUUAAUUGAAUAAUCUGGUACUAGGGGUGAGUUCUCAUAGGGCCAACUAUAACUUUAAUUGAGUCUUUUAGCAAAUGCAUGAUAAGACGGGACUGCGUUCCUCCCGACAAGAGUCAUCAAUCGAUCACUCUGAGCCGAAUCGAUUCUUACUACCUCAUAUGUUCAACUAAUACCUUAAUUAAUUAAUCUAGGAUUAGGGGUGAGUUCUCAUAAUAUCAACUACAAUAGUUGACAGCGCCUAUUUGAUAAUUUACAACAGAUGGGUAAUCUGUCGUAACAGAUGACUUAAUCUAUUUGAUAGUUUAUAAUAGAUUCGUGAUCUCUCAUAACAAAUGAAUCAAUUUGUUUGAUAGUUUACAAUAGAUGGAUAAUAUGUUGUAACUGAUUACAUAAUUUGUUUGAUUUGAUCCAAAAGAAAAGACAUUUGUUGCAACAUGUUAAACAUUUGUGUAUAUAUAUUUCAAUUGAGUUCAUAUGUUAGACUAAUACCUUAAUUGAAUGUGAGUUCUCAUAGGGUCAUCUACAACUUCAAUUUAGACGUUUGGAAAUUGCAUGAUGACACGGUACUGCGUUCCUCCCGACCAGAGUCGGCGAUCAAUCACAUAUGUUAGACUAAUACCUUAAUUGAUUAAUAUAGGACUAGGGUACUAUUACCUUAAUUGAAUAGUCUAGGACUAGGGGUGAGUUCUCAUAGGGUCAACUACAACUUUAAUUGAGUCUUUUGGUAAUUGCAUAAUGAGACAGUACUGCGUUCCUCCCUAUAGAUUCGUCGAUCGAUCACUCUGAUCCAAACUGAUUCUUACUAUCUUAUAUGUUAGACUAAUACCUUAAUUGAUUAAUCUAGGACUAGGGUACUAAUACCUUAAUUGAAUAGUCUGGGACUAGGGGUGAGUUCUCAUAGGGUCAACUACAACUUCAAUUGAGUCUUUUUUCAAUUGCAUAAUGAGACGGUACUGUGUUUCUCCCGACAGAGUCGUCGAUCAAUCACUCUGAGCCAAACCGAUUCUUACUACCUCAUAUGUUAGACUAGUACCUUAAUUGAUUAAUCUAGGACUAGGGUACUAAUACCUUAAUUGAAUAGUAUGGGACUAGGGGUGAGUUCUCAUAGGGUCAACUACAACUUCAAUUAAGCCUUUUGGAAAUUGCAUAAUGAGAUGGUACUGCGUUCCUCCCGACAGAGUCGUCGAUCGAUCACUCUGAGCCGAAUCGGUUCUUACUACCUCAUAUGUUAGACUAAUACCUUAAUUGAUUAAUUUAGGACUAGGGUACUAAUACCUUAAUUGAAUAGUCUGGUACUAGGGGUGAAUUCUUAUAGAGUCAACUACAACUUCAAUUGAGUCUUUUGUCAAUUGCAUAAUGAGACAGUACUGCAUUCUUCCCGACAGAGUCAUCAAUCAAUCACUCUGAGUCGAACUGAUUUUUACUACCUCAUAUGUUAGAAUAAUACCUUAAUUGAUUAAUCUAGGACUAGGGUACUAAUACCAUAAUAGAAUAAUAUAGGACUAGGGGUGAGUUCUCAUAGGGUAAACUAUCAAUUAAUCUAGGACUAGGGGUGAGUUCUCAUAGGGUCAGCCACAACAGAUGGCAGCGCCUAUUUGAUAAUUUAUAACAUAUGGGUAAUCUGUUGCAACAUAUAACAAUUCAUUUGAUAAUUUACAACAGAUGGGUAAUUUGUAGCAACAGAAGACUUAAUCUGUUUUAUAAUUUACAUCAGAUUCAUAAUCUGUUGUUACCUAAUCCGAUUGAUAAUUUACAACAGAUGAGAAAUUUGAUGCAACAUGUUGAACAUUUAUUUUUUACAAUUUAAAUUGAGUUCUGAUGUUAGACUAAUAGUACCUAAAUUGAUUAAUCUAGGACCAGGGGUGAGUUUGCACACGAUCACCUCCUAGAGUACUCGGUCAACUACAACUUCAAUUAUUUUUAUACAAUUUCAAUUGAAUUACCCUUUUGACAAUUGCAUGAUGAGAGGGUUAAAAAUUAUGCAUAUAUUUUAUGAUUUUAAAAAUAAUUAAGAUUAUUUCGGACCAAAUUAACAUUUUCAAAACUACUUGUUAUUCUAUUCCAAAAUAUAAAUCAACCCAUACAAAAUGCUUCAUCAUUUCAAAUAUCGAGGUCUUGCUCUUUCUCUCUCAUUCUCACUCAACAAUACAGUACAGACAAUAACUACUCAACAAAUUUGCUCAACCCUCCACAAUAGAUCACUUUUCUUUCCGACCAUAUAGGUGUUAUUUUUUACUUCAUUCUUGCUUGAAUCAGUCAUUUUCUUUGUCUUCGUAGGCAACAGAGUUCGAGAAGAGCUCUAUAUUUAUUUAUUUUCUAAAAAAUAAUGGCUUUUAAGUUAAUGAUGAAAAAUAAAACUUUUAAUUGUAUUAUCUUCGAGAAUGGGUUUACAAUUUUGAGUUUUGAUGGUAAAAUCGUAGGAAGAACUCGAGAAAUCCCUAGUUUUUGUCGUAGUGUUCCGUUGACUGGCGUCAUAUAGUUGAAUGAUGUUUUUGGUGUUGGUGGUGGUGGUGGUGGUGGUCAUCGUGGUGGCAACGGUGGUGGUAUUGGUUGGUGGUGUUUGUGAUGGUGUUGGUAUUCGUGGUGUUUGCUUGUUUGUUGGCAUUAGUUGGUGGUGUUUAUGGUGGUGGUUGUUGGUGUGUCGGAAUUCGUAGUGUUUGUAAUGUAUUUUUUAAAAUCUAUGCAUACAUCAACUGUAAUGUAAUUUUUGUUUUUCUUUGUCUAUAGGUAAAGCAUGUCUCCCAAAAAAAAUGAAAGUGAAGGUGGAUCAACGUCUGACCACUAAAAAAAAGGCUACAGUAUAGAGGGAUUCGGAGGAGCUUCCUGAACAAUCUCAGUAAGGGAAAAGUGAAGCUGAGGAGAGAUGUGAAAACAACGUUGAGGGAGGUGGACAAGGGUCCGUAAAUGGUGAUGAAGAAAAUAAAAGUAAGAAAGAGGAGGAAUUAGAGAGUCAGAAAGAGAAAGAGGAUGAUCAUCAACAUGAUGAUAAUGGAUCACCAACGGGGCGUGAGUUAAUAUCGACAUCCCAGCAUGAUCCUGUCAAAACUUUUAGUAUUGAUAGGUUUCAAGUUGCGAUGCCAAUAAAUGACCCAAAAGGAAAACAACUAACUGGUCAAAUUGUACUUAAAUGUCAGAUGGGGAAGAUUUUUUAAACAUUUUAUGAAAAUUAUGAAGAACGAAAACAUAGGCGAACUUUUUAAGAAGAGAUGCUUUGGACGCCUUCUUAAGCUGCCUGAGGACCCCUCUUCCCGUAUUUGUUUCCUAUAAUGAUGAUAUAUGGUCUUCUUAAGAGCAGGAUCAAGUACGCAGGGGAUGAUAAAGAUUCGGAGGAGGGGGGGAAAGAAAAUGGAUGAAAUCUGGAUCAACUACUGUGGCAUGCCUGUUUGUUUUAGCUUGCAAGAGUUUGCCAUAGUGACGGGAUUGAGAUGCCAUUGUCCAGAAGGACCCCCACCCCACAAAAGAUCCAAGGCAAGAAAAUGUAAUAAAAAAUAGAUGGGUUGUUUGACAUUGCUCGAUGUGGCUACAAAGCAUUGGAUUUAUUGACAGAUCUCGAGGAUAAAACCCUACUAGAGCAGUACAGGGAGCAAUUGUGCUUAGUCUUGUUUGCCCAUUCGGUUAUAUUGGAAAGAGAUGUCAACAAGGUCAUAAAAGAUGAUUUGUUGGCGCAUGCUGAGGAUUUUGAUAAAUUCAACAAUUAUCCUUGGGGAUAUGACAGCAUCUACUUGACUGUCCAAUAUUUACUGACAAAGCUAUCCUCAGGGACGACCAUAUUAUACGGCUUUUCUUGGGCUUACAUGGAAAAAUUAAUCACUAAUUUUACUCAUCCAUUAAUUUAUAUUGAAUAUAGUUAUUAUGAUUUUUUUUGCUUGCUUCCUGUUUACAUUUUUGAGGCUGGGACAUUUGAAGCCACUCCUCCCCUCCGAAAGCAGUUAAUGGAUUACCAGAAUGAGGUUUCUCAUCCAAGGAUGUUUAGGUGGUUGGCUGCAAAGAGCAACGCCAAUAUUAAGGAGGCUGAUAUCUUUAACCCUCCGAAUAAUACAGUACGUCUUCUUCAUGUAAAAUAAUUCUACUCAAAGAUAAGAAAGAUAUUGAACAAAUGUUAUAUCUGGUGCAACAGAUGUUAUAUCUGAUACACCAAAUGGGACAUCUGUUGCGACAGGGUAUAUCUUGCAUCAGGUUACUUAUUUGUUGCUUUGGUUCCCUGAACCCAACUCCUAAAAGAUUAACCAUCUACUACAAAUUAUGCAAUAGAUGUUUAAUAUGAUAAGAUAUUAUUUAUCUGUUGCGACGUAUAGAUCAUCUGUUGCAUAAUAGAUUACCUGUCUUGUACAAUUAUUGCAACAAAUGAUUGAUAUUUUGCAUCAGAUUAUCCAUGUGUUGCUCUAUUUCUCUGAACUAGACCCAAGCGAGUUUUAAUCAUAUACUACAAACUACGCAACAGAUAGGUCUUUUUUUUAAAACGUAGUCCAACUGUGAAAAUUAUUAUAUUAUAUGAUUUAAAUGCAUCUGUCUUUUUGUUCUUUCUUAUAGGUUAUGCAUCCAUGGAUCGUACCUACUGAGGACGAGUCAGUAAUGACUUUUUAUAUUACUUUAGGUCAUGUUGAUACUAUAGCAAACCCAACGGUGGAGUUAAUAAAAAAUGAAUUGGCUGGAGGAAUAGCCAUAAGAAGAGCAGUUAGGUAGGGUCAGCCUAAUAUUGAGGCUCUUCAUGAACAACCUUUUACUAAGGCAGAUCCGGGUACUUCUUCUGGUGGAGUUGUUGGUGUUGGUGGCAGGCAUGUUGAUGUUGCUACCACUCAUGAUGAUGAGCAUGUUAAUGCUCAAUAAAGAAUAAAUAUGUUUGAAAACACCUCUUUUUUCCUUUACACAGGUCCCUCUCACCCCUUUUCACCCUCAUGUUCUCGUUGCAAAUGCGAUGAUUGCAAGGAUAAACAGGAUAAACUCUUUGAGAAAGUAGAGGCUAUCUCUAAAUCUAUAGAGGAAUUCAAAUCCAAGAGGUGUGUCAUACCAUCCAAGAAGGUAAGAGAGCCACACACUCCUACAACAUUGGUUAGGAGAAAGAAAAGAGUAAUUAGAGACAUACUCUCUGCUCGAAAAUCAAAAGAAAUUAUAAUUCCUCCCUCUCCAAAAGCUUUUGAAGUUUAGGGUAUAGUUAAGAAAGUGUACAUAUACACGGAACUUGGCGCCGAAGAGAAGAGAGAUCUGCGACAGGCCAAGAAUGCCAAGCCAGGCGCACCAGAUUACCCCAGGCCUCCCUUUUCCCCCCAAGACUUCCAUACUAUGACUGAUAUACAUAUACCGUAUGAGGACAAGGCAAGUUUACUUUUCCUAACCUAACUCUUAUAAUCUACCCCAUGAAGAAGAAGCCACGCAACAGAUUUCACAUUUGUUGCAACAGCUGGGUAAAAUGGUGCAACUGGUAGUGGUUAUGUUCCAACUUAUUAUCCAUCUGCUGCAUAAGUUGCGUUGGAUUAUUGAUUCAGAGAACCCUAUGCAAUAGAUGAACCAUUCGUUGCAUCUUUACAAUUACUAACCUAUUUAAAAAUUGACUUCUUAUCUCACAGCAUGUUGACAUAAUUCUCUGCCUCAUGAGGAAAAGGCAAUUAAUGUACCGAGAAGCUUAUGACGCUGCCGAUAGGAUAAUGGACCUUGACUUCUACAAGAAGCUCAAGGAUAGGUACGAUCAACUCAAUGGAGAGGCAUCAGCCCUUGGCGUGGGACUUGAUUUCCUAGUUCCUACGUUGGUCUUGGAAUAAGAAGAAAUGUUAAGAUAUGUUAGAGGGGACAGGCCAAAUCCACACGGCAAGAGUUGUACUGAGGUAAAAUUAAUUCUUGCAGUCAUUAGCGUGAACGGCAUACAUUAUCGGGCUGUUGAGAUACUAAUCGAGGAGGGAAAGAUCAAUGUUUAUGACUCUAACGUAACUCUGAUCGAUGAUUUCAAUCUUUUUCUCCUGGCGGAGCCACUGAUGGUGUUGUUGCCCAUCUUGUUGAGGGAGAGUAAACUGAUGAAUCAUUUGCCAUAGGAAGUGUUGAUGAAGAAAUCAUGAUAUUUUGAAGGUCAAAAAGGGGGAAUGAUUCUUCCAAAAGAUGAUGAUGCUAAAGCGAGCGGCUCGCACGUUCUUGCACACAUCGAAUAUUUGCUGACCGGCACAAAAAUGGCCGAGCCAACAACUUUUCUGUGCGACAACGCUAUGGAAAACUUGCAAGAGAUCUGGGCUUAUGGGGUACUAACUGGAGAACUGGACGCUUGAAGCAUGUGUAUAUAGAAGAGCCUGUGAAAAAGAAAUUUUUAAUUUCAUCUCACCCUUCACUUUAUUACAUGUACAUGUAGUGACAAUAAUUUUUUUCUGAUGAAAGUUGAGUUUUUUAUAAUGCAAUAGAUUAGAUUGUAAAUCUGUUGUAAAAUAUCUUUAAUCCGUUCUAGAAGAUAGUUUAUCUGUUACAAUAGGUUGGUCAUUUGUUGCAUUACGACGAUGUUAUUUCUAAGAAUAAUCUAAAAAUCUAAGUCUAAUAUGUUGCAAUAGUGGGAAGACCUGUUUGAUAAUUUCUAACAGAUGACCUAAAUUUUACAACAUAUACCUAAAUCUUUUUGAUAUUUUCCAACAGUUACGCUUGAAUAUCCAUGUGCUCGACAACACCAAACUAGUAGAAAAUAUACACACCAACAUGAAAAUUUCAGCAAUUAGGCUUGAAUAUCCAUAUGUCCAACAACACCAAACCAUUAGCAAUAACGGCAACAAUGUAGUAUCUUCUUGCUCAAUUUUGUUUCUCUUCAGAAGCCUUGACUUUGUUCAACAAACCCCAGAUUACACGAUUUGCUUGUGAAGGGUGUCGUUCUAAAUACCAAUCAAAUUAAUCGCAUCCACUCAAUUUCUAUAAAAAAAAAGAGAACACAAUUACAAAAUAAUUACAAGUCAAUAAUUAAUCAAUUAAUUAAAUAAAAAAAUAUUACCUUUGAAAUCUUACAAGUAAAAAACCUACGACCCGGAUUUUGUUGAGNNNNNNNNNNNNNNNNNNNNNNNNNNNNNNNNNNNNNNNNNNNNNNNNNNNNNNNNNNNNNNAAUAGUGGAAGAUGCUCUCGACAUUGUCAAGCUCAGUUGGAAAAAAGGAAAGAAAUAAUUUGAAUAGAUAAAAGAAGAUGACGAUGAAGAAGAAGAUUUGGAAAUUUAGGGUUAAAUUUUAGGAGAAAGAUGAAUAUAUAAGACAAUGGGGAGAAAAAAAUAACUGUUGGGGGGCAAGUGACGGCAAGUCAGCGAAAUGUGUCAGACUGACACUGACACAUUUGAUGCCUAUUUUAUUUUAUGUGUUUAAAAUGAACACUGUCUACUUGAUGCCUAUCUUAUUUUAGGUGUUUGAACUCAACACCGUCGAUGGGUUGCGCCUUUUUUAUUUCAAUUCAAUUCGCUUUAACCUUAUUACACGUAGUGGCAAUUUUUUAUGUCCAAUGAAAGUUGAAUUUUUAUAAUGCAACAGAUUCUCCAUCCGUUGUAACAGUUAUCCUACCUGUUCUAACAUAUAGUUUAUCUAUUGCAAUAGGUUGGUCAUUUGUUGCAUUAUCUUGAUAUUUUUAUCUAAAGUCCGUCUAUUGAAACAGUGGGAAGACCUGUUUGAUAAAUUCCAACAGAUUAUUUACCUGUUGCAACAUAUGUCUAAAUCUGUUCGAUUUUUCCAAUAGAUGUGUCGUCUGUUGCAACAGAUACAUUAUCUGUUGCAAUAUUUGAAUCUAGUAUUCCUUUUCAAUUAAUAAGUUCAAAUCUAAGGAAUAAAUAAAAUUCGUAGACAAAAUAAAAUAAAUCUAACCCUUCAUAAAUUAGCUGAAAUAAGUCAACGAAUAAAUGAAAUUUACAAAAUUUAUUAUGGGUACAGAUCUCAACAACUACAUCAACAAUAAUUUAAGUAUCUGCCAAGGAUUGAUUUGAAAAGCUCAAGCUAUAAAGAUCUACUCAGUAUGGGAAAGUUGUUCUUCAUCCGGUGCUAUGGAAUUCGGCUUUGCUUAUCGUGGAUCUUUAUUGUCGCUUACGUACGGUUUCUGCACUUUCUGUUCUCCGUAUUUCUAUAAAAAGAGUAUCAUAUUGUCAAUGUUGUUCAGCAGUAGCUUCUUCUACUUCCGCCUGGAAAGCCAAAAUUGGUCAAUGCUAAUCACGGAGAUACAACAAAAUAGAAAAGGAUAACUCAUCUCUUCUAGCAAAUCAAACAGGUUUUUCUCCCAUUUUAAAUUGUCCCAAAUAGAUUAUAUUUCUGUUGCAACAAUGAAUCAACUGUUAGGACAAAUUUCUACAUGAGGAAGACCCUGUGUGAUAAUUUCUAAUGGAUGAACCAUUCAUUGCAACAUAUGAAUCAUCUGUUGCAGAAUAUAGGUCGUCUGUUGGUACAAAUAAAAGCAGUACAAAGGGCUGUUUGAUUUGCUAAAACAGAUGAGACAUAUGUUACACCAGAUAAAGUAUCUAGUACAACAGGUUAGUCAACUAUUUCAACAGAUGUAUAUAUCUGUUUGAUAAUUUUCAGCAGAUGUGUCAUCAGUUAAAACAGAUAUGUGUCUGUUUGUUUUGUCAGUUGGAAGACAUAUAAUAUAUUCACCUUCUUCAGCUCGUGAUGCUCUCCUUUGGACAUUGUACGUUGCUCAGUGCAACACACAGACAGAGGAUUUGCAAUUUUUCUUUUUUGGAUGCUUGAUAAUGCCCUGGAAAUCACUCUCCUUCUCCUCUUAGCCCUAAUCUCUAAUGGAGCGGAUGAAAAUAAAAUCCUCUUUGAUGGAAUGAGACCCCUCUUAGAUGUCAAUUCCUUUACAUAAGCAGUUAAAACAUUAAUAGCAUUAAUCACUACAUCAUGUUUCGUCCUGCAGUCUGGACAUUUACAUGCAAAACAUUCGCUGGAAGAGGCAAAAUCUGUAUAACCAGUAUGAUCGUACUCAUAAUGGUUUGCUUUAAAUACUGUAAGAGAAGCAUCAUUAGCACCAACAGCAGCACCACUACCACCAUUAACAGCUCUAUCACCACUAAGACCAUCAACAACAACAACAAGCCUACCCUCCAAAGUUGUUUUUCUUGUAAUGGUUGUUGCUCCAAAUAAUUUUAUUUUUAUUUUGUCGAUGACCUUAGGAUCCGAUAAAGUUUGCACAGACCGUAAAGUAAGAAAAAUGGCAUCUUCAACUGUCGAUUGGUCGGAACUAGCGACGCAUGCACAAUCUAACAUAAAUUAUUACAUAUAUUAGAAUGAUGAUUAGAUCAUUAAGAAAAAUCAUUAAUUAAAAGAAAAAAUUAAUUAUAAUUAUACUUACUGCAUCCAUCAGGGGGUUGAAGAGAUCAAGAAAUUUUACACUUUUAUCAGUUUUGGCUGACAACCAUCUCAAGAUUCUUGGACAGGAAACUCCUUUCUAGUAGUUCACUUAUUGUCUCAAAUAAGGAAUUGUUUCAAAAGCCCAAGCCUAUAAAAUAACGCCAAUAAAUCAAAACCAUUAUUGAGCGAAAAAAAUAAAUGAUAUCAUAAUAGAAGAAAGAAAUAUUUACCAUGAAAGCCCAUGGAAAGCCAUAUAAGUUGACUGUCUUUGGCGCUAACGGAGUCAACAAAUAUUUGAUAGUCAUUUUGAAGCUUUCAUACCCCCAAGGAUAGCUGCUAAACGCAUCAAGAUCCUUGGAGAGCUUUAUUAAACCGAGGCUUAUAUUGUUGUUAACGUCUCUCGCCCAAAGAAUAUUAUGUACAAACCAAACCAAGCACAAUGACUGCUUAUGAUUCUUUAAAAGUCCUUUACCUUUCAACGCUUCUAUCAAAUUUUUAUUUUUGAAGCUUGGACCAACAAUGGACACCAGGUCAUCACGAUCACACGACUUGCCUUUGCCUUUUUUGGGUAUGCGGGGUGCUUUUUUUUGGGUUAGAAUAGGUAUAAUUUGAUAAGGAGGAUAACAUUUUAGUUCAGUAACUAUGGCAAACUCCUUCCAACCAAAACAAACAGGCAUGCGACAGUAAUUUAUCCACACCUCAUCCAUCUUAUCUUUGUUUUCAUACAUAAACCUACGCUUAAGUAGUUCAUAUUCCAUUUUCAUUUGGAAACGAGCAUUGUUGUCUUCCGGCAAAUCAAGAUAUUUCUCAAAGCAGCUGUCCCUGAAAUAAGCAUCCAAUUUUUGUUCUUGAAGUAUUUUUCUAAAGGCGUCGAAAGAUUUUCUCAUGGCUGACUUAACCAUGAAAUCACCCAUUAAAUCUGCGGCACGACAUUCUCACAGGAUAAUGAUCAAUGCUGAAGUCUUUGACCAGCUCUUCGGUGGAAGGUCUAUUAGACUCUGCAUCAUCUCUUUUGAAAUAUCCCUUCUCCCCAUGUUCAUCAUAUUCUGCUCUCGAUUGAGAUAACGCUUGUAAAGCAAGCUCAUAGAGUGGUGGAUGUAGCCUAGCUGCUUCACUUGUUCCUUUACUUGGACUUGAUUCGGUUUCUGUUCUUUUGGAAACCAUAUUAUCUAAAAUUAGCAGGAACAUAAAAUAAUAUAUUAUUGUUGAUUAAUGCAUCAUUAAAAAGGGAUAAUAGUAAAUCAAACAAGCAAAACAGUAAAAUAACAGUUGCAACAGAUCAUCGAUCUGUUGCACCAAGUAGUAUUUCUAUUGCAGCAUAUAACCAAACUAUUACAGCGGAUGAGUAAUCUGUUACAACUAUACAAAAUAUAUCACUCAUCUUUUAAGAAGAUGAAUGUUUUGUUCAACAGAUUACACAACUAUUGUGAUAUUAUCUAUUGUAAUAUAUGAGUUAUCUGUUGAAACAGUUAAAUAAUAUGUUGCGACAAUAAAAAAUAUAUCACUCAUCUGUUGAGAAAGAUGAAUAGUUUAUGCAACAGAUCACACAUCUGUUGCAACAUAUGAGUGAUCUGUGAGAGCAGUUAACUAACCUGCAGCAACGACUGAGUAAUCUGUUGUGACAAUACAAAAUAUAUCACUCAUAUGUUGAGAAAGAUGAAUGGUAUGUCCAACAGGUCACACAUCUAUUGCAACACAUGAGUGAUCUGUUGGAACAGUUAUCAACGGUCAAUAUUAUUUAGAUUUCUUCCAACAAAGGGUCGUCUAUCGCGGCAGAUGAAUGAUCAGUUGGAAAAAUCAAGUCUUGGACAUUUCCUGUCGGAAGAGUUAAUGGGAUUUUAUCCAACAGGAGGUUCAUCUGUUGCAUCAGAUCAUUAAUCUGAUGGUUCUUCCAUUGGACCAGAUGGUUAAUUAGUUGCAUCUGAUUUUUUAUCCGAUGCUUAAUCUAUUGCAACAUAUGGUAAAGUUGUUGCAUUAGAUAGUUAAUCUGUUAUAUCUGAUUAUUAAUCUGUUGCAUAAGAAUUGUAAUUUGAUGGUUCUUCUGGUGCAUCAGAUGGUUGAUCUGGUGCAUCAUAUAAUAAAUUUAUUGCAUCAAAUGGUUAAUAUGUUGCACCAGAUGGGUAAUCUAUCAGAGGAAAUAAAAAACAGUAGCACGAUUUUGUUUAACAAAAAAUAGCAAUUUCACCAUUUUUACCAAGAACAAGAACAGAACAAAUCAAACCAAAUUGUCGUUUUGUUUUUAUAAACAUAAACAAUAAAAAGGCCAUUUUAGACCGCAUUUCAAAUUAGUGCAACAAAUAUUGAAAUUAUUAACCAAUACUAUAAGAGAAGUUGGCUCAAGUUCCUUAUUUUCUUCAAAUCUAAAAAGACCAUAAAUUUUUACCUGUGAAAGAAGAAAAGGAACGAUGAAGAAUUCGAAGCUGUUGUAGCUGAAGAGUAAGGCUGUCAUGUCAAUUGAAGGUUGAAGUUGAAAAGGAACUCGAAGCCCAACUAUUUGUAGUCGGAUGUAGAAGUCGCCGAGAAUUGAAAUGAGAAAUUUCCAAAACAGUUGGUUGGGAGAGAUUUGAGAGAAGCUAUCGAGAGAGGGAUGAGAGACAGGUUGAUUAAAUUGAAGAAGGAAACUCGAAGCUCAACUAUUUGUUGCCGGAGGUAGAAGUCGUCGGGGGUUGAAAGGAGAAAAGAGGGGAACUCGAAGUCCAACUAUUUAUCGCCGGAGGUAGAAGUCGGCGGGGGUUGAAGGGAGAAAUUUUGCAAAACUGUUAGUUAGGAAAGAGUUGAGAGAAGCUGGAGAGAGAGGAGAGAGUGGUUGAUUUGGAUUGAAGAGGGGUGUGGGUUGGAUUGAUUUGUAUUUUUGAAAAGAUUAGAAAGUUUUGAAAAUGUUAAUCAAGUCCACAAUUAACUUAAUCAAGUUUUCUAAUGAUGUUUGACCCUAUCUGUUGGUCAAUAUCAUCAAUCCUUCUUUCAAGACUUAAAAGACACCUUUCCUUCAAUUUUCUUAUGUAUGUAUGUAUGUAUGUAUAUAUGUGUAUAUGUAUAUGUAUAUGUAUGUAUGUAUAUGUAUAUGUAUAUAUGUAUGUAUAUAACUAAAAAUAAUUAGAACUAGAAACAAUGAUUAAGUUCACUAAUUUAGAGAUGAUUAUAAUUCCAAAAUCAUUUGGAUUAAUUAAUAUUAAAGGUCACAUGUUAUACUUUAUUUUAUUGAAUUAUAAUAUUAUGAGCUGGGUCAUGUGCGCAUAUUUUAGUUAUAUUAAAUUAAUAUUUUAAUAUUUAAUUAGAUUUAUCUAAUUAUCAAGUUUUUAGAAUUACAGGAUACGAUAACUUCAAUAGCUUUUUUUUUUUUUGGCUUAUUAAUUGAAUAUAAUUAGACAUAUAAGCACAUAAUUGUUAAAUGUGAUACAGUUAUUUUAGGAUGUUCCAUGUAUAACUUGUUUGAUUAAAUCUUUUACCCUCCCAACCGUUGUGACCUUUUUCCUCUACUAAAGUUUAUGUCAGUUAAUUAUUUUUAAAUUUAAUAUUUAAAAUAUAUUAAAUAAUUCCUUAUUUGAAAUAUAUAUAUAUAUAAUUGAUAUUUGAAAAUUUAAAAUGAUUAAGAUUUUAGCUUUUAAGAAAUAAUUACACGUGGAAUAAAGUUGUAUUUAUAAUUAAAAUCAACAUUAUAUUCAAGACAUUUGAAAAUAGAAUUAAAAAAAAUGACAGUUCGGUGCACAAAGCAUCCCAUUAAUGUAAGCAAUAGUGGCGACUUUCACUAAUUUUGACAAGUCUUACUCAGCUUAGUGGCACAACAAUUACUUAAUGACCAGCUAUAAAUAAAUAAUAAAUUUGUGAUAUGAUAUCAAUUUAUUAGUGCCAAAAGAAGUCAGUAAUACAUCACAAUACAAUUUCGCAAACUGAUAAUUAUUUAAGCAAAUAAGUUAUCCUAUAUGUUUUAAUCUACUUUACAACUUUGUAUUGUAAUGAGUCUUUCAGAAAGAUAAUAUUUGUAUUGUUAAUACAUUAAUAAUUUUGUAAUACAAUUUUUUUUUACAAUUGACAUGAAAUAUCCAUAUAAUUAAUACAGCGAAGAUGAAAAAACAAACAGAGACACAUGCUGAAGGGGGACCAAAAUUGUUAUUAUGAACACAAACACAUGAUGCUACUGAAAGGAAUGAAUUACAUGCUGAAUCACCAUCAUAUGCAAAGAGAACAAAGUUAAGUGCAUUACAACUGACAUGCAUCCCAAUAUGAAAGCGAACAAAGCUGAAGACGGAACAACCUAGCUAGAUAACUUAAAAGUCAAUUUACCUCUAACUGAAAUGUGUGAAGUAUAAAGUUCCUCACGAUAUCAUAUUCUCCUUUUAGAAGGAAUGCUAUCCCAGAAGGUAUAAAAUCACAUAUAAAUACUUGAUCAUAGUUUAGCGUAGAUGCUUCACUUGGAUCAUUAGCUUCUAUAGUUCCAAAUGGACUACCACAGUAAUAAACCAUUGCGGCUCGCAAAAAAUGUCAUGCAUCAUCCUCAAUAGACUCAUUGUCGUUUCUAGGCCUACUAUUAACUGCGGCAGCGGUUUUAAAACCUUCGCUGAAAGGCCUAGCUCCAUUUUCCUGCUUCAUGUUCUGUUCAUCUGGAGUAUGAUUUGGAAAAGUGACACGUCUCUUUCACCGCUCUUCUCCUAACCUCUAGCAUUCUUCCUCAGUUUUCGGCUCUUUACACAGAUUUGAGCAUCACCUUCAAAUGGUCACCGUGGAUCAUUUUUAGCUUGUAAAACUGAGGGAAUCGGAGAAAAAUGGAGAUUUUUCAGGAUGUCGGACUAUCUUUGGUAUGCCAAUGGUUUCUUCUUUGCUCUAACCAACAACCCUUCUAGCUUUUGCAAUGGAUGGAGUAAGGCAUAUGUAUUCACUUUAUUACCUGAUUCAAACACAAAAGGUAACAUAUAGGCUUCUAAAAUAUAGUGAUUGUAUGAAUAAAUUGGUUAAGAAGUGGUGGUACCAUNNNNNNNNNNNNNGGGAGGGCAGGCCAUUUGGUAUGGUCGUUCAAGGAGCAAGGAAGAUAAUGAAGAAAAUAACGUCAAUCCAAUCAAGGAUAGAACCCUUCUCAACUCAAAGGCAGCUGCCAUGACCCUCAUAAGUCAUAGGUGUAUUGGCAUAAGUUUGCUAAACAUCCAUGGGCUGGUGAAAGAAUUCUCGCCAAACUUGUCGAGCUUCAUCCCUGAGCUCUGGAGGAACACCAUAAUUACCACCUGAAAAAAUCCCCAGUUGCGACGAGUCUCGGACAGCUAUUAAACAUAGCAAACAGAGAAUCAAAAUCAAAUAUAUGAAGUCUCAAAAUAGACGACAGUCCCAAAAUAUAGGUGUUAGCUUGUCUUAUGAUAUUCGUUUACGUUUAGGGGAACUUAUUUUGCUUCAACUGUUAUGAAGAACGAUCAUAAUCAAAUUAGCGAUAACGACAGACUACAAUAACGUAAUUCACUCAACUCUGCCUAUGAACACACUAUGUAUUCAAUGAAUAAAUAAGCUUUCAGCUAAACAAUGUCAUCCUAACAGUUAACAAAAUUAUGAUAAAAAAAGAGACAUGAUACCAGAUCUCUGACCAACAUGAUUGUACAUCCGGGUGGCAAACGGGCGGAUUGGAUUGUAUUUGGACGGAUCAAAUAUGGAUUGAGUAAAAAUGGUUUGAAUUGUAAUCCGUCCGUAUAAAUAUGGAUAAAUAUAGAUUUGGUCAAAUAUGAAUUGAGUAAAAAUGGUUUCAAUCCACUUUAUCUCCUAAAAUAAAAAACUUAAAACUUUUAUAUCAUAUCAAUUUGACUUUUUUUUCUUUUAUUUUUAAAUAUCAUAUCAUAGCCUCUAGUUUUCUUAUUUUAUUUUUUUUCAUUUCCUUUUUUUUCUCUCUCUUUUAUUUCUACUCUUUGCUUCUCUUUCUUUUUUCUUUUUUUUUCCUUUUUAGUCUUUUUUUUUCUAGUUUUUAUUUUUUUUAUUUUUACUUCUUUUUUUUUUUUUUUUUUUUUUUUUUUUUUUUUUUUUUUUUUUUUUUUUUUUUUUUUUUUUUUUUUUUCUUCUUUUUUUUUUUUUUUUUUUGAUUUUAUUUUUUUUCUUUCUUUUUUUCUUGGCAUUUUUCCUUUGGGCUUUUUUUACCUUUUCUUUUUUCCAAAAGGUCUUUCAGAUUUUUUUUUAUUUUUUUCUUCAAUUUUUUCUUUACGAUUUUUCUCUCUCUUCUAUCUCUCUCUUUUUUUUUUUUUUGGUUUUCUUCUUUUUUUUUUUAUGAUAACGAAAAUAUCAUAAGUGCAUAUUGAUUUAUAUUCGCCCAACAUUUAUAAUUUUUGUAAGUACACUCAAGUGGACUCCACCUAAUGAACGGAUACAGAGAUAGUAUCCAGAAAGAUCUUGGAAUUACAUUCGUCAAACUAAAUAUCUUUAGCAGUCGCAAGAAGUACACAAAUCAAGGUUUCUACGUACUUCCUGUCUUGCCUGACCUUGAGCUCCUCGCUUCGUGCCUUACUUCUGCUCUAACGAGAACUCUAAGAUGAGGGAGUUAGAAGUCAGAUUGGAAGCUGGACUUUCCCACAAAUCGAAGGCUAUGUGGAUCUUCAGCCAUAUAUAAUUUUGAACUUUGAGUUAUUAACUUAAGUGACUUUCUGAGUAAAAAUAUGAAAGUUGAGUGACUUUCUGAGUAAAGAUCAAAGUUGGACUUUUAUCCCAGAAAGUCACUUAACUUUGAUCGAAGGCUACGUGGAUACUCAACUUUGAACUUUUAUCCCAGAAAAUCACUCAACUUUGGACUUUUAUCCCAGAAAGUCACUCAACUUUGAUCUUUACUCAGAAAGUCACUCAACUUUCACAUCUUUACUCAGAAAGUCACUCAAGUUUCACAUUGAGUGACUUUUUGAGUAAAAAUGUGAAAGUUGAGUGACUUUCUGAGUAAAGAUCAAUGUUGAGUGACUUUCUGGGAUAAAAGUCUAAAGUUGAGUGACCAUUUGAGUUACUAACUCCUAUCCCCUCCAUGCAUUCUUAUGAAUCCCCCCAAGUACAUAGAGUAAAUCAAACUACUACAACAAUUUGUCUUUUUAACUUAAUUGAACAAGGCAGAACAACUUACUAGGGGAAGUAUGCCAAAAAGGUACUUUUGAAAACUAUUUAGCCAUUUAGAUACAAGUUUUUUAAAAUUUUUCAUAUACCCACUUUAAUCCACAUCAUCACUAACUUUUUCAACUCAAUAAAUUCACCCACAAAUUUUAUAAUAAUACAUUUUAACCCAAUAUUUCCAACUUAACAAAAUCACCCCCAAGUUUUUAAUAAUACACUUCAACUCACUCCAUCAUCCACCAUUAUAUAAUACAAAAAUAAUUUUAAAAAAUUCAAAAGCUUAAAAUAGAAUGUUCUUUUCCUCCAAAAAGCUCUGAUUCAGGCCACUUUUCUGACGUUAUUUUUCGGCGAUCAGCUCUAAAUCAGUUCACAAAUAUCAUAAGCUUGCCCAUUGCAUCCAUUGUUACCCCAUUUGUUUGUUAUCUUCUCAAACACACUUUCCACCAUUGCUAAAAAGUUUUAAAUCACUCACAUUAUACAAAAACUCUUUAGAAAGUACAUUACAGUAGCUCAGGCGACUCCAAGUUCAUUUUUCUAAUCCAUAGACCUAACGAUCGUUGAUUAGAAGCAAUAUUUUUAAUUUUUAAUUUUUGUACGGAUAUUUGCCCAGUCAUCGACCAGUCUCGUCAGUCAUCGACCGUGCAUACAUCCCGAUAUAGACCCUCAGGAUAAUCUACUAUCGACCAAAGCUUAAUUCUAGGAUGUCUAUUGCAGAAUUUAUUCUAAUUUCUGGUGAUUUCAUAUGAGAAUGGGAGGAGACUCCCAAAUGUUGGAAAUGAAAAUCUUUUACUAAGCUGGCAUUGCCCAUUGCGGUUCGCCACAACGGCUCAUAUGAUGAGUUGGUUGCAAACGUAAUGGAGAGCAGGGAUCUAGAUUGCGCACCUAGCGAUGUAGUGAUUAGUUAUCUAAUGCAUUUGAGGAAAAAAGGUGCAUCCUACGAUCAUAAAUAAUGAUAAACGUGUGUCAUUGUACAUGGUGGAUGUUGAUGUUGAUGGCUUUAGGCCUAUUUUAAGGAUAAAUGUAGUUGAGGGGUCCUUUAAAGAACCGUUGAAUUCAUCACCACCCCCACCUAAGCGCCCAACAGUAGAUGACGAUUUGAAUGAUUAUGAGAACGAUGGAGAUUAUCCAUUUAAUAUGGAUGAUGAUUCUAUUCAUAUGGAAUACGUUUCAUUGGACUCACAAGAUACGGAAGAAGAUUGUGGAACAAAAUCACAACCAAGAAAUACCAUCGCUGAUGAAACUAAUUUCUAUCGUGAUCAAAUAUUUGCCUAUAAGAAAGAGCUGAAAAUGCUACUAGACGGAGCAUCAGUGAGGCAGUCUUUUAAUUAUUUUACAAAGAAGAGUUGCACCAAAUUGUUGAAGGUGAAAUGUGUAUCUCAUUGUUGCGACUGAUUGUUGCGGGCAAGGAAGUACGAAUUCUCAGACAAAUUUCGCAUAUACAAGUAUGUUGGGUUCCACACUUGUAGUGUUGAACAUGCCACGAGCAAGCAUAAGAAAAUUUCAUUCGAGAUGAUUGCUUUACUAUGCGUAAAUCAUUUUCGUGAUGGCAAGGGUACAAGCAUAAGAGAAAUUUAGAGGAUUAUGUUUAGAGAGGUGCUUGUUCAAUGAAUACAAUUGUAGACUACCUUAAUUAAAUUCACGAAGAGUAAAAAUUAUGUGAUAAUAAAUCCAAAUCACAUAUAUAGUCUAUCGUAGAUAAGAAAAUCAAUCUAUGCUACACCAGAUAAUAUUUUAUGCACUAUCAUCGAUCUUAGACAUUGUCACUCCUCGACCAGACAUAUAGGUCAAUCGUAAAUCAUAUGAAUCGAUGAAUCAUCAGUAGCUUGUAGUUUGAAAGAAAAUAAUUAAAUUAAAAAAUUUUAAACACAUAAACACAUAAUUUGGGAGUGGUGAAAGAAAAUAAUUAAAUUAAUAAAAGUUUAAACACAUAAUCACGUGAACUGUUGAACUGUUGGUUAAACAAACAAUCUUGAACUGUUGGUGACACUUAAUAGACUGUCAUUGAUGCUGACCUAUGUUAAUCCCAUGUAAAAAAUAUACUUGUUCUUUGAGGGUCCAUCAAUUCAUUUGGUCUAUCGUAGACCUACACUAUAGGUCGUGCAUCAAUUACUCUCUUGAUCAUUCGUAGAUCACAUAGAUCUAUGUACAUAGUUAUAAACCCUCACUUGGAUGUUGUUUAAAAAUGAAUAAUUAAAUAAAAAAUAAAUAAAUUAUGAAUUUCUACACAUAUUAAGGAGUUUAAACAAGUCACAUGAUCUUAUUAGAGCUUAUAAAAAUUGAGGGUGGUGAUUGAAGGAUUAUGUGGAUGGAUAGUAGUUGAAUAAUCAACAUCAUCAAAGUAAUAUUUGUCAAAGCACAAGUAUGUUUUGAGGAUGUUGAUUGUAUUUGAUGACUACCCAUCCAUAUACUUUUUUUAUUUUGGGGUGGUGAUUGAAGGAGUAUAUGAAUAGAUAGGCAUCAAAUAUAACCAACAUCUUCAAAACAUACUUGUGCUUUGACAAACAUUACUCUUAGGAUGUUGUUUGUUCAAACACUACCCAUCAAUACACACCUUAAUUCACCAUCCCUGGUUUGUAUGAGCUCUAAUAUGAUUAUGUGACUUGUUUAAACUCACUCAUAUGUGUAGAAUUCCACACUACAUUUAUUUUUUAUUUAUUUAUUCAUUUUUAAACAAUAUGCUAGUAAGGGUCUAUAAUCAUGUGCAUACAUCUACGAUAUCUACUAAUGAUCCAGAGAUUAAUCGAUGCAUUACCUACAGUGUAAGUUUAUGGUAGACCAAUUGAAUCGAUGGACUCUUAAAGCACAAGUAUAUUUUUUACUUAAUUAUUUUCUUUUUAAAUAUGUUAUUGAGGGUCCAUCGAUUACGAGUGUCUACGGUAGACUUUAAUAUCUCGUUGAUGAUUGACAUGGGUCAUGAUUGAUGACAGUCUAUUAAGUGUCACCAAUAGUUCAAAAAAUACAAUUACUGUUCCAACGGUAACAAACGGCUAAUUUUGUAUUCCUUCAAUAUUAACACUUGUUUUUACUUUAUAUAUAAAGUCUUCCAUCCCUCAUCAUUUUAUUUCAUCCAUUUUGUUUUUAUUUUAAAAUUCUACAAUGUCUCAAGCAUCUCAAACAUCCAAUUCUAAAAAGACUCUAAUUUAUCAUUGUGAAAAUGUGGUUGUCUUGAGGAUAGCACGCAUGGACUCAAAUUCAGGAUGUAAAUUUUAUAACUGUGUAAUUAAUUUCAGCCAAAGAAAGAAAAAAUGGCAUAAAAAUGAUGUUAUGUGGUAUAAUGCUAGUAUUCGUUGUUUGGAAAGGUGUAACAUGGAUGUAGUGAGAUUGAAUAAAUAAAAAUACUUAUAUUUUUUCAUAACUAUACACCAACUUAAAAUCGAGUAGCAUGGUAAUGAUAGACUACGCCAACAGUAUACAAAAGAUUAAAUAUGCAUUCUAUGAAGUCAAUCAUACACUGUAUCAGUUAUGAUAACACAAUACACAUUAAAAUUUCAUGCAACAAUAUAGUUUGAUAAAAACAGAUUCAAUGCAGAAUCAUAACAAUUUUCAUAAAAUAAAAAAAUAUUUGUCAUAUCCUAAUAACAGAUCAUUCAACUCCCUUGUUUCUAAAAAAAGUCUUAAACAUUAACAAUAUUAGCAUUCAAAUGUCUUUUUUCUCAUCAUCACAAAUGUUUUCAUCAACGAUAUCCAAGGCCAUAUCUUUUUUGUCUGCUUCUUUUUUUUCUUCUUUUUGUCCAUCUUUUUGUCUGAUCUCCUUCUUCUUUGUCUGUUGCUUCUUCCUUUCCAUCUUUAGUUUCUUCUUCAACAAUUCGGUCAUUGUCAGUUCAUAUAUCACAAAUUUAUUAACAUAAACAAUUCAAUGCUCAAAUAAAAAAAGAUAAAAUAAUUAAGAAUUACCUCACCAUUAAACAAUUCACAGCGUGAUGAACGAAAAUUUUUCAAUCAAACAUGCACUAUCAAAACUCAACUAUUGUUACAAAUAUAACUAAUUAGCUAUUAAUCUUUUAAUUUUGAUCAUUUCAUCAAUCAUAUUUUAAAAGAAUUUUAUACACCCAAAUAUUAAUUUCAUAGACCACAAGUCUACGGACAAAAACAGAUCACUGCUUAAAUAAAAUAGCUAAAAUAACUCAUAAAUUAACAAUUAUCCCAUCAUUCAUUACUACAGUGCUAAAAAAAUACCAGAACUAAAGAAAAAUUCCUUGACAAAAAUUUCAAAAUUCAACACUGUAAUCGAAGAAAAAAUCUUUUGAAAUUGCCGAAUCAAAACUCAAUCAUUUCUUCGGAAUCAAACUAAUUACCUCUAAAAUUCUCAUAUUUUAACUAUUUAAUCAACCACAUUCGAAAAAUAUUCCUAUACUAUAUCACUUUGAAAUGAUUAACAAUAAAAAUCGAUAAAAUGGAUCUACAAAUAAUCGAAACUCGAUUUUAACUUACUUUAUAAUGCAAAAACAAGCCCUUUGUCGCUGGAGAAGAAGAAAAACAAAAAAUAGCGUUUGGAAGAAAAUUUUUGAGAAUAGAGGAAGAGUUGAAGUUGAAGAGGAGAGUAAAUUUUUAAAAUUGUAAAGAUGAUGAAAUGAUCCCUUGGCCCAUGUGUGGGCUCCACUUUUACAACUUUUCCACACUUUUUUAAUCUAAAUCCUAAAAAUUAAAUCAAAAAGAAAACAAGUGGGUAUAUGGCAAAAUAAUUUUGAAAAAAUAUAUUUUUGCUAAUUUUUCCCCACUUGAAACUUACCAUUUCAACCAAAUCAUAUUUUUUCAAUAACAAUUCAACAACUGCUAUGGUUAUCAGAGAUAUAUUGUUAGAGUUUGUAACCCAAAUUCUAUUGAUUCGGCCCUAAAAAGAGUGCAACCCAUGUUUGUGAUUUUCUGUGGGGUCUGUGGUGAUAGCGUAAGGAUCGGAACGGUAUAUUUUUUGGUCUAGAAUUUAUUUGUAUACACGUAUUAUAUAAGUGUGAUUUGGUGGAUUGUUUUGGACGGUUUAAAUACGUCAUUGAGACUUUCGUCUCCUUAUUGUUGUACUCCUUUCCAUUAUAGUAAAUUCCUCCGUCUCUGCCUGUGAUUUUUCCCGUCAAGAAUUUCCACGUAAAUCUGUGUGUCUUCUUCUUAUUUUCUUUUGCUUAAUUGUGGUAUUACUUAUUUUGUCCGAACAUAACAUACAUAAUAGGAAAAGUAACAAUCCAAACAGCUGUCAAUAACGUUACAAACAUUAGCCUUAAUUCCCAGUCCAAUUAUCCCACCACGUGCUGCAACAACCAUCAUUAACAUAUCAAAGAAUGUUUAUUUGAGUGUUCUCCCUAGCUUUAAUGAGAGAUUUUCAUGCUUGGAUUAGUAUACUUAAUAGUGUUAUAGAAAUUAUCUUUCAAAACAAAGAUUGUGAUGAAAUAGUAAAUAUUCUUUCGUUUUUAAUUAGAGUCUCGACUUCAACUCUCCGUUGGUAUAAAUAGUUCGAGAAUUGGAUUGAUAUAUGAAUAAAAUAAUAAUGAAAUGUAUCAUGACAUCAAUAAAAUAAAAUGAGCUUUAGUUGAGAGUGAGAGCUAUUGUUUAAAGAAAAUAUGUAUGCUUAAUAAGUGUAUGAAUCAAAAAUUGGAAGCUAAGCCCCAAAUAUUGAUGCCUAAUGGACUAUUUAUGUCAUCGUCAUUAAAAAUUUGACUCAUCUAUGAUAUUAUCGUUACAGAGUGGUUCGUCCAUGUUGUUAUUUUGCAACGAUUGAUUUGCAAAGUCAUUUUUGCCACAUAGCCUCAUAUUGGAAGUCAAUGUCACCAAAACCAAAUCAACCAAUAUUAUUUCAAAUCAAAAUAAAAUAUUGAACCCAUCAAAAUAAAAUCUGAUACAAUUAGUGGGUCUGAUUUUUAUUUUUAAUGAGUUCAUUUUUUUUUUUUGGAUUGAAUCUUUUUUUAAUGGGUUCGAUUUUUAAUUUUGAUUUUAAAUAAUAUUAAUUGAUGUGGAUUUGAUGGCGAAGGUCUAAUAAGAGGCCACAUGAUAAAAAUAAUUUUGUAAAAUCACCAUUACAAAAUAAUAGUACGAAUAAACCUUUCUGUAACGACAAUAACAUAAAUGAUAUCAAAACCCUUCUAAGUUGAAUUUUUCAUUGCUUGAUUCGAUCAUCAGAUCAACAUUUCUUGACUAUCGUUUUAACUAACGAAAUUUUUUUUUCAUGUGUCAUUAUAUUCCUCAUCCUUUUGGAUAAGAGCAUUUUUAUCUCGUACAUUGUUAUAGUAUUUCUUAAGUGUUGAACUAGUUAGACAUAAAUAAUUUGUGGGUGGUGUUGGUAGUCUAAAAAAAAUAUUAAACGUUGAAAGAAAAAAUGUAAUGGUGUUAUGUCUGGUUUUAAAAGCAACACUAGAGGGGAUCCUCUGCCGUUUGAAUUGGUUUAUUUUUAAAUAUCUUUAUCUACUUUGUUAUUUUCUGAAGGUGUUUGAUAAAGACAUAAAAUAUUUUUAAACACUUUAUUUUAGACUUAAAAAAUACAAAAAUAAAUUACUAUCUACUUUUAAACUUUUGGCUUUUAAUUUUUAAGACACUUAAAAAACCUCAUACAAACACCCCUCUAAACUAAAUACAAUAUAAAUAAUUGUUCCUAAUAUAUUUGUUUGAGGAUAAGUAUUUAGAAUUAAUCAAUGUAUGAAUUCCUGAAUGUUUGUCUGGAAUUAUGUGUGAGGACAAUGAUCUCUUGGGCCUUAGCCAUUGUUGAAUUAUAAUUGUGAAGUGAGAGGAAAGAGAUCUAAAGAAAAAAGGGAAGGAUCUAGAUUAGAAUGGAAAGGAAAUAGGUUUGCUAAAAUAUAAAAUAAACUGCUAAUAGUAAUAGGACAUACUUUUUGAAAUACUAUACAAUUACAAUUUAAAUAAAUCUUUUUAAUAGAGAACAUGAUGUAUGAUUUUAAAAAUAAAAUAUAAUUUAAAAUUUUAUAAAAUAAAAACUUUAGGGUAAAUUUGAAAAGAAAAAAUAAAUAAAAGUGAAAAAGAUUGAAAGUGAAACCAAGUUUGGGUUUUAGUUGGUAAAAUUAUGACUAAAAGGAUCCAAUUAGAAAUUUCAAUAAAGUACAAGGUCUCCCGAUAAUUUUAUUUUAUUGGUUUAAGACUUUUAAAACUUAUGAUUUAAAAAAAAAUUAUAAAUAUUUAUUUAGCUAUCAAUUAUUUUAUUUAGAGUAAAAAAUAUUUUAAAAUUAAAUUAUUACUAAAUAAAAUAUAACAAUAUAUUAUUAUUUUUUAUGAGACUUACUAAAAAAAAGUGAAUUUUGGAAACUACAACAGGGAGUACUUUUUGGAAUACAGUAUUUUUUUAAUAAAAUGUUUGUGAAGUUUUUGACCUUUAUUCACUUUAGUUGAAAAAGCUAUGUUGUGUGGGCCAAUAUAUUAUUAUGAACAACCAAAACCACAAGUCUAUAUAGUUUGAAGGUGCACCACAAUUUUGUGACACAUUAUAGUAUAUCCAAUCUUACCAACCAUUCAGUGGUUAUGGUUUCACGUUGUAAUUUAUGUCUUCACACAGACACAUAUACACAAAUAAUAAGAAUCAUAAUAUAUAAUUGUCCCAUUUGUCAUAUUUAUUUUUGCAAUAAUUUGAUCACUUAUUUUUUUUCCAUAGAUGAGUAUACAUGUUAAUUAAUGUUGGCUAGAUCAUGGCUACGAUGAACAUGGCCGCUCCUAUAACAUUCCGGCCACCGGAGUUCACUAAAAGCCGCCAUAAAACCGUCAUCUAUCUUCCAAAAAGAAUACACAUUUCUGUUUCUUGUGCGUCUACCGGCGCAUCAACUACUACAAAACCUGAAAUUGAACUUGAGUUCAUUGGGGUACGUAAUUGUAUGUGUUAUAGUAAGACAUGUUGUCUUGAUUCCAUAACAUGGUUUAAACUUGAUUUUUCAUGAAUAUGUAACGUCAUUCACUAGAUUUUAGUGCAUUGAAUAAAUGUCAUUUCCUCUUACGCGUUUGAUUGACAACUUGUUUGUUUUGUUAUAGUAAGAUAAGUUUUCUUUUCAUUCUGUAACAUGGUUCAAACCUGAUUUUUCCAUAAAUAUGUAACGUCAUUCAUUAGAUUUUACUGCAUUGAAUAAAUGUCCUUUCCUCUUACGCGUUUGAGUUACAACUUGUUUGUUUUGUUAUAGUAAGAUAAGUUUUCUUGGUUCUGUAUAACAUGGUCCAAACCUGAUUUUUCAUGAAUAUGGAAACUCAUUCAUUAGAUUUUAGUGGACUGAAUUCAAACCUGAUUUUUCAUGAAUAUGGAAACUCAUUCAUUAGAUUUUAGUGGACUGAAUAAUUGUUUUUUCCACGUACGCAUUUGAGUUGCGACUUGUUUGUUUUGUUAUUGAUUUAUAUUUAUCCUUAUUGUAGCCAAAACCAGAUGAAAAUGGCAAGUUUCCCAUGGAUAAAGCAAAAGCAGUAAGCGGUGAGAAGCUCCUAAGGAACAUCAUGUCAGAGAACAAGAUAGAGUUGUAUGCUGCAUAUGUAAGUUGUUGGCCUUAGUUAAAACUUUCCAAUAUGAUAAUAUUUUUCUUGAUGUCAUGUGAAGUAUUCCUUCUGUUUCAAACUAAUUGACCUGUUCUGAGUUGUUGACACGAAGUUUAAGAAAAUAAAGAAUACUUUUGAAUCUUUUGAAUAGAGAAGGGGAGCCUUGGAGUAACUGCUGAAGUUGCUCUGGUCACGGGUUCAAGCCUUGGAAACAGCCUCUGGCAGAAAUGCAAUGUAAGGUUGCGUACAAUACACUCUUGUGGCGGGGCCCUUCCCCGGACACCACACAUAGCAGUAGCUUUAGUGCACCGGGCUGCCCUUUUUUUCUUUUUUAAUCUUGUGGUCUUAAAUUAAAGAUAUGUCAAAUGUACCAAAAGUAUUCAUGCAUUCGACUCCUUCUAGUUAUCUGACAAGAACUUGCUUGGGACUAGGUCAAUCACAAUAGCAUUGUCUGCUAUCAAUUUAUGGACUAGUAUGAUGUAGACAUAGUAAUCGACUUUAUGUAACUUGUUUAAACAAUUAGGUGAAAGUUUACAUGUGAGUGGUGAAGAAGAUUGAAAGUGUAUUUCGUAAACAACCUCUCUACCUCCUUGCGGUAAUGGUAAAGUCUGCGUACACUUUACGCUCCCCAGACCUCACUUGUGUGAUUUUACUGGGUAUAUUGUUGUUGCUGUUGUUUUUGUUUAUUCGUCUUACAACCGGACUCAAAAACAACUAAUCACAAUUCUUGAAAAUGUAUGUAAGAAUGUAUGGAUGCUUUAUCUAUUUCUUGGAAGAUCAUGAACUUCUCAAGUACAUAAUCAUCAUUUCCUCUAACAUUGAUUUGCAUAAGAAGGUGUGCUACAAUAUGUAAUAGCAAAGGAAGUAUGUAUGCACUUCUUUAAAUCAUUUGUGGGAUGAAAUUUGAACAUAUAAGAAAUAUAAUGCUAUGAAAUAAUCAAGUGAUAGAAUAAAUGAUUCAUAUAUAUAUAUUUUUUUUUUUGCCUCACCUCUGAGCUGGUGGUACAAAAUGUGUUCACUCUACUCUCCAGAUCUCACAGUGUGAUAAUACACUGGUUAUGUUGUUGUUGUCGUUGUUGCAUUUAGUUGUGGCACCAUUUUUAGAUCUUGAACAUGACGUUUACCUUUUGGCAGGGAAAGGUGAUGAAUUGUGGAGGGGGUGGAAGCUGUGGUACUUGUAUUGUGGAGGUAUAAGUCUCUUAUUCUCCACUACGCUUGUUAGUAAUCGGACAUAAAUAGCCCUCGGAUAAGUACUGAUAACCCUCGGAUAGAGUAUUAGUACGGAAAGAUCCAUUAGAUAAUGAACUAUUGGUUCUAAGCCAUCUCUGACGAUUAAUGAACACUUCGAAGUGCUUUUCUUGCGUAUUCUUGAUAAACCAGCAUUUAUAUAUUCAAACAAAAUUAUUUGCUGGUUCUAUUUUUUCUAACGUGGAAGUUUAUGCGUAUUCUCUUACAUCUUAUACACAUAGUGCAUUAAUCUAUACUGCAACACAUUUUAAUUAUAUUUGGGAAUGAAGUUGGUCCAUACAUCAUGAUUUUGAGUGUCUGAUUAUCAGAUUGGUGGCUUGCGCUUGAACCAUUGCUAUCUAGCUUAGACGUUACCAAAUGGUUAUUCGGUCUGGCUAAACUUCUUAGUUUAGAGAAAUUAACUGUAUCACUUGCCAUGUUUGUUCCUUUUUUUCAAUGACACUAAAUCUUCCUCGUCGUGCAGAUUAUUGAUGGAAAGGAUCUACUGAAUGAGCGAACAAAUCCAGAACUCCGAUACCUAAAGAAGGUAUGCUCUCCCACAUGCUUCUCUUAGAUGCUUUUACCUUCCCUUCUAGUUACACUUUUCUCCACAAAAAGUUGAAUCAAUCGUCUAUUGAUCGAUCACUUUAAGGCUGUUUCAGUAGCAUAAGGUCAAAAUUUUCUGGUUGAUUUGCACCUUAAAACAUCUUGUUGUAUGUAACCAACUUGUGUCCGGUAGAGCAAAAAUUCUUUCGUUCUUAUGAAGAUGCUUAUAACGGUACAUACAUAUCUGACAUAAUCUACCGAAAGAAUUGCUCAUUCAGUUUUCAUCACUGUGCAGAAACCUGAGUCAUGGAGAUUGGCUUGCCAAACUAUAGUUGGAAAUAAGGAAAACUCUGGAAAGGUAUCCAAAUUAUAUACAUAUAUAUAUAUAUGAGCUUGUUUAGCUGCAUUCCAUAGAUUUGAACAUAAACCUGUACAUAUUCAAACUAAUUACGACUUGAUAAAACUUAAAUGCUAUUGAUUACAAGAAAAUCUAAGACCAAGAUGUCGUUUUAAGGUCCUAAACAUGUCAGUAAACAACUAAAAAUAUUGAACUACUAUAAUGUCUGGCAUCCACUGUUUCCUUCUUCUUUGCACCUGGAUUUGCUGCACUUGUGCUGAGGGUCUUUUGGAAACAACCUCUCUACCUCCCUGAGGUAGUGGUAAGGUCUUUGUACACUCUAACCUCGUCAGACCUCUCUUGUGGGAUUUCACUGAGUAUGUUGUUGUCGUUGUUGUUGUAAUGUCUGGUAUAUGAGUUAAUUGUUCUCUCAUAAGGUACUGGUCUUUCAAUACUAUGUACAGGUUGUCGUGCAGCGGCUGCCUCAAUGGAAGAAGUGAUGGUAGAUGAACAUGUAUAACCUAAACAGUUAACUCACCAACAACUUUGAACAGAGGAUAAAUCGCGCCCGGAAGCUAGCAAGCAUGGUUCAGUAGCUAGGAAACAUGAAUUUUAUUCAUUUACCAAGUAACAGCAAGGGUUUUUUCUGCUCCAGCAUUUUACAUUAGAAAGUAUAUGUGUCAAGUUAUAAAAGUUAUACAAGUUAUACAAGUUAUACAACUAAGUUCUUUGUUUACUUAGUUGUAGCUAUCUCUAUUCUCUUGAGUGACAGUACAUUACUACUACAUAUUCUUGACAUACAUAAUUAUGCAAUAUGCUUUUAUUGAGGAUUAAAUGAUUUAUUCAAAAGAAGGCACUGAUUCGUUCAGAAUGAAUUACAAAUUUAUAUCCUUCUCAGUGAUGUUGCCAAUUGUAUUCCUGGUAGUUUAACUUUCUAUACCAUCUUAUCAUGAUGGUUAUCUGUUUCAUUGGUAGAUCUUCAGUUGAACCAAGAGAUUUUGUAAUAAAGAGUUACACCGGCUGUGGCGGAGCCAAGAUUUUUAUUAAGGGGCUUAAAAGUACUGAUAUGAACUAAUCGAAGGUGGUUCAACGUAUACUAUAUGUACAUAACAAAUAAUUUUAAUCAUGCAUAAAUAGUAUAAGUUUUCGUCCCCCUGAGCAUCUGCUAGCUCCACCCUGCACUGGGCACAUAACCUAAGCAGACAACCAAGGAAGUUUUUGGCUUUGGAUUAUAGACACAAUCUAUACACAGGUAAGAGUGAGUUGCCAAACAAGUCAUUCACAACAAAGCUACUCUUAUAUGAUUGAUUUUGUCUAAAAUUUAAAAGAAAAGAAAGAACAUUAGAAAGUCCAGGAAAACAACAACGUACUUAAAAAAUAAUGCAACCUAACAACUAAAGCUAAAAAAUAGCCUACUGCAGACUUGGUCAAAUUUAAACAAGACUGAUGUUGUUCAACUUUAUCACCUCAUUCUCGACAUCAGCUUCCUGUCUUAACCAUGCCUAGCUGCUGGCAAAAAGUGCUCACUUGUUGACACUAAGACCUUUUGUGAACAAGUCUGCAAUUUGAUGCUCUAUUUUAGUAUGCUCCAAAGCAAUCUCUCCUUGCAAGACUUUUUCCCUGAUAAAGUGGUAAUGUAUCUCCACAUGCUUAGUCCUUGCGUGAAACACUGGAUUUUCAGCCAAGCAAAUUGCUGACUGACUAUCACAGUACAAAGGCACUGCAUAGUCCACCAAUUUUUGUAAGUCCAUCAAUUGUACGAGCCAUGUACUUUCUUGAGCUGCAACUGCUGAUGCCCGAUAUUCCUCUUCUGUUGUUGAUAAAGACAUAGUUGGCUGCCUUUCUGCACCAUGAAACCGCUCCUGAUGCAAGCAUAAAUACAUAUCCAGUAGUUGAACCUCGAGUAUCAUGAUCUCCUGUAUAGUCAGCAUCACAAUAACCACCUAACUUGCAAUCUUCACAUUUCUUAUACAAAAUACCAUAGCCAAGUGUACUUUUCACAUAUCUCAAGAUUCGACGAACUCCUUCCAAAUAGGACUUCUUUGGACUAUGCAUGUAACGACUCCUAACACCAACUGGGUAAGAGAUAUCCGGUCUUGUUAAAGUUAAGUAGAUCAAACUACCCACCAAUUAUCGAUACAUUAUUGCAUCUUCCAAUUAGUCUUUCCCUUCAUGUGAACACAUCUUAGCAUUUGGCUCCAAUGGUGUUGAGAUUGGUUUGCAAUUAAACAUCCCAAACUUCUUCAAGAGAUCUUUGAAAUAUUUUUGUUGAUGCAAGCAAAUUCCUUUUUCACUACGAUCAACCUCCAAGCCAAGAAAAUGAUUGAGUUGUCCAAGCUUCUUCAUAUUGACAAAUUUCUUUUAUUUUGGAGAAUUUUUUCUUCACAAUCUCCUGUUAGGAUUAGAUCAUCUAUAUAUACUAGAACAAUAGGUAGUUUUCUGUCAGCAAUUUUCACAAACAAACUGGAAUCAGUCGGUGCUACUGAAUAACCACUAUGAGUAAGAAAUUCAGAAAUCUUACCAUACCAUGCCCUUGGAGCUUGCUUUAAUUCAUAUAGCGCCUUUCGAAGCUUACACACAUAAUUCAGAUAAUCUUGACUUUGAAAACUCAUUGGUUGACACAUGUAGAUCUCUCGAUGUAACACCCCAUACUUUUACCUAGCUUAAAUUCAUUCCAAAAAUAUCAAAGACUUUCUUUAAAGAUGAAUACACUUUUAUACAUGUAGAAUUUUCAAGAUUUUUUUUUUAUUGUGUGGAAAAUUGAAUAAGUUUUCCAUCGAUAUAAAAUUUGCCAAAAUCUGAUAACCGGGAAAGAAGUUAUGGCGGUUUUAAGUUCCAGUCGUUAAACACCGUCAUUCAAGCCCGUAGUGCGUCACAGAGUGUGUCAAAAUAGCAAUUGUCAGUUUUCAGUGUUGCCCUGCGAUAUUGGCGCGUCACGCCAUAGACACAGUUCACAAUUGUCAAUUUUCACUGAGGCAACAUGAUUUUACCGCGUCGCUCCAAGGACCAAAAUUGCAUUUAGUGAGACGCCGCGUUGCGCCAUCAAUCGAGUUCUCAGUUGUCCACUUUCCAGUGGCACGACACGAUAGUGGCGCGUCGCGCUAGGUGCCUAGUUCGGAAAUUUUUUUACAAAAAUUAGAAGGACGCACAAGGUUAAAACAGUAUUUUUCCAUAAUUUUAUUAUGCCCAUAUACGGGACUUAAUCCCUAAAAAAAUGUCCUGAGCUACUCAUUAUUCACUUUUCCCCAAAUUAAAAACCAUUCUUUCUCAAACUAGCAAAACCCUAGCCCUCUAGAGAUCAAGAACAAAGCUCAAGGAUUCUCCAAGAACUCCAAGAAACUCACAAAUUAAGGUAUGUUAGAUGUUCAUUCUUGGGUCCCUUUCACCCAUGAAGUCCAAGAAUCCUUUUUCAAAUUACAAAAAUUGAGUAUUUAUGAUUUUCAUGUUUGAAUUAUAUUGAAUUCAUAUUCUUGAUAUUAGUUGGGUUAAGAUCCAUAACUUAAGUGCAAGUUUCAUGAAAUUAAAUAGCAUGUAUAACAAAUACGUGAUUAUCUUGAUAAACUCUUGAAUUUAUAAAGUGAUUAAUGCAUCCAUGAUGUUGAUUUGGUUUUCAAUCCAUGAUUGUGAUAAAAUUCAUGAAAAUAGAAUAAUAUUAAGGGGGAAAUUAUAUGAAUUGCAUGUUGGAUCCAUGAAAUUGCAAGUUUGGGCACUAGAGUUGCCAUGUUUAUAUGUUAUUCAUGAUUAUGUAUAUUAAGUUCUGCUCCCCAAGUAUUUGAUAGAAUGUCCAUGUAAAUUAAAUAAUGCAAUCAUGACAUGCUAGUAUAUGUACAAGUUAAUGCAUUACAAGUGUUUGAUGAAAUAUCUCUAUGAAUGAAUUAUGACCAAGAGAACAUUUAUAUGUUAUUCAAAGUUAUGCUUUGCUUUACCUUUCAUGUUAUCGAGUCCUGAGGGUAUUUAAUACCCGAUAAUUUAGUUGUUUAUCUAGAGCUAGUGUCAGUUAAAGAAUGGUAUCAGUCAAGUCACAAUCCGUAGUAUUCUCAAUCCGUUACAAAACUCAAUAGAACUGAGUCAGUUACAGAGUUUAGGAAAACUCAGAAAUCUCAGUAUUAGUUCAGUACAGUUCAGUAUACUCAGUUCAGUGUCUUUCAGUUGGGAGUAGGACUCAGCACCGAGUGAACCCAAGGAUGGGGGCUCACCUGUCAGUAGAGGGUGUGAUCCUUAGAAGCAAUCCUUACGUUCCAGAACUAUGUAACCAGCGUAGGUUGAGACAUCAAACCUAUCAGUUGAGGGUUGAUGAGGUGCUCUACCUUCCAGAGGGUACCAUCAUUCUCGUUUAGGGAACCUGCCAGUAGAGGGUAACCCUUCAGCUUGUCUUUAACCGUGGCACGGUACUGACACCUUUCCAAUUGGGGUUACAAAUUGGAACCCUAUUAGCUCAGAUUGGGGCAUGUCAGUUAGAUGACUACCUCCCAUAAUUUCAGUUUCAGUCCUCAGUUCAGAACUCAGCUCAGUUUUACAGUAUCAGUUAUCAGAAUUCAAUACUUAGCUUCAGAAAAGCUCAGUUAUAUAUGUAUACAUGUAUAUGCAUAGAUUACAUGCUUAGUAUUUAUAGUAGUCUCAGAUUCUUCAUGUAUUCUCUUGUUCAGUUACUCUCAUUCAGUUAGUUAUAUCCUCAUGCAUAAUAACUCCUGCAUCCAGCCUUACCUCAUCUAGAAUACCAGUAUAUUUCCAUGUACUGGCGUAUAUUCUCUGCGCUACUAUGUUUCAUAUCAUAGGUUCGAACGCUGAGGUUCUUGGCCACGCAUAGUAGAUUCAGAUUCAGCCAGCAGUAGUAGAUUUAGCAGUGAGUCCUCAUCAUUCAAUAAUAUUUUAUUAUUUUAUAUUUUCAGUAGAUGUAGUAGUUCAGUAGAUGGAGUUAGUUGGAGGAUUGUCCCAUCAAAUCCACUUUCAGACAGUCAGAUUAGAGGCUUUCAGACUAGAUUCAGACAGUAUUUCAGAUUUAAAUGUUAUUAUUCAAUAUCUGUAUUUCAGUUAUUUUGAACCUUAUGGCAUUUCAGCCUUUUAUUCCGCAUUUAUUCCAGUAUAUUAUUCAAUGCUCACAACAGAUAUUAGUCAAGGGUCAGCUUGUGGUCCUUCGGGGUCGCAAGCACCGUAUGAAGACUAGGGGGUAGUCCUGGGUCGUUACACCCGAUCCAACUCUUCGUGCAAAAAGGUAUUAUUUACGUCCAUCUGCCAUAAAUUCCAACCUUUACUAGUUGCAAGUGCAAGUAGAACCCUGACCAUUGUAAGCUUUUCCACUAGACUAAACGUUUCAUCAUAAUUUAGUCCAUAUUGCUGAGAAAAAACCAAAGCUUUAUGUUUUUCAAUUGAUCCAUCUGUGUGUCGCUUUAUCUUGAAGACCCACUUGCAAGAUAUCGUUUUCACAUCACUUGGUUUUGGUACAAGCUCCUAAGUCUAAUUCUAUUUUAGUGCUGACAUUUCUUCUUUAUAACUUUACUCCACUUCUGAUCCUAAGAUGCUUCUUCAAAAGUCUCUGGUUCAUUUGCACUUUCUUCCUUCACUAUUGCGGUAUUGGCAUACUUUGGAUUUGGUUUUCUGAUUUUUGUUGAUUUUCUGAGCUAAGUUGGUGUUUCCACUCUACUAGGUUCAGUUUGUUCACAUGGUUAUUAAUACAUACCAGUUUACCAAGGACAUUGGGCUACACUUUCUUCGACAUUGUCUUUGUCAUCUGCAUCUUUUGAUUCUCCUAAACCCAAUUGGAUUUGAGAAUAUUGGACCACAUCUUUAAAAACAUCUGAUUCUGGCAGUGCUUUCUUGUUUGAUGACCACCAUGAAGAAGCUUCAUCGAACACCACAUUCCGGGAUGUGUAACACUUUUCGUUUGUCAGGUCACAACAUCUCCAUCCUUUUCUUUGACUGUCAUAUCCUACAAAAAUACAUCUGACAACUUUUUUGUCCAUUUUGCUACAUAAAUGAUCAGGUACAAACACAUAGCAAACACAUCCAAAAAUUCAAAAAUAGCUAACUGAAGGUUUCAUAUUCCAUAAUUUUUCGAAAGCUGAAAUAAAAUAUAACCUUUGUUGAGGAAGCCUGUUGAUCACAAAUCCAGUCGUCCUGAUUGUGUCUACCCAAAAACGUCCUGGUACGUUCUUCACGUGAAGCAUGCUUCGAUAAAUUUCUAUCAGGUUCUUGUUCUUCCUUUCUACUAUGACAUUCAACUGUGGAGUGCUAGCACAUGUGAACUGAUGACGUAUUCAGCUUUCUUGAAGAAAAUCACAAAACUUGUCUAAGGUAUAUUCUCCCCCAUUAUCACUACGUAGACAACAAAUUCUUUUGCCAACUUUCGCUUCUGCUACCUUCUUGAAUUCUUUAAACUUUGAAAAAGUUUCAAAUUUUUCUUUCACUGAGUAAAUCCACACAUACCUUGAGAAUUCAUCAAUAAAAGUCACCAUGUACUUCAUCCCACCUAUGGAAGUUUGUUUCACAGUCCCAAAAACAUCAGAGUGUACCAACUCCAAUGAUUCUCUUGCUUGAUAGUCGAAUUCUUCAAAAGGCAAUUGAUGUGUUUUUCCAUACUGGCAGCCUGCAUAUACCGUGUCUUUUCUCACUUCAAGUUGUGGAAGUCCCUUCAACAUCGACCUCUCCAUCAUCACUUUUAAUGUAGAAUAGCUAACGUGACCCAGCCGCAUGUGCCACACGUCUGUUGUUUCAUUCUUUUUCGUCUUGUCUACAUAUGCAGCUUCUGCAGACAUUACGUAGAUUGAUUCCAACCUUUGUCCUUUUAUCACCGAUUCAUUUAUAAUCUUCAGGUCUCGAUAGACCUUCACAUCUUGUGUACCAAAUAGAAAAAAUAGCCAAAAGAUGUUAAUUAUGCCACGGAGAGAAGAUCUUUCUUCAUACCUGGGACAUGGUAAAUAUUUUAAAGUGACACCUCGAUAUCACUAUGUUGAGGAAAAACUACUGUAUUAUCAAUGUGAGCUAUCGGUAACUUUGAGUUAUUCACCGUUACAACUACCCUGCUGCCCUUAUACUCUGACAGGUGUUGUUGCUUCUCUUUGUCACCCGUUAUAUGAUUUGAGCAUCCCGAGUUGAUAAUCCAAUCCUUCUUGUAAUCAAUUGCCUUUGUCGCUGUAACGAGAGCCAAUUCUUCUUCUUCUACAACAAAGAAUGCAUCUGCAUCCCACACUUCUUCACUAUUUGAUGUAGCAACAUUACUCUCAACAGUUUUUUUCUUUGACCAGCAAUCUUUUGCCCUAUGACCUCUUUUCCCGCAAUUGCAGCAUUUUUCUUAAAACUUUUUGCCAUAACUUUGAUUCUUCCAACCACCGCCUCCACGAGUGCUCCCUUUACCUUGACAACCUUCUACUUCGUCGUUGUUCUUCUUAGAUCCACUGACACCAUGUUGCUUGAACUUUCUACUUCCUUUGUCGACAUAGAGUGCUUCAUCUUAACCCUUUAGUGAAGCUCCUCCUAUUUGCUUGGCCAAGGCUUCCUGGCCUACUAGCAAAUUAUCAAAUUCCACAAGUGACGGCUUAUUUUGCCAUUCUUUAUAACAUCAAUAAAGCCUCUACAUUUAGGCUUUAGACCAUAGAUGAUGAUUCUCUUUAUCCUUGUCUAUCCAAUUAGAGGUUGUGGAUCUAACUCUGAAAUCUCUCGACAUAGCAUCUUCACCUUAUGAAAGUAUUAUGCAAUUGGCAUGUUGUGUUGUCCUAUCGAGAGUAAUUCGUUCUCUAAGAGUUGGAGCCUCGUAUCAUUUUUAUUUGAAAAUAGCUUUGCGAAUGUAUCCCACACCUGUUUUGGUGUUGUGGCGUCUCAUAUGUGCUCUAGCAUAUCCUCUUCAGUUGUUGUCUUCAAAGCAAACAUAGCCUUUCCUGCUUUUAUCUUCCACUUUCGCAAUGUGAUGUGUGCAUCUUCUGCUUCUGGUUGUGUCACAUCAUUGUCGUUCACAACCUCUCACAGAUCUUGCCCUUGCAUAUAAGACAUUAUACAAGUGGACGAUGUACUGUAGUUGUUGUUGUUGAGCUUUUUCAUUCCGCCGAUAGCUUGUAGGUAUGUCAUUGUGUCAACAGUAGAAAUCUAAAAAAAAAAAGACUACAAUAUGUGAUUUCCCAAAGAACAACCUUACUCUUAAUACCAAUUGAUGAACUCAAAGUAAGAAUAAGUUCAGUUAUAGCAGUAAGAGAAAGAUAUAGUUUGCAGAGAAAAAUGGACAACUACUUUAUUCACUUUGUUGAUGACUCUUUUAAAUAAAAAAUUGCAAAUUAGAAAGACAUGUAGUGCCCGUUUGGAUAAGCUGAAAAAAAGCGACUGAAAAAAAGUUCUUUAAAAGUGCUUUUGAAAGUGUUGAACUUAUUUUAAAAAUAAGCAGUUAAGUGUUUGGAUAAAAGUGCUGAAACUGAAAAAAAAUUAUUGAUGUGUUUGAUAAUAAUGUUUUUAAGCACUUUUUUUCGUUAAAAUGACUGAAAUACCCUUAUAGCUGUUAAUAAUAUAUUAGAGUUGAUUAUUAUUAAUUUUUAUUGCUAAAAUGAUUCAAAUUAAAAUUAAUAUAUAUAUAUAUAUAUAUAUAUCAAAAAAAAUUCAUGAAUGACUAUUAAUUUGUGCGCUAAAAAAAUAUUUUUUUUAAGAGUUUAAAUGUUGAAUGUUUGUGUUUGAAAAAGAUAGUUUUAUAUUAAAAGAUUAUUUGUUUCUUCAUGAUUACGUUAAGAUUUCGUAUCAUUAAGGUGCAAUUUACGACACUUUCAUUUUCUUAUUAAACUAGACUUGUUGCUUUUAACUUUUGAGGAUAAUAUUAAUAUAUAUGUCGAGCUUAUCAUUAAGCAAAAUAUAUGUUUUUAAUCAUUAUAAUUUCAUUAAUAGAUAAAUAGCUUCAUAUAAAAGAGGUACUAAUAUGGCUAGAGUUAAGUUCGCCAUAAAUACAAAAAUUGAAAAAUAUUCAAUUAGUACAAGCAUUAAGCAUUACAAAUAUCAUUAGCAAUCAUAUCAAUUUAAUUACAAAUAGUGGUGGGUUAUAGUGAAUUUUAUUAAAAUAGUAGUAUUAUAUUUACCAAUUUGGCAACGCAUAAAAGUUAACAAAUCACACUUGUAUUAUUAUUUUUUAGGGUUAACACUUAAAAUUGGAUUAUAUCGGUGCGUUAUAACUCAUAUGGUUGGGAAGUUGUAUACAUGUUAUUUAAUUAGGUAGUGGAUUAGAGUUUAAUAAAUUAUUCAUUUAAUUUUCAAUUUUAAUAGAAGUUAGCAAAGUGGAGGAUAUAAUAACUACUUCUUUUAACCAACAAAAAGAAAACUAUUUCUUAUUAAAUUAUUCAUUUAAUUUUCUUAGAGAAUUGAAAGAGUGGUGUGUGAAGUGUGCCGAAGGUAAAAAGGAGAAUUAGGCAAGGGUAAAAUUGAAAUAAGUUAUAAUUGCAAGGGACAGAGUGGUAAUUUAAAUGGUCAACUUAAAAUUUCAGAAAAAAAAUAAGCACCUAUUUGCUACUUCUUGUUUUUUGCUUAAAAAAAGUCAAAAACAACUUUUUUUAAGCUAUAUUAAAAACUGUCAAACAUCAAUAUAAGCAAAAAUUAGCUUAUAAGUUGGUCAAACACCCACGUAAUCCCACUAAACCACUAACAGAACUAAAACUCUCCUAAACUUUAGGAACACUAUCUGCUACUCUAAAGACUAGGAAAACAGCAACGUACUUAAAAAAUAAUACAACCUAAUAACUAAAGCUAAAAAAUAGUCUACUGCAGAUUUGGUCAAAUUUAAACAAGACAGAUGUUGCACAACUUUAACAUCCCUUCUCGACAUCAGCUUCCUGUCUUAACCAUGCCUAGCUGAUGGUAUGUAUAUGAUUAAACAAUUAAGCAUCUUUGGAAGUUACUUUUUCUUUCAAUUUAUGUGAUAUUUUUUGAAUUUUAAGAGUUAAGCGGUUUCUUUUUACCAUUAUUUUUUCACAUGACUUAUAGAUCUUUUGAAUUGUCAGUUAUUUUGAUCAUAAAACUUUUUGCAUAGUCUACAAAUAAGUAAAUUAUUUCAAAAAAUUUAAAAAUUUCAUAUCAAAAUUUAAAAGUCUCUCAAAUCGCUGCGCUCGCUACCAUAAAAAUUACUCGUGUCGGUGCUUAUAUAACUACACAUAUCAAUUUAUCAUGAUUAAGUAAUUUAAUUAAAUGAUAAUAUAUUAACUAAUUAUAAUUAAGUGAAAAAUGAAUGUAAAAGCACAUUGACAUGCAUGUAUUAUAUUGAUUUGGCGUAAAUAUUCGGAAACAAACUUUUAUGUAUAUGCUACUGGAUCAGAAAUUUUGUCAUGUAUGUACACUUCAAUUACGAUUUAACAAUAUUAUGGUGUAAAUUCAUUUUAUCUGAUAUGAACAUGAGUAAAUAAUUUUCACAUGGGAUUAAUAAUUACAAUGAUGUAUUUCUAAAACACAUUAUAAGGCUACAGAAUUUCGUGCUUACAAAAUAAAUGUCUUAAUAUUAUACAGGGUGUGAAUGGGAAAACACAUUGCGGAAGAAAGAGUAUAUUAAAUGAAUAUAUUUGGAUAUAGUCACUUAAUUAUCUUUAUUUAGUCGUUUUUAGUUGUUCACUUUUAACUUUAUAUGUCCCUUAAAGAAACAAUGAUCAAUAUGUGAUUUAAUCAUUAUGCCCAUGGUAAUUGACGUAUGGGAGUAUUAAGUUUUGAAAAAUGAUAUGCAGAUCGAUUAUUAAUGCAGAGAAAACAUGAAAGAAAAUAACUGCCUUUUUGCUAAUAUAUUAAAAGUGACAAGUAAAUAUAAAAUAUAUAUUUUUGAAAUAAUGAACAGGUAAAAGUCAACAGAAGGAAUAUAAUUAGUCACUUAAUAAUAUUCAUGUCUUCAUAUAUGGAUAGUGAAGAUCGUCAAUGUCCCCAUGCAAUAAAUUUUCAUAAAAGAAAAUGUUUCAUUUCUAAUUACUUUGUAUUUGGUAUGUUUUAAUUUCUUCCUAGUUAAUACUCCCCGUCUCAAAUUAUUUGUUCCAAAUUUUCUCAUUUUACUUGUUUUUUUUCAUUAAUCAAGAAUAGAUAAAAAAAAAAAAAUUCAUAUUUUAACCUUUGCAUUAAUUACUUUUUCUUUAAAUUAAAAUGUAAACAUCAUUUAAUAAUAGAGGUACCAUGAUAAACUAGCCGUGUUAUUAAUUUUUUUCUUAAUCAAUACGUCAUCUCAAUUUAAAAGGGUAAUUUGGGACGAAGGGAGUAUACAUUCCCUCCAAAUUCACAAAUUUCUUUUGACUUUCCACAUUCUUACAUGCAUUCCCACUCUCUUAAUUUACCUAUAAAAUGACACUAAUCACAAAUUAAUUUUCUUCAUCAUUUCUAAUCAUAUUUGAAUACAAUGCCAACUCUCAUAAGCACUAUAGUCAUGAAGACGAAUACUAAAGCUAGAACUCUUUUUCCUACAACAUUUGUCUUUUUAUUUUUCCUUCAUCUUUCUUUUGUUUGUUGUCGAAAAAUAAUAAGCAGUAAUCGCGGUGAAAUUGGCUUCACUCUUGAUCUUAUCCAUCGCGAUUCUCCUCAAUCACCUUUUUACAACCCAUCAAACAGCGUUCGAGAUGCCUUCCAUCGAUCAUUUUCACGCGCUUCUUUUUUCCAAAAAAGUUCCUUUGCUUCUCCUGAUUCAAUCCAAUCGAGUAUUUCUCCCAUCCCGGGUGAAUAUCUUAUGAAACUAUCCAUUGGCACACCGCCUGUUGAAAUAGUAGCCAUCGCUGACACUGGUAGUGACUUAACAUGGACGCAAUGUCAGCCUUGCAUCAAUUGUUUCCAACAAUCAUACCCUCUUUUUGACUCAAAGAAAAGCUCUACUUAUAAAACCAUAGGGUGUGAUGCUCAAGAAUGUACAUCAAUUGGGAGUAGUUCUUCUUGUGUUAGUGGAAAUAAUGUUUGUGAAUAUCAAAUUAAUUAUGGUGAUAAUUCACACACUAUUGGUGACCUUGCUUUUGAUGUAUUCACUUUUCAUUCUACUUCUAGUGAAAAUGUUGCAAUUCCUAACGUUGCCUUUGGUUGCGGUCAUGACAACGGUGGAACGUUUAAUAAUCAUACUUCUGGUAUUAUUGGCUUAGGUGGUGGUGAAGUUUCAAUUAUCAAGCAAUUGGAUAAACAAAUCAACGGGAAAUUCUCUUAUUGUUUGAUCCCCAUCCAAUUGGAUUCAACAUCAAUAUCCAAUGUCACAAGUCACAUCAACUUCGGUAGUAAUGCCAUUGUGUCUGGUCCUGACGUUGUUUCAACUCCCUUGAUUAGAAUGGAAUCAUCCACGUUCUAUUAUCUAACCUUGGAAGGUGUCAGCGUUGGGAAUAAGACGUUGGAAUUCAAAUCUUCUAAAAUUGGCGGUUCUUAUGCUGGUGGUGAUGAAGGCAACAUUAUAAUAGAUUCUGGUACAACGUUGACACUUAUGCCUAGUGAGUUUUACGAGAAUUUGGAAUCUAUGCUGGUGGAUUCGAUCAAUGCUACUAGGAAGGAGGAUUCAUCGGGAACUUUUGGUCUGUGUUACGAUUCUGAUGAGAAUGGCACUAUCGAUGCUCCAACAAUUGUCGCACAUUUUACUAAUGCGGAUUUAGAGUUGUCUCCAUCGAGCACAUUUGCACAAGUGGAGAAAGGUUUGGUUUGUCUUACAAUAGUACCAGCAAAAGAAUUUGCUAUAUUUGGAAACUUGGCACAGGCCAAUUUCCUAAUUGGGUAUGAUCUUGUUGCCAACAAAAUUUCCUUUAAGCCUACAGAUUGCACUAACUACUAGUAUUGUUUUGUUGGUUCAUUAAUGUUAUUAGUAGUAAUUUCAAUAUUGUUGAUUAAUUCUUCUUAUUUUAUAUAAAUGAAAAUCUUUAAAUUAAGUAUUUUCUUGAUGUUUACUGAUUUUAUUAUAUUAACUGAUAAUAAAAAUCUCAAAGACGGUAGUAGAAUUAACGGUAAGAGGGUUGAGUCUUACCUUACUAAUUCUAACGAGGGACGAACCCUUACGCAUACUCUGUGAUGAUAUUUGUAUCCUUUUAUUUUUAACUAUUAUACUUGGUCUAAAGUUCAGAAUAUAUGUAUACUUAUAAAUUAUAUUUGAUUGACUUAAUUUCAAGUAGCAAUGGUUUACAUGGAUCGGAUCUGAAUAAAAGAGGAAUUGAGUCUUUUUAAGUUUGUUUGGGUCUGAAGGUAUAAACAAAAUGAGUAAGGUAAUUUUUUAACGUCAUGUGGUAUUUUUGAAAUUAAAAAACAAGUUUUAGGAUUUUUUUUAAUUCACUCUGUUGAUGAUAAAGGUAAAUAUGCAUCAUUCCUUAGACGACAAGACUAUAUAUGCACCAUUCAUUAAAUGAUGAGGAUAUAUAUGCAUUUAUGCAUCACAUUUAUAAUGAGUGAUAUAUCCGCAGUAAAUCACGACGUUAAAGGUUAUAUUUAUUACCCCUUUCCUCAAAAUUAAAAUAAGGUUAAAAGAUAAUACCAAAACAACAAAGGAUGACAUUGUUAUGAAGCCUAAUACUAUGAAGGAAAGUAAAUUUAUUUCAAUUUCUAUGAUUAUAAAGUUCUAUUUUCAAAUAAAGUUGAAAAAUAAUUAAUGUCUUGACAGUCAAUGGAUAAUCUUGCAUGAAUUUUUUCAGAUAAUACUUCCUUUACUACACAACUUUUUAUUUUGCUGAGGAAUUUACUACACAAUUAUUUAUUCUUGACUUGACAUUUUUCAAAUGUGAAAUUCAACUUGUAUUAAUAGACAUUGCCUCCUCUACAUCAUUUCUCAUCAUUCUCCAAAAUUUUUAGCCAUGGACAUUAAUAUUAAAUCUUUCACUCUUAUUAUAUUAGUCUUUUUAGUUUUUUUUCCAUCUUUCUUUGGUUUCUUGUCGACGACAAAGUGUAAAUGGCUUCACUCUGGAUCUUAUCCACCGUGAUUUUCCUCUUUCACCUUUUUACAACUUAUCAAGUACUCCAUUUGAACGCCUUCAAAAUGCCUUCCACCGGUCAUUCUCUCGUGCUAAUUCCUUCUUUAAGGGAAAUUCUGUCAAUGAAAUCCAAUCGAUUAUUACUCCAAUCCCGGGUGAAUACCUCAUGAAAAUCUCAAUUGGAACACCGCCCGUUGAAAUUGUAGCCAUAGCUGAUACAGGUAGUGACUUAACAUGGACACAAUGUAAGCCUUGUAUACUUUGUUUCCAACAAUCAAGGCCUCUUUUCGAUUCGAAUAAAAGCUCUACUUAUACAACUAUGAGUUGUAAAGAUAAAGAAUGUACAUCAAUAGGGAGUUUUUCUUAUUGUGGGGAUGGAAAUAUUUGUGAAUAUCGAAUUAGUUAUGCUGGUCAAUCGCGCACUUUUGGUGACCUUGCUUUCGAUAAAUUCACUUUGCCUUCUACUUCUGGCAAAAAUGUUGUAAUUCCUAACGUUGCCUUUGGUUGUGGACAUGAAAAUGCUGGCACAUUUAGUAAGUAUACCUCUGGUAUUAUUGGUUUAGGUGGUGGUGAUGUUUCAAUUAUCAAACAAUUGGAUAAACAUAUCAAUGGAAAAUUCUCUUAUUGUUUGAUCCCAUUCCCAUUGGAAUCAACAUCAAUGUCCAAUGUCCAAUGUCACAAGUCACAUCAACUUUGGGAAUAGAGCCAUGUUGCCUGGCCCUAAUGUCGUUUCAACUCCCUUGAUAAAAAAUGAUCCGUCCACGUUCUACUAUCUACACUUGAAAGGUGUUAGCGUUGGAAAUAAUAAGUUGGAAUUCAAAUUUUCUAAAAUUGGGUCUUAUACUGGUGGUUAUGAAGGUAACAUUAUAAUUGAUUCUGGCACAACGUUUACACUUCUGCCAAGUGAUUUUUACUCGAAUUUGGAAUCAACAUUAGUGGAUUUGAUCAAUGCUACUAGGAAGGACGAUCCAUUGGGGACUUAUGGUCUAUGUUACGAAUCUAAGGAUGGUACUAUCGAUGCUCCAAAGAUUGUCGCACAUUUUACAAAUGCGGAUUUAGAGUUGUCACCAUCGAACACGUUUGCACAAGUGCAAAAAGGUUUGGUUUGUCUUACAAUAGCACCAACAGAUGACAUUGCUAUAUUUGGAAACUUGGCACAGGCCAAUUUCCUAAUUGGGUAUGAUCUAGUAGCCAACAAAGUCUCGUUUAAGCCUACAGAUUGCACUAAGUACUGAUGUUGUGCCCAAUAAAAUUCAAAUUUUAUUGAUCAAUUCUUGAUUUCAUAGAUAUACUUUCUAUAUAAGCACUAAUGGAGAUUUCAUCCUUUUAUUAUGCGUUCAAUCAAGUAAAAUAAAAUCAAUUAGUGACAUUUACAAAUGGAGUUAACACUCUUUUGAUUUUUGAAAUUUGAAGUUGAAUUUGGACAUUCAUUUUACUUGAAGAAAAAAAUGAAUUUUUUUUUCCCUAAAAUUGGUCUGAACUAAUUUAUGAAAACUGAAAUUUUUUUGAAAAUAGAUUUUCAAAAUUUGAUCCAAAAUCUAUAGUCAAACACAUAUUUGAAGAUAAAAUUUCAAAAUCUAAUCCAAAUUUUAUGGUCAAACGCUUACUAAAUGUAUCCACAUGGGUCCAAAUCAAUUCAAAAUGAUCCAAAUCUGAUAUCAACCUUCUAAUAACAAUUAAAUAGCUAGGUUCAACCAAAUCUUCAAAAAUCAAUAUACAUCUUUGUUUUCUCCAAGAAUCAAGCUCAAUAAAAUGUGACAAUACCAAUGUCCUGGUAAAUCAGUAGAAAUUAUAUAUAGGGAUUGUAGUUUGCGAUUCAAAAAUAUUGUACACUUCUUCUAUAUCUUUGUAUAUACCCACACUUUAUUCAUCGAACAGGCCUAAUUGUGCACAUAAAUAUAAGUAAAAUUAGAGUGAAUGAGUACAAGUGAAAUUAGAGCGAAUUAAUACAGUUCCUUAAAGAUUCUUUGUUGUUUGUAUCUUUUUGUACAUCAGAACUGAAUUCGUUGGUACAAAUUGUAUUCGCCAAUACAACCUAAAUGAGCGUAUGAAUCCAACAAAUACAAUAGUUUGACAUCUAAAAAAAACUUGAUUUUUUAAAAUUAUAUUUCUUCCUAAUAUCUAAAAAGUUGCUACCAAUGGUAAAUACCUAAACUAUAACUAUAUAUUGUUAACAAGGUCCAAACUAUAGUCAUUUUUUAAAAUUUCUCAAAAAAUUUCUACCUACAUGAAUUGCAGUAGGAUGGUUGGGAUCCCUCAAUCUUUAACCAAAGAUCUCGUAUUUAAGCCUCCGACAAUUUUGUGGAUUUGAAAUUUAUAUGGACACCAAAUCAACGCCGGAAUUGAAUUUUUCAUUAAAAGGAUUUAAAAAAUAUGAAAAAGUGAUGUAAUGAUCCUACUUAGGAUAGCUUAGCAUAUUUUAAACAAGCAAGUAAAGAAACACAGGCAGUGGGGAUCGUAGUUAAAGCACAGAAGGAGUGACUAACUUGUUGACCUAGACGGUUGAGAUUUAAUCGUUAUUAAUGAGGUGCAAGGGUGGAGAUCAUGACACGUCGCCAGAAGUUGUUAAAUAAAGACUUGUGGAUAGAGAAAACACUAACGAUAAUCUGUAUUUCCUCUUCUUCCUCGUGAUCUCUUCUCUUUCUUCUCUCCUCUAAAUUUUUUAUGCUCCUCUUCUCUUCUCUGCAGAUUCAGGAACUUGCAUGGAUGCCCAUCUAUCCUAGUUAUCUUAAAUUAAUUCAGUUCUUAAUUUUCUUAUAAUUGAUAUUCAUUUUCCUAUUUUUGAAGUAAAUCGAAAAUUGUCCCAAAAAAAAUUAAAUGGUUUCACUUUUAUUGUUAUUGAAUUUAGUCAGAUCCUAAUUAGGAUUCUGACAAUUGGUAUCAGAGACACUGUUCCGUGCGACCUAUGUGGUGGAGAUAGCUGAGGGCACUCGCUCUUAGAUGGUGGAUGAUCGACUGGCCAUACAUGAUGGAAUUUUGAAUGAAUUGCUAACUAAUCAACAGGAAUGCGUAACACUCAAACAGGAAUUCAAUGAACCUUAAAGAUGCUUUUAGACAGGCUUACAACUCUUGAGAGAGUAUCUAAUAGAGCUCAGGGUGAACACCAAUAAGGAGAUGGGAUACUUCCUAAUCCAACUCGGGAAAACAGACAAAACAUGCCGCAAUGGUGUCAAUUACCCAGUUUUGAAGGUCAUGAACCCAAAGUGAGCCUCCGCAAAUAUGAAAGGUAUUUCACUAUAUACAUAAUCCUGGACAAUCUUAAAGUUGAUGCAAUUACGUUGUAUUGAAUGGGGUAGCGGAUACUUGGUAUCACACUCUAGUACUGAGUAGAGGUGUGGCUAAUUGGCAAAAUCUAAGAAAGAGCUAAUUAGCAAAUUUGAUGAUGAAUUAUUGGAUGAUAUAGUGUAACAAUUUAAUAGACUCUCUCAAACAGGAUCAAUGGAUGAAUUUUUGGUUAAAUUUGAAGACCUCAAGGCUCAAAUGCUUGUAAGGAAUCCACACCUCAAUGAUGCUCACUUCCUAUCUAGUUUUAUGGGGGAUUUGAAGUAAGAGAUUCGAUUUGCUAUUAAGAUGUCCAAACCAACUACACUUAAACUAGCUAUUGAAAAAGUUAGGAUGCAGGAGAAGGCAAUAGAAGUUGCUCAGAGGAGAAAUAAGGUCAUAAACAAGCCCACUAGUAUUGUAAACCACAAUCCUAAUACCAAGGUAGGUGGACCUAACCAUUAAACCUAAUACAUUUAAACUGCGUCCAGAAGUUUAUGAGUACAAGAAGACCAACACAUUAUGUUUUAAGUGUGGUGAUAAGUAUGUAGUUGGUCAUCAAUGUAAACAAAAACAACUUUAAUAAGAGAAGUAGAGCCUUUUGAAGAGAGACCUGGAGUGAUAGAGGAUCCUUCCUAUUCAGAUGUAAUUAUUAAAGGAGAAUUAGACCAGGAAGUUCAGGAGGUCGUAUGCUUAAAUGCACUAUCAGAUAACAAUCAAGGGGUGAACAUUAUCCUAGUCAGUGGUACUGUAAAGAAUAGAGCACUCAACUUGUUGAUUGACUCAGGAAGCACUUAUAGCUUUCUUGAUAAAAACAGGUGUGACAUGGUGCUUGGAAAUGACUGGAUGAAGAAGCACAAUCCCACUAAAUUUGAUCAUGAAAAGAAGUGUGGCAUAAAGAGCAACAAGUUAGUGUUAAAGGAAAUAGUUGAGAAAGGGAAGCUGAAUAUGAUCACUAGUGGUACUAUGAACAAGAUGUUGAAAACAGGACAAACUCAUAUUGCUCGUUUGUUUAUGAUGAGUACAAAUGACAACAUAACCCAGGAGCUAGUGAAUGAUGCUAUAUUGAAGGUACUAGACUGAUAUCCAGAUGUGUUCAAGGAUCCAAUGACCCUGCCUCCUGUUAGUCCCUUGAUUAUGCCAUUUCUCUCAAAAUAGGUGUUGUUUCGGUAAGUUUAAGGCCUUAUAGGUACACGUACUAUCAAAAGAAUGAGUUGGAUAAGCAAGUCACUGAAAUGAUCAACCAAGGCAUAGUUCAGCCUAGCCAAUCUCCAUUCUCUUCACCAGUUUUAUUGAUCAAGAAGAAGGAUGGAUCCUAGAGAUUUUGUGUAGACUACAGAAGGUUGAAUGAGAUCAUUUCAAAAGACAAGUAUCCAAUACCUAUAGUUGAUGAUUUAUUGGAUGAAUUGCAUGGUUUUAUGAUCUUUUCCAAAGUAGAUCCCAGGGUUGGAUACCACCAAAUCAAGAUGAAGGUUGAGGAUGUCCAUAAAACUAUAUUUAGGACCCAUGUGAGCUAUUAUGAGUUUAAGGUGAUGCCAUUUGGCCUAACCAAUGCACUUGCUACUUUUCAAGCCCUAAUAAACCAAGUUUUCAGCCAUUUUUCACAAGGUCUGUCUUAGUAUUUUUAAUGAUAUAUCAUUUAUAGUGUGUCUGCAAAAGAGCAUAUUGAGCAUCUAAUAAUUAUGUUUGACAAAUUAAGACAUCACUCUCUGUAUGAUAAGAGGUCCAAAUAUUUAUUUGGUCAACCUAAGGUUGAAUACCUAGGUCAUGUUAUCAAUGGAGAUGGAGCAUCUACUGAUCCUGAUAAGAUCAAGGCUAUGGUGGAGUGGCCUACUCCUAAGUCCUUAAAGGCUCUUAGAAGAUUUUUAGGGCUGACAGGUUAUUAGAGGAAAUAUGUGUCUGGUUAUGGUAUAAUUUACAAACCUUUUACAAACAUAAUAAAAAUUAUACCUUUAAGUGGAAUGAAGAAGUUGAUAUAGCAUUUAAAGCUUUCAAAACCGCUAUGUCCUUAACAUCUGUAUUUAUACUGCCUGACUUUGGCAAGGAAUUUAUUGUGGAAACAACUGCUAGCCAUUGUAAUAUUGGUGUUGUACUUAUGCAGGAAGGCAAACCAGUGGCAUACUUCAGUAAAGUGUUAACCCCAAAACACAGAGGUAAAUCUAUAUAUGAAAAGGAGUAUAUAGCCUUGUUGAAUGUAGUGGACAAGUGGAGACACUACUUCUAGUUCAAACACUUUGUGAUCAGGACUGAUCAUCAUAGUUUGAAGUAUUUGAUGGGGCAAAGAGUUACCUCAGCCUUACAACAGUAAGGGCUUACUAAAUUGUUGGGACUUGAUAAUGAGAUCCAAUAUAAGAAGGGUGCUGAGAAUAGGGUUGCUAAUGCCCUAUCCAGACAAGAAGGACAACUCUUGGUUAUGAGUGUGACAAUUUCAACUUGGAUACAAGAGGUCACUAAUAGCUAUUUUGAGGAUCCUCAGGUGCAAGAACUAAUCUCUUAAGUCAUUAUAGAUUUGCAAGGUCCUAGCUUAUGGCAUUACAUUUUUGGGGUUUUGAGAAGAAAAGGGAAUGUUUAUAUUGGAGCUACUAGAGGCUUAAGACAGUAGCUAUUAACUAUAUUUCAUGUUUCUCCUAUGGGGAGGGGGGGUCAUUCAGGGCAGCUAUGCACCCUCAAGAGACUGUCUCAACUCUACUAUUAGCCUAACACGGAAUGGAUGGUCAAUGAUUUAACUGCAGGUUGUGAAGUGUAUCGAAGAAACAAAGAUGACAAUGCAACUUAUCCUGGACUUUUGCAGCCACUACCUAUUCCUAAUCAAUCUUGGAGCCAAAUUAGCAUGACUUUACUAAAGGACUUCCUAAAUCUAGAGGCAAAAAGGUGAUCCUGGUAGUAGUAGAUAGAUUGACCAAGUAUUCAUACUUUAUUGCUUUAUGACACCCUUAUAUUGCUGUCACGAUAGAUGAACAUUAUUGGAAUAGGAUACAUUGUCUAUAUAGUGUUCCAGAUUCCAUAGUGACUGAUAGGGAUAAAUUUUUUCUUAGCUAUUUUUGGCAAGAUUUAUUCAAACUUUUGGGCACACAACUACACUACAACAUAGUUUACUAACCCAAAAGUGAUGGCCAAACUGAGAAAGUGAAUAAAUGUCUAGAGAAUUAUCUCAAGUGCAUGGUGUCUAGCAGACCUACUCGUAGGGAGCCCUGGCUUACUGUUGCUGACUGGUGGUAUAAUACUAUCCUCCACACUAGCCUGAAGUGCACUUCUUUUGAAGGUUUGUAUGAGUAUUCACCUCUACAUCUGUCCAUGGGACCACUAAUAAAGACUAAUGUUCCCAUGGCUGAGGAUAUUGUUUUGAAAAGACAACAGAUGUAUCAACUUCUUAAGGACAAUUUGAGCAAAGCACAAGAUAGGAUAAAACAUUAUGCAGAUAAGAGGAGAUAAAAAGGGGAGUUUUAGGUGGGAGACAUGGUCGAUCUACCUCAAGAUUCAACCUUACAGGCAAACCUCUAUAGCAUUGAGAAAAAAAUUGAAGCUUUCGUCUAAAUAUUAUGGUCCUUACAAGGUCAUUUCCAGAAUUGGAUCAGUGGCUUACAAACUUGAAUUACCAUCAGUCUCUAAAGUACAUCCAGUGUUCCAUUUAACCUUUCUAAAAAGAAGGUAGGUUACAAGGUGGUGGUGCAAUCGACUCUGCCUAUUACUGAGAAUAAUGGUCAGUUUUUAGUCCAACCUGUGGCUAUUUUACAAAGACAGAUGAUCAAAAAGAAUAAUGUGGGUGGAGUGAAUGUUUUGGUUCAAUGGUCAAAUUUGCCACUAAAAGAUGCUACCUGGGAAGACUAUGACUUCCUUAAGGCCAAGUUUCUUAAUUUCGAUUCUCAUCCUUGAGAUCAAGGAUGUUUUGAAGAAGGAGGAAAUGUAAUGAUCCUACUUAUGAUAGCUUAGCAUAUUUUAAACAAGCAAGUAAAGAAACGCGGGCAGUGUGGAUUGUAAUUAAAGCACAAAAAGAGUGACUAAUUCGCUGACCUGGACGACAAAGAUUUAAUUGUUAUUAAUGAGGUGCGAGCAAGGGUGGAGAUAAUGCCACUUCGCCAGAAGUCCUUAUACAACGACUUGUGGUGAGAGAAAACACCAAUGAUAAUCUAGUAUUUCCUCUUCUUCCUCGUGCUCUCUUCUCCCACUUCUUUUUUUUCUCCUCUCUUCUAAAUUUCUGAUCCUCCUUUUCUCUUCUCUGCUAAUUCAGGAACUUCUGGUGCCCAUCUACCUAGUUAUCGUAGAUUAAUUUAGUUCUUAAUUUCCUUGUAAUUGAUGUCCAUUUUUCCUAUUUUUGAAGUAAAUUAAAAAUUGUUCGAAGAAAAUUGAAUGGUUUCACUUUUAUUGUUGUUGAAUUUAGUCAGAGUGAAUACACAAAAUAGCCAAGAGAAAAUUCAACCCUUGACCCUACUUGAGUCCGCCUCGAACCCUAAUUGGUUCCCCUUUGUUCUCUAUGACUUACCUGUUUCACUUAAGAACUUUGUUUAUAUCAAAACAAGAAGAAACGUAAAAUAGAUACUUUGAACAAUAGAUAAUUUGGGGUUUAUUUUGAUAAAUAUUUAAGGUAGAAAACGUAAACACCUCAUAGUUCAGCUAUGAAACUCAAAAAGAAGUGGAUACUUUAUGUGUGUUUUGACCAUUUAACUCAUUUAAAGUCUGUUUUUCAUCUAUUAAGCCAUCAUGUAAAAGGUGGCUUGGUACUCACCAUGAGCUACCUGUUACGAUUAGUACAAGUUAGUUCUAGGUUAGCAGCAGCAACAAAAACGUACCCAGUGUACUAAUUAGCUGGAGAGGGUAAAGUGUAUGCAAACCUUACCUCUAUCAAAGAAGUAGAGAGGUUGUUUCCAAUUAGUGACGGAUCCAAGAUUUAGGGGCCGUGGGUGACAUGAGGUUCAGACACACAUAUUAACGCCCAAAGUUUUAAGAUUCCGCCGGUAAACCAUAACACCCAGCUAUCUUCUUGGUUUCCUGGGUGUGCUUUUUUGAAGUUUAUACCGAUUAUUACUUUUUUAUAUAGUUAUACCGAGUCUGUGUUGGAUUUAACGGGUGCCGAACCAUCAAAAAAAUGCAUAUAGGUCCGCCUCUGUUUCAAAUAGAUCCUCGGCUCAUGAAAAAAAGUCCAACGUUGUUGCGAAAAAUAAGUAAUAAAAGUACAAGAAUAAAUAGCUCUAGGAUAAGAAGCAAAAUUGUAUUUCUUGAAACCUAAGUGUGUGACCUAGUGGUCAAUGAAGUGGUUGAGAAUCAUGAGGUGUCAGGUUUAAAUCUCAGCAGAGACAAAAACACUAGGUGCUUUCUUCUCAUUUGUCCUGGCCUUGGGAACAGAAUUACCUCAGGUAUUUUGUGGAAUUAGUCGAGGUGUGCGCAAGUUGGCCCCAACACCCCGGUUAUAAAAAAACUGCAUUGUUUGCUUAAGCAGAAAUGGUGAUUCCUCCACCAGUUAGACCAGAAACAGUGAUGAAAUAUCUCAAACUUAUGUGCUGAGGAUGCACUUCACAAACAAGUACAUAAAUGCCCAAGUAGUUCACAUACCAACGGCAACAGUGGCUGCUUCCGUGAGCACACAAGAGAAAGGCGUAAGGCUUGCCACAAUAGAAGCAAAAGCGAAUGCUAGAGAUGUUGCUGCUACUGCAAAAAUUGGUAAGUUGUUGGCCAAAUGUAUUCCUGCCAUAUCGCUUAAGAGAGAGCAACGAUACCAUGAAAAGGUCAAAGCAGUUAUUGAUUCGGUUAGAGAAGCCGGUAUAGAAUUGGUUUGAUUGGAACACCGUGACCAUUUUCUCGUUUCAUGAUUAUGUGUUCGACUGGCAAUGUGUUGUUUGCAAUCAUCUCCAUUCUUGCAACUGAACAAUGUGUUGUUUGCAAUGUAUAGGAUGUCACUUCUGACAUUCCCAGUGCUGAAUCUGUGAUCACUUGGGUAUAAAGUUGAAGUUAAACAUGUAGUUUCUGUUCGGGGUUGGAAAAUCCAAAUUCAUACGUGCGUACAUUUGGCUUCAAUGAUCUGUCAAAUUGACUCUUGACAAGCGAAAAGCAUAACAUAAAUUGAGACAGAGAGUAGUAUGCACCAAGAAUGUUUAGUUAAGUUGAACCAUGAUACCCUUUGUCAACUUUCUGAGUUGUAAAGGAUGUCAAUAUAGCACUAUAAUUAUUGACUUUUACAUUAUAACAAGAUACAUAAUAUUAACCUCAAACAAAAUGAUACAAAACAGUUUCUACUAGGAAACCAAAACACAAUUUUGUGCAUUGUUGGCUUUCCCUUAUUGCAAUAUAAUCGAUGCACACCUUUAAUUCCAUAUUUUCUCUUUCUCCCUUGUGGAAAAUUUUGUAAACUAUGUAUAACAAUCUAAGAGAAAAAAUUUCUAUUAGUCUUCGGUAUCGUCCUUGCUAGCAUCCGAUUCAAAAUUCCGGUUCUUGCAGGUUUUGUUACAGGGGUAAGGACAAUCAAUCUCUUGGAACCGUUUUCUGUCGUAAUACCAAUCUCCAACUGCUUUGGCAAUUGUCUGUAAGAACACAAUUUUUAGCAGUGUCAAUGGUUGUCUAAAACAGUAAGAUAGAAUCUUAGGUAUGACCAACAGAAUUUCAAAAUAAUUUUGUUAGCUGAUUGCAUACCGUGCCAGAUAAUACUGGCGAGUCGUCCCUCAUCCAUGUCUCUUGUGUUCCAGUUUGACAGUGUGCAUAACAGGAAUUGAUGUAAUACCCUCUUGUCGAGGAAGGGCCGAGUGAAUUCAACGCUUUCAAGAACUCUGACCUAAAGGCUGAGAAAUAAAUUCCAUGUAUUAGACACAAAGAGCAAAGCACAGCUUCUGAAUGUAAGUACUUCAUAUGAUUUAGCACCUUCACGCUUACUACAACCAGUUAUUUUUAGUUUUAAGUAUUUAGAGUCCAAUGAUCGAUAGCUUAACGGUGUAUUCCUACUGAAUGAAAGAACGACAAAGGGCUUAAGAGUUUGAACCUUGCAUGGUUUGGAGCUGAGAAGACGAGCAUUUCAGUAUGUCAAGCUUGCAGUUGCGCCAAGUUCCAUGAGGAUCAGCAACACCGGGAGCUAAAAUGUUCUUUAUCUGAAAAAUUUAAGAAUAAUAAAUAAGCAAAAAUCAUCGAUUUAAAGGGCAAAAUUAUCCUCGUAAAUAGUGUAUCUAUAUAUAACAUGUCUUUGAGAUACUAUAACCAAACAAAAAAAUGUUACUGGUCGUAGUGGAACUUUUGUCUUAUUGAGUGAGGAAACUUUUACUAAUCAGAAGCGUUAGUGUCUAUCCUGCACCCCUACGUGAUGAAGUCAACAGAGAAGAGGGAAGGAGCAGAAAGCCACUUGACUCUAAGGAGAGAAACGUAUUGGUGGAGCUAGAAGAACAGUGAUGGAGAUAUAGGACAGAGAUAAAGAGAACUCGUCUCAUAGAAUAGACGAAGCAAUUCAUAUUAACCACAACUUAUGAAAGAGCUACUUGUAAAAACAUCUUCUUACUACUGUGAGUCCUUUCCUCAAGCAUUUUACGACUUGAGUAACUUGAAUAGGUGAUUAAAUUCUGAGGCAAACGUGGUAAGCUGAUCGUCUUGAGGUGACCAUAUUCUCUAUUAAGCCUAUGGUAGCUGUAAAAAUUUACUCGUUAAAUGAUGAUAGAACAAGAAAAUGAGUUUGUUCUCUCUCGGUAGCAUAAAGACUUAGGAUUCGUAUGACCUGAUAUCAACUCGUGUUUCCUUUAUAUUUUAUCUGAAGAUGUUUUACGAUCCUUUUUCUGCUUUAUUUCUACAAUGUGAAAGCUAACUGCGCAUUUCAUUUCCUAAAAUCAUACAUAACUUGGAGGAAAUCAACAUUACAAACGAGGAAAAAAUUGUCAGAAGCUCGAACCAAAGCAUACAAAAAAUAAAAUCAACACGAAAUUUCAGACAUGAACUGACCUGCCAGGAAUCAUAGGCUGCAUUUACUAGGAAAAGUGGUGUCUGGAUUUGUUGCGCAACGUUUUGUGGGAAAAAGCACUGCAACAAAAAUCGUGGUGUUCUCACAUAAGACUAUGGAUCAAAUAAGGGGAAAAAAAAUAUAUUUUUGUGAAAAUAACGUUCAUCUUACCAAUCCCGGUUUCAGUCUUGAGGUACACGAUUGAGGCAAAUUCUUCGUGGAACCCUGAAUCAAAAUAACAUAACACAAUUAGUAAGAGUAAAAUUGAAUCUAUAGAACUUUCUUAGUGACUAUACUGUUACACCCGAUUUUUCACUCAUCUUCAUACACGAAAAAUUUACAGUUCAUUGUAGGUCUGAGCAUCAUUUUUGGUAUGAAGGGGACGUUAUGACCAGCAGAUUAUGUCACAGAGAAUUACUCCCUCUGUCUCUAUGUGAAGUUGUUUGGCUGGGCAUGGAGUUUAAGAUGAACAAAAGACUUCUGAAACUUAUAGUUUAAGACAAGCCAUAGAUAUAUGUGUGGAUAUAAACCAUUUCAGUAAGCAUAAAAUGAGAAGUUUAAAGUUAGAAUUGUUAAUACUAAAUAUAGAAAGAUGUCAUUUAUUCAAGACGGACUAAAAAGAAAGAGUGCCAUAUAGAUUGGAAAGGAGAGACAUACAUGUGUAUUAGCAACUUCAUUGUAGAACUGUUCAAUAUGAGAGGUACCGGCAAUAGUCUGCCUGCAACAGAGAAUCAAAAAUUUUACUAGUACCAAAUCAGAAAUUUAAAUUCUCGCAAAUUUUAACAAACACGAAUCGCGUAACUUACGUAUUGAUAAAGAAACCAGCAUCUGAGAGACAUUUGACUUUAGCACCAGGUGGAAGUAGACCUUUAAAUCUAUCACAAUGUAGAAUCGCAGCCAAACUACCAGCUGAACAUCCCCCAAGAAUAGCCUACGAUUCGAAAAAAAAAGUCCAGUCAACAACUAAACAAUUUGGCACGAUGAGUACACUCGGCUGCAAUAAUGUAUAAUCGAUUGAUUCAUCCUACAUUCUGAGCAUUCUUCAUUCCUUUAGCCAAGAAAUCCUCCAUAACAGCUGAAAAAAUCCUGGCUCCUCUGUAGAAUACUUUGGUUUUCUGACAUAAUUCAACAUGUCCAUUAAGAAUCAAUGAAAAUACUUCCAACUCUAUAAUCACGAUACUUGGACAGCUCGUUGUUUAUAUUAAAUCAAUAAGAAUGAAUGGUCAAAAAGACAUCUGAACUAUCACUUUUUCACGAGUUUCACACUCAAAACUAUUAGUUGUUCCAUUUUUCUACCUGAACUAUCAUCUAUGUAUCAAAAUGCACCUUAACUAUCAGCGGUUCCUUUUUCGUUCAGUUGAGUUGAGUUGUGUUUUAAUACAUAGAUGGUGAUAGUUCAGGUGAAAAAAUGGCACGACUGAUAGUUGGACGUCAAACACGCAAAGAACGAUAAUUCAGGAGUGCUUUUGACCCAUUAUUUCUCAAUCAAUAAUUGUAUAGUAUUUUAACAUAGACUUACUGGAUCGACUGCUUCAACGUCACCAGUAAAGGAUGAUCCAUCGCAAUAUCUAAUUCUAAUUCUGUUCCAGUUGUAAAAGUCUACAAUUUCCAAAACACAAUCAAUCAGAAUAAUGUUUUAAGAAUAAAAAAGGCGUGAAAACGAUUUAUAUGAACAAGGAUGAAACUCUACCUGGAUUAAACUUCGCCUUGUUGCUCAAAAUCCCCGAGAAGGACACUGUCUUUACCAUCAGUUUUGAUGAUCCCAAUCGUGUUUUUGUACGAGCAAGGCAAGUUGUGGCGUUGUUGCACCAUGCUCCUCCCUGAAAAUUCCCAUAGACAUAGGUAUGAAUUCAGAUGAAAAUUCAUUUACGCGAUCUAUCAUUUUAAAAAUUUCAAUAAAACUCACUCGGAAUGUGUUCAAAAUUCAUGUAAUAACUCGUUUUUUAUAACAAUGCUAUCCAGACCAACUUACGCACACCUCGACGAUCUUGUUUCAAGAAUUCAAAAGGGUAUCAUAGAGCCUAAAAAUCUACAUUUUAACUCUUCGGAGACAUCUGAUUUGGAACAAUACAGAGAACAUUAACAAAUCGAGAAAUGAUCCAAAUUUACUCAUAAAAAAAAAAGGCACCAAACAAACCUCAAGUUGGAUGAACCAAUUGUUAACACCUGCUCCAAAUCCUUUAUCAAAAUGGUAUGCUGGCGGACUCCCAUCCAAACAUACUGCAAACACAACAUUGACAUCAAAAAAAUCAAAACAUUUUCACAUUCCUAAAUAUUUUUUUACUCUGAGUCAGUGACGGAUUCAGGAUUUAGACAUCGUCAAUUCUAAUUUGAACUUAUAAGUCCAAAAAAUAUAUAUUUAACUCCAUAUUUUUUCACAAAAAUAUACCCAUGACGUCAACUGUGGAUCUAGGGAUGGAGCUACAGUUCUUACGAGUUUUGGAUUUGCUUUGGUCUAGACCAAGUAGUUGUGUUAAAUUCACUUAGUAUGUAUAAAUAUUAAUAAGCUACCAUUUCUAAGAACUCAUAAACUCAAAAUCUUAACUCGGCCUUUGAUCAGAUUCCCCCUCAAAAUCAAUACAUUUCCACAUUCCUGAAAUCUUUUCCAUAGUCGGAUUCAGAAUUUAAACGUCAUAGACUCUAAGUUGAAACUACAAGUUCUAAAAUAUAUAUUUAACUCUGUCUAUAUAUAUUAUUUGUUUCCCACAUCAAAAUACAUAAUAAUGUAUUUGUAUAUAAAUAAUGUGAUUGAAAGAAAUUCUUACCAGCUCCUUUAGCUACUGCACUCUCUAGAUAAGUAAUAUCAACUGGAUGACCUUCACUAAUUAAAACAAUUAGCAAAGUAAUUAUUGCAUGUAACCAUAGUUGCAUUGCCCUUUUUACCAUCCUGCAUAUUAAUUACAUAUGUUAAAAAUAAGUACAAAUCAAUAUAAAUAACCAAAAAAUAAAAAAGAGCAGAAAAGUCUAAAUAAUGAAACAACAAAGAAAAGCCAAGAAAAGAAAAACAUCUCAUUUUGAGAAAGAUUUAAUACUUACAUUUAAUAUACUACCUGUAUCUCUGUUUUAGCAAGAUUUUAUUUCUUAACCAUGUCAGAACAAACAUAAAAAUUACUACAAAUACAGAAAUGAAAUUUAAGUUCAAUAUAAUUACCUGGAAUAGCAAUGAUUCUGAAGGGAAAAAAAAUGUCAAAUGAAAUUAUUUUUGUUGAAAUUUUGCAGUAUAAAUUUAGCUAGCUGUGUAUUUUGUGUUUGGAGCUAAAAUUAGAAAAAAUAAAUUGAGGGGGAACAAAAAAGCAGGGUCCCUAAAGCAUCUGAUGUCUGAAAGUAUAGAGCAGAAGUAUAUAUUUAUACUAAAAAAAAGUAAUUGGGUGUGCUAUAACUCCCGUUAUGUACGGAGUACGGAAAGUGUCGGAUCACAAAAAUCUACUGAACGCAACUUCACUUUCCAUUUUUGCAAGCACUAUUUCAACGUCUUGGACUCGUGACCUGACUCUUGUCAGACGACAAUAACUUUAUCAGUUACUUCAAAACUUUCCUUUAAAAGCAUAUAUUUAUAUUGAAAAAAAUAACUGUCUACAUUGAUGUUAUCAUGUCGAUGAUCUAUUAAAAACAGUCUAUUUAUCAUCCGAGUUAGUAAUAAACUCUGUUUACAUACUUAUUUUAUUUAAGAUCACUUAUAAAAUUAUACUGAAUAUAUUUUAUUCGUUGGUGAUGUUAUCAAUUUUUUAUACUGAAUGUAGUUUAAUGUGUUAUAUUAAUUUACUGUACAUUUAUUUUUGUAACAUUUAACAGUUACUGAAGCCGUUACUAUUCUUGAAGAAUUCUUGUGAUGAUUCUGAAAAUUUAAUCAAAAAUAUUGUCUGUUUAAGAUUUUCAAAAAAAAAUAAAAAUUUAAAAGCUUCUUUUAGUAGAGAAGUACAAAACUUUACAUCAUCCAAUCACUUUCACUUGUUAUAGCACAGUAACAGGUCUUAUUUUCAUAAUUUUUCAUAUUUUAUGAAGAUUUACUUGUAGAAUUCUUUGCAUAAUUUAACACUAUACACAAUGACGAAUCUAGCACAUAUUAUGUAGAUUUAAGAGGAAUCAAUUACUUUUGUAAGGGUAACAUAUAUUAAGAGAAACAAUAACAUACAUAUACAGUCUCAUAAUAAAUGUAUUUUUAUAGGGCAAAAAAAUUAUUUUCGGUAGUCCGUAAACUCAAGAGUCUUGUUUCAAAACACAUUUGAAAAAAAAAUUGGGGAAUAAAUAUCUAUAGAUAUUUCAUUGUGAAUUCAUUUAUUAUUGCACUUUAACUUAACAUCACUAUAAAAUAUAAAUUCAUAAAUUUUACUCCAUGUGAUGAGUUCAUGACUGAGCUACAGGCAAAGGUGAAUUCGAUCACAGAUCUCCCACAUGAGAGCAAGGGCGGAUCUAAAGUCAAUUUUGGGGUGCUCCGACACCAGUUACAUCCUAUGCAGAGUAGAUAUAGUUUUAUAUAAAAUAUAUAAAAAUCGAUAUAAGACUUAAAAAAUCAUCUAGCAAAUCAAAAAGAUAGAUGCAUAGGUAUUUUAUUUUCGAGGCGGAACUUUAAAGCCUGAGCGUCAAUAUAUGUGUUCCGAUUUUUCAAGCAUUCAUAAUUUCUAAAUCCGCCACUGCAUGCAAGAUGCACCUACCAAACACUCAAUCAUGCCCUUGCGGGCAAUAAUAAUACUGCAUCUUAAUAUAUGCUUUUUAUUCAUUUUUAUAUUAUUGUAGGAUGAGAAUCUUUUCAAAAGCUUCCCUGUUUUGGUAUCCAAAAUAAAGAAAGAGGAGAGAAAGAUCCAAUCUUAAAGCUGUUUUUUUUUUUAUUUCUUUUAAAAAUGAAUAAUAAAGUGCCUGAAAGCAAUUAAAAUUAUUUGAAAAAAGGAAGCUGCCGACACUUCACUAUAAGUUCAUUAUUCGAAGGUAAUAUGUGCUUUUUGUUGAAGAAAAAAGGUUGCCUAGUUUGGCUUAUUGUUAUUUCUUCCUAGAUUAUCAUAUUAUUUUAAAUAUUAUAUAUAUAUAUAUGAAUGUCGUCUUUCGUCUUUCCUUAUUUAACAACUAUUUAAUAGCAUCAUUCUUAUAUAAUAAGAAAAAGUAACUAAAAAGUAGAUAUUAAAGUAAGUUUAAGAUGAACAAUUUUAUAAACUUUAUAAAGUCAUUAUUUAUUUCUUAAAUUCUAUAUUCGGUCAAAUAUAGACAUAUAAAAUGAGAUGAAGGAGUAUAUGUAACUGGGGGUAGGGGAUGGAGAACUAGAAAUGAAAUUAAAUAUGAGAAACAAACAACAACUUAAGAGUUCAAAUAUUCAAUCGAUUGAGCUAUUAAAAUUCCUUUAUUUUUACAUUCUCUCUUUUUAUUUGCAUGUUUUGUUUGAGUUGAGCAAUUAUCAUAAUCAGUCUCUUUAUCAUCAAGAAAAGAAUAAGAUAUAUGUAUAUAUGAUGAUGCUUCUCAAAUUUUACCUGUAUGAAUAUAUUGGGUAUACUGUUAUUGUUAUUUGUGCGCUUUUUUAUUUUCUUUUUUCAAACUACUUUAAAAUCCUUUUCUUGAACGAAUGUGUAUUGAAAAGGAUAAAUAUUGUGUAUACGAUAUUCUUCUUCGAUUUCACUCAUGAUAGAUAUAUCAAUACUGUCGCUUCUGCAUUUUGAUAUUUUUAUCUUUUAAAAUUACUUUAAAAUACUUUCCUUGAGCGGAUUAUCCAUAGAAACAAUCUAUGUACCUGUGAAAAGAAAUGAGAUCCAUUAAUAUAUAUACACUUUUUUUUUAUAUUCUACUUGUGAAAAUAUAUUGAAUAUUAUAUUAUUAUUUUUUUAAAAAUAAAAAGUGGUUGCCAAGUAUAGUGAUGUUGUGCACAGAUUUGACAAAUGCCAUGUGCUAAGUUAUGGAACCUUAUCGGUUUACGCGUUCCACAUUCAAUGAAUGGAGAAAAACUGUUGGAGUGAAAUUUGGAAAGUAAGUGAUCAUUAUUCUUUCUUUGUUUUGUCUUUUUUUUUUCUUUGUGAUAGUGUAUUUUUCUUGAAAAUUUUUUGAUGAUCCAUAUCAUGAAAAUAAUAAUUUUUGGAAGUUAAAAUUAAAGUUAAAGUUGAAACUAAAAUUAGUGUUGUGUUUGAUUAUGCAUAUAAAUUGGACUUAUUUUUAAAAUUUUGUGAGAAAAGUAAGAGUAAAAAAGUGAAAUAAAUUUAAUUAUUUUUAUUUUUAAAAAUAAUUUUUAUUAAAAUAAAAUAAUUUUAAUGGCCAAACACUAUUACCUUAUUUUUCUCACUAAAUAAUUUUUCAAAAAAAAAAAAAACAAAUUAUGAGGACCAAACGUCUACUUAUUCUAAAUUUUUGGAGGAUCAAUGUAAUAGAGUGUUUUUUUAAUAAAAAAAGUUGUUUCAUUAUUAAAAUAGUAUAAUACAGUCACUUUUAAAAUUUUGUAUACAUUCACCAAAUAAAAAAUGUUUAAAUUCAGAAUAUAGUAUCGUGAGUGAAGUGAGAUACUUAUAUUCCUAGAUAAAUAAAUAUCAUUUAUUUAGUAACGGAAGGAAUAAUAUAUAAUCAACAAAACAACAACAUAAUCAAUGAACUUUAACAAGUGAGUGUGAGGAGGAUAGAACGCAUAUUAUAAGGAUUACUAUCUCGUAAAAUUAAGAAAUUGUUUCUGAAAGAUCAUCGGCUCAAAUGCAUCAAAUCCAAACAUAUCAAUUAAUAACAAAACUAAUAACAUCACAAAAUCAUAUGUAGAUCGAAACAUAGAUAAAUAACAUAUGACGAUUGAUAUCAAAAGUAAAAAAGUACGGUAGCAAUUACUACGAUACAUACCAACAAAUAUAUACCUACGAACAACAAGACAUCACUCUAUUCUUAAUUACCUAACUAAUACUUUAUCUUAGUUAGCGUCCUUCAUAAUUUUCUAUUUAAAAUCAUAUCUUCGUUAAGCCAGACCUACGUUAAGAUCUAUCUAAUCACUUGUAUAAUAAUAAAGUAAUCUUUUUCUUAUAAAGAAAAACUUGAAAUAUAGAACAAAAAAUUUAUGUCCAAAUGGGUGUUGGUGGUUCGAAAUAGAGAGGCGUCAAGCGGAAGCUUAAAAUUUGCAAAUUAUGGAAUGAUACAUCAGACGACAAAGAAAACUAAACUAAAAACAUAAUAUUAUUGAUAUAUUUUGAUCAAGAGACAUAUAAUGAAAACCUAAUAUCGAAAAACAAUAAACCUAUUGGGAGAUAUUCCCCCUCCUCCCCUUAAACAGAGACUCUUUGAAUACUACAUUAUAGAUGUUAUUGUAUUUUUAGUACAAAAAGAAGGGUCUUCUAUUUAUAAAGUUCUAAAACCUUUUUCUAAGAAAAAGGUUUGUCAAAUAUAAAAAAAUUUUAUAUUUUUCUUUUCAAAAAAAUAAAAGUAAUUAUGGUAUUACUUUUAUUUCCCUUCUAAGAAAAAUAUAACUUAAUUUUAAUAAAAAAAAUUAGGACAAAAACCAUGGAUCUUUGAAAAAUGGAAUAACUAAAUUAUUUUUAUUUCAUUUCAAUGUCUACUUUUCCUUUCUAUCUCCCAUGCAGCACUUUUCCAAGUAGGACCACAUGAGAAAGAGAAGGAUGAUGUUUCCUAGAAAAGCACAUAUGAAUAAUUUAAAAGGGCUAUUAGGUAAACACACGUGAAUGCCGGUGAUUAUUUUAUGUCAUAUUACUCUCUGCGUCUUCUUCAACUAAUUUCAAUAUUUUACAUAUUUGCUUUUACUUUUUAUUCCUUCAUAAUUUCUUUUUAUUGAAAUUAGAUAGUAAAAUUAAAAUUCUUUUUCACUUUAUAAAUUUUUGUAAAAGUUGGAGUUGGAAUCAUAGCUUUAUCUUUUAAAAAUUUAGCAAAAUUAUUCAAUUUUGACUUAUUUAUUCAAAAUAUAUAAUUAAAUUUAAUCUAAAAAAAUAAUAUUUCAAAAUAUAUAACCACAUAAUAAGAUAAAUUAGAUCACAUAUACAAGUUACAACAUACUAUUACAAAUAUAUUUUAACUUUAUUUGAAAAUUUUGAAGUUGAAGUUAUAUUUUAUUAUAUAACUAUACAAAUAAUAAAAUUAGUCAUUUUUAUAACUAUCACAAAAAUUACCUUAAAAUUUGAAAAAGAAGUGAGGAUAAGAUUUUGGAUAUUUUUCAAAUUUAAAUUAUAUUAGAAAGAAAUUAUAUUAUACUUUUUUAAAAAUAUUUCUAAAAAAUAUUUCUAUUAUCAGACUUUAUAUUGUUGGGUCCGUGCCUUGCACGGACAUUUCGUAACUAGUAUAUAUAUAAGGUAUGAUAAAUAAUUUGAUGGUGAAAUAAUAAUAAUAAUUUAAAAAUAUUUUGUAAUAAUUUUAUUUAAUUUAUAGUAAUAGAUAUUAUAUAUAUUUCUUAUAACUAUGAUGUUUUGAACUAGCUUUUUACCUACCUUUACUAAAUUCACCAGAUACCUACAAGCAAUAAUUAUUAGAUAAGAUGGGAAGAUUUAACUAGUGCUUUUUAUUUCUAUUAGAAUUUGUAACUUGAUGUUCUCGAUUAGCUCUAUUGACCAACCACCAGAUGCAAAUGGAUAUUAUUUAAUUUCAAGAAUAAUCUCAUAAAAUAUCAUUAUAUAUGGCGGCCCACCAAUCAAAUCAUUGGUAAAUUGAGUUGUGAACCAUUGUUGAACCAAGCUGUCAUUCACCAACCAGACAUCAUUUCUUUGUUGGAUUCUUCUUAUUUUCAUUCGGCACAUGGGAAGACACAGCCCAAGAUUUCAAGUUUUCAACUAAGAAGGUUCAACGUUUGAAGAAAAAUUAAUCGAUGAGAUUUAAUAUCUAUUAUAUAUAUAAGUUAAUCUCAAUCAUACAUAUAUAGUAUAGUUCUCUGUUGAAGAGGGUUCAUUGUCAAAGGCCGCUUCUACCUCCACAUUUGAUGUUCUAACUAAUUUGAAUUUAUGCUAAAAAAUUUCAUAUUAAAGGGGUAACAUGUGCCCCGUAACUUAGGUGAUUUCAUGCUGAGAGAGUUCAAGUACGAGCAGUGGCGGAUGUACAUGUAUUCCAGGGGUUCAUUCGAACCCUCUUCGUCGGAAAAUUAUACUAUUUUUACAUGAUAAAAAAAAAAUUAUGUAUAAAUAAUAGAGACUGAACCUCCUUCAACUAGUCCGUAUAUGUACUACUGAAUUCCCUCACUGAAAAUCCUGGAUCCGCCUCUGAGCAUGAGGGAUCAAUUUAAUGAUGAAAAAAUACUUACUAUUCCAUGAUACUAUUGAGUGGUCCCAACCGGAGAUCUAAUUGUUGGUGUUUAUCCUGACUUUCUUACCAUAAUUAGGUUUUUCUUUAGGUGUCGUAAUUGAGUUUCCUUUAAGGAAAAGAAAAACAUAUUCUCCAUAUUUGGCUAAUCCUUAUUCUUAUAGGAAAAAGGUUAUAGACUCUAUAAAUAGAGGCCCCUUUCUUCUUAUUUUGUACCAUCCACAAUGUAGUUUUAGGAGUUUGAAAGUUUCGUUUGGGAGAAACUUUGUGAGACACAAGUGUUACAGUAUCACUUGUGUGACUGUUAUGAACCAAUUAUCCUACAUUGGAAAAAUAGAGAAAUUCUAAGGGGAUUAUAAGUCAAAUGGGUUCUCCUACCUAUUAGAUUUGUCUUUUAGGUUGGACUCUCCCAUUUGGUUUAUAACAUUGGUGCUUUCAUUGAGAGUCCCACGCGUUGGGCCGUGACUCGGAGUGAUGGCCUGGACCCAAGAGGGGAUGCCAGCCAUGACCAACUGGGCGUAGCUGUGACCAACGAGGAUCAAUCCACAAGUGGGGAGCUGUGCGUUGGGUUGUGACUCGUAGUGGUGGCCUGGACCCAAGAGGGGUGCCAGCCGUGACUAACUGGGCAUAGCCGUGACCAACGAGAAUCGAUCCACAUGUGGAGCUGCGAAUCAGAGUGGUGGCCUGGACCUAAGAGGGGUGUCAGCCGUGGCCAAUGAGGUCGUUGGUUCUCAAGCGGAGACGAUUGUUAUGAACCAAUUAUCCCACAUUGAAAAAAUAGAGAAAUGCUAAAGGGAUUAUAAGUCAAAUGAGUUCUCCCACCUAUUAGACUAGUCUUUUUAUAUAGUGGAUUGCUCAUCUCUUUGUAGAUGUAGGUCGAUUGACCGAACCACGUUAAAUUAUUGUGUCUCUUUUGAUGUAUUUCUUGUUUGUCUUCUUAUUUGGCGUCUUUUGAGGUUUACUUUGCUAGCUUUCACGGUCCUAACACUAAUGCGGGAUAACCUUAUUCGUGCAUGUCCAAUUUCACGAAUAAAUUAAAGUGAAGUACUAAAAAAGUAUUUCAGCUCUUCCUUACAAGAUUUCAUUGGAUAAAGAAUUUAAAUAAGAAGGAAAAUUAUUGGAACUAAUCAUAUUAAACUCAAUAUUAACACGCACCAAUUAAGAGUAAAAUAAAAAUAUAUAUAUACGAAAUGUAUUUAUUUAAAUAAAUUUAAUUAACUAACAAAGAAAUAUUAUCAUAUUAAAAAGUUGAUUGUGCUAAAAAGUUGUGUAGGAAUUCGGUAUGGAAUUGCAGGAUAUUCAUAACACACAAAAAGGAAAAAAAACAACAACUCUAAACAGAUUUUCUUGCGUUUAAAUUUAUUAACUAGUAAUGAAUAAGUUUCAAGACAAACCUGAUAGUGAAGUUUGUAAUACAAAAUAUGAAGACUAUGCGUAUCCACACCAAAAGCGAUCUGUGCUAUCAACUCGUUGAUCAAUAAAACUCACAAAAAAAAUUGUAUUAUGAAUAAUGUAUUGAGAUUUUAAAAAAAUAAAAAAUCAACUCACAAUAAAGUAAGAUGAAAAUACUUUUUUUUAUUAAUUAUAUUUUCUCUCUUGAUUUUGAACUGUCACACUUUUAAUAAAGUUGUUUCCUCAUAAGAAUUUUCUCAUAGCGAAAACCUUUUGAUCACGAUUCAAAUUUUUUCUCGUAAUGAAAACUUUUUUUAUAAACUUAUUUUAUAGAAUCUUUCCAUCACCCGUUUAUAUAAUAUUUUUUUCUUAUUUAAUUAAGGUAAUAAUUUAGUUGAGGUAAGAAUUUAAUUUUAUAAUUAAACUUUUAUAGAAAAUUUUCCAAAUUACUGAAUCUCGGCUACACGGUGCAGGGUCCAAUUCAAAUUAGAUGGAAUAUAUAAGUCCUCUCUUUUAAUAGUACUAGUUUAGAUCUACGUUAUUCGCGCAUAUAUUUCACAUUAAUUAAUUCAAAUGUUAAUGUAAAAAUGUAGAAUUUAUUUAAUUAAAUCUAAUUUUUAUCAAAAAAAAUUCAAAUUUGAUUAAUAUUCAUCUAAAACCUGUAAACUAUAACAACAAUAUAAUGAUAGAGAUAUGUAAACAAUACAAUUAAAUAUAACCUUUACAAAAAAAAUUUCCUCAAAGCCGACGGGCAUUCAUUUACCACCUGUAAACUACAACAAAAUAACAUAAUGAUAGAGAUAUCAAAGCAAUACAUCUAAACUUAACUUUUACAUAAAAAAAAAAUCCCAAAUCAGAGAUAUUAAAACAAUACAAUUAAACCUAAUUUCCACCUAAUUUUUUUUAAGUCAGUCGACAUUUAUCUACCACCUAUAAACUAUGACAAAACAAUACGAUAAAAGAGAUAUCAAAACAAUACAAUUAAACCUAACAUUUACACAUAAAAAAUUCUCAACGCUGAUCAAUUCAUCUACGACCUAUAAACUACCAUCUACGACCUGUAAAUUAUCACAAAACAAUACACUAAUAGAGAUAUUAAAAUAAUACAGUUAAACCCAACCUUUAUCCAAAAAAAUUCUUCAAAGCCGACCGACAUUCAUCGAGUACUGUAAAUUAAAAUAAAAUAAUAUAAUAAUAAAGAUAUCAAAACAAUGCAAUUACAACUAAAAUUUACAUAAAAAAAAUUUCAAAGCCAACCGACAUUCAUCUACGAUCUGUAAACUACAAUAAAACAAUAUGAUAAUGAUUGCAAAACUCCAGUCUCUGAAAAUACAAAAAAAUAAAUAAAUAAAUAAAUAUAGUAGAAGUAGAAGAAGAUAUAUAUAUAUAUAUAUAUACACACACACGUUGAAUUCAUGUUUAAAUUAUUUGCCCUUCAUUAAAAGUUUCUACAAUAGAUAAAAUCAUCUUUUCCCUAUUUUUCUCAAAUUAUUUUUAUUUAAUUAUUAUUAUAUAUAAGUAAAAUAUUUAUAAGAACUUGAAUCCAAAUUAAAAUUGGAUGAGUUUAUUGCGUUAAAGUCCAAUUUGACAUUGGAUUGAGUUUCAAAAAUUAAGGGACUUCACCUUUGGCCGUGUGUAUUGUAUGAAAAGUUCAUGAAAAUUAAACGGUAUUGCAAUUUUAAUUAAGAGUUGGAAUUCAACUUUCACCAUACAAUAAGUAUAUUCCUAAGUUUUUUUUCCCCAAAAAAUAAAGCAACUAUCCAAAAAUAAGACAAAUUUGUUAUUCUAGUGUAUAUGUUGAAUUUUAUUUCAAACAAGUUGUACAGUUUAUUAUAAUUAGAAUUCUUUUAAUAAUGGUGAUUUUUUAUUUUUUAAAAUAUAUAUAUUAUUAGUAUUUAUGUAUAAUUAUAAUUUUAAAAAGUAGUAAAAAGACGAUUUUGUCUAAAGGAGAGUAUUUUAAUGGAGGAUAAAAAGUUCAAAUCACUUUUCUAAGGGUUUUCAUACUUUAAUAUUACUAGUUUAGGUGUACGCGCCUUGCGCGUGUACCUCACUUUAAUAAGUUCAAACAUUACAUUAAAUAGGAUAUUUUUUUAAAUAAUAAAGAUGAAUAUAAUAAUUAAAUUUAAUAUUUUUUGAGUAUGUAAAGAUGGAGAAUUUAUUUACUAAACCUAAUAUUUACCAAAAAUAUUUUUAAAAUUCGAUCGAUAAUUAUCUAACAUCUGUAAAUUGUAACAAAACAAUAAAAUGAUAGAAACAUCAAAAUAAUACAAUUAACUCUAAUCUUUAUACACAAAAAAAUUUUCAAAGUCGUCCGACACUCAUCUACCACUUGUAAACAAUAACAAAAUAAUACGAUAAUAGAGAUAUCAAAAUAAUACAACUAAACCUAACCUUUACAUAAAAAAAUACCUCAAAGCCGACUAACAUUUAACAUUUAUCUAUCACCUGUAAUCUGCAACAAAAUAAUACGAUAAAAGUGAUAUCAAAACAAUACAAUUAAACUUAAAUUUUACACACAAAAAUUUCUCAAACCCGAUCGAGAUUCAUCUACGAACUGUAAACUACCACAAAAUAACAAACUAAUAGAGAUAUUACGAUAAUACAAUUAAACCUAACCUUUACCUAAAAAAAAUUUUCAAAGCCAACCAACAUUUAUCUAGUAUCUAUAAAUUAAAAUAAAACAAUA